ACCCCUCUAAACUGUCUUUGUACUUUUGAGAUAGAAACCCAGAAUGGCUUCCACAAGCUCCUUCAGAGCCUCUUCUUCUUCUUCUACUCCUUCCAUCCCUCGAACAAGUACUUAUGAUGUUUUCUUGAGUUUUAGAGGCGAAGACACCCGCUAUAAUUUCACUGAUCACCUCUACAGUGCUUUGGGUAGGAGAGGGAUUCGCACCUUCAGAGACGAUAAACUCAGGAGAGGAGAAGUGAUUGCUCCAGAACUCUUGAAAGCCAUUGAAGAAUCAAGAUCUUCCGUAAUUGUUUUCUCUGAAAACUAUGCUCGUUCGAGAUGGUGUUUGGAUGAGUUGGUAAAGAUCAUGGAGUGCCAGAAAGAUCUGGGACAUGCUGUUUUCCCAAUUUUCUAUCAUGUGGAUCCAUCCCAUGUACGAAAGCAAGAGGGAAGUUUUGGAGAGGCCUUUGCCCGUUAUGAAGAAAACUGGAAGGACAAGAUACCAAGGUGGAGGAGGGCCUUGACGGAAGCAGCCAAUCUUUCUGGAUGGCAUCCACUAGAUGGGUAAAUUUAAUUUCCUUUCAACUAUUUGUAAGUAUAGGAAUGAGUAAUAUUUUUGCAUUUAUAGAGUCAUAAAGUUGAUUGAAAUAUUUAUAAACACAUGGGACAGAAUGUUUUUAUUUGGAGUUCUACUAAUUAAGUUGUGGAAACUAUAAGUUUGAUAACCAAAGGGAAUUACUGAAAACCUAGAUUAAAGAUAGUAUUUCUAUUUAAAAUACUUUUAAUGGAAGUGUUUUCUGUAUAAGUGUUUUUCAUAAAAUCAGUUGUGUUAUCCACGAAUUGAUUUUUUUUUAACUUUUUCAAAAGUAAUUUCUAAAUUUUGUUAACUUUGAGUCAGUUUUGCGGUGAUCCUAAGAAGCCUUUUUAAUUUAAAAGGUGUUUUUGGAGAAAAAAAAAAACAAAAACAGGUGUUUGGUAAAAUAUAUGAAAUACUUUUAAAAAUAUAAAAAUUCGGUUGAGUGUUUUAUAGAGAAAGAUUUGAUAGGUGAUUCCUUUGAAAACACGUAGGGCGGUGUUUGGUAUACGAGAAUAAGAAUGAAAAUGAAUAUUUUGUUUCUAUUCCUAUUUUUUUUAUGAAUGAAAAUGAAUUUGGUGAUUCUAUUUUUAGGGUUUGGAUGAACUUAGGAAUUUUUGGAAUGUUAUUUGUUUUCAUUAUAAUAUUCGGUAAUAAUAGGAAUGAAAAUGAAAAAUAAAUAAACUGACAAUAAUACCCUUCCUAGUUUAAAAUAUUUUUUUUAUUUUCAUCUAAAAAUAAAUAAAUUUUGAGAGUUUUUUUUUUUUUCUAAAUAAUAAGAUUAAAAAAAAGUCUUAUUAGGGGAUGAAGAGGCAUGAGGCUUGAUGAAUGAAAUUCAAGUUUAAAAUAGUAAUUUUAAACUAUUUUAUAUUUUCUCAUAGGAUGAAUGAAUCAAAAUACCACCUACUUGCAAUGAAUUAAAAUCCCACUUAUAAGUGGGAUUUAAUUUCUACUGGAAUCAUUUUUUAUUUCAUUCCUACCUUUAUAAAAUUUAUCCAAAUAUGGGAAUGAGAGAGGGAAGGAAUGAGAUUUCUAUUCCCACUCCUCAUUCCCACGUACUAUUAAAGAAAGCACUUUCAUUAAAGAGAUUUGAGUAGAAUUACUCUCAAACACCUUUAAAAACAUUUAUUAGGUUAAAAGUCCUUUUUAGAAAAUGGGGUUUUCAAACUUAAAAACUUCUUAUAUUUAGAUGUUGAGUACUACAUCUGGAAUGAAGCUUCAAGCAUUAAUUAUAAGAUAUAAAACAAUAGUCAAAGAAUAAAAUAUUUGCUCCUAUAAGGUUUUCAAUUGUCAUGGGAUGUUAAAUAGUUUUUUGAAAUGUACAUGAAUGAUAAAGUAAUAUCUUGAUUCAUAAUCAUCGUACUUAUUAUGGCAUAAAAUUUCCAUUUGAAGUUAUGCCACAAGCAUCACCAAUAACAAAAUUCAUAUUUUAUUCUUCAUUUUCAUGCAUACUCGAUACAAUAAAAAAUGUCAUAAAAUGUAAAUGAACUAGUGUUUUUUUUAUAUAUUCUGUUUUACUACAAUUUAUUUGUUGUAAAGAUGGUAAACUUAAUGUGUAUUAUUUACCAUUGUCACUCAUUGCUCAACAUAUUGUAUUUUUAUAAUUGGCAGGUACGAGUCCGACUAUAUUAAGGAAAUAACUAAUAACAUAUUCCGUCGAUUAAAUUGUAAGAGGCUUGAUGUUGAUGCCAAUUUAGUUGGUAUAGAUUCCCGUGUAAAAGAGGUGAGUUUGCGGUUGCAUAUGGAAUCAAGUGAUGUUCGUAUUGUUGGGAUAUAUGGAGUUGGUGGGAUAGGCAAGACAACCAUCGCAAAAGUUAUAUAUAAUGAACUUUGUUGCGAAUUUGAAUAUAUGAGCUUUCUUGAAAAUAUUAGAGGGAUUUCCAAUACCAAAGGUUUAACUCACUUACAAAAUCAACUUCUUGGUGAUAUCCUAGAGAAAGAGCGAAGUCAAAAUAUAAACAUUGUUGACAGGGGAGCAAGUAUGAUAGGGACCAUUCUCUCAUCUAAAACAGUUUUUAUUGUUCUUGAUGAUGUUGACGAUCGAAAUCAAUUAAAAGCUCUACUUAGACAUUGUGGAUGGCUUGGAAAAGGAAGCAGAGUCAUCAUAACAACUAGAAAUAAACAUUUGUUAAUUGAACAAAAAGUGGAUGAAUUAUAUGAGGUUGAGGGAUUGAAUUCUAAAGAAGCUUGUGAACUUUUCAGUUUGCAUGCCUUUAAACAAAAUCUUCCCAAAUCAGAUUUUAUAAACCUCUCAUGGCGUAUGGUAGACUAUUGUCAAGGCCUUCCAUUAGCUUUGGAAGUUCUAGGUUCUCUCUUAUACGACAAGACAAUACCUUAAUGGGAAAGUCAAUUGCAUAAAUUGGCCAAAGAACCUGUGCCGGAAAUUCACAAGGUGCUUAAAAGUAGCUAUGAUGGAUUAGAUCUUACAGAAAAAGAUAUUCUCCUUGAUGUUGCAUGUUUUUUUAAAGGUGAAAAAAGAGAUUUUGUGUUAAGAAUAUUAGACACUUGUGCGGGAAUUGGAAUACAAAAUCUAAAAGACAACUGUCUUAUAACUCUCCCAUACAACUGUAUAGGUAUGCAUGAUUUGAUACAACAGAUGUGUUGGAAAAUUGUUCGUGAAAAUUUUCCUAAAGAGCCGGACAAAUGGAGCAGAUUGUGGGAUCCCCAUGAUAUUGAACGUGCACUUACAACAUCUGAGGUAAUAGCCAAAUGCAUAAAUUCACUUAAGCUCUAGUUAAACUGUGGACCCCGCAUUUUCGUGCUCAUGCGUUUCCCACUCGAUGGCGAGCUCGAUUUUUAUUUUAAAAUGAUUUUUAUUUAUUAAAAAGCAAUGACUUGGAGUCGCCACUUAUUUUUGUUUUAUUUUUAAAAGGGUAAACAAAAUAAGAAAGAAAAACCCUAAGUGUGACUCCUUAUUUGGAAAAGGUGAUCUACGAAAAACCGGAUCGGGUUCGGGGGUCAAGUUACUUAUCGAGAAGGUACGGUAAAGACCGUAGCACCCCUCUAAGUCCCUAAAGUCGGGUCUCUACUAAUAAAAUGAAGCUGGUAUGACAACCAAUGAGAAAGUCAAUGAAUACUCAUAUCGAUCAUGCAUGUAUGAGAAUUAGAAACAAGCAUAAGGAGUGACCAUGAUGCGAGAAAAUACAUACCUGGGUGGCGAACCAAUAUGUGCUAUCAAGAGGAGGGUUAGUGUACAAACACAGAAGGAUAAUGUGUAUAUCAAGGAACAGAGUAAAUCAAUCACAUAUAGCUAAUGAAUCAAUCAAUCAGUCAAUCAAUCAUGAAAUCUCAUAUGUAGGACCCCCACCAAAGCCUGUUUAUUUUUACAUGAAUUAAUUCCAUAAAUUCAAUUAUUCGGAAUUACGGAAUUUAAAUUCAUGUUUAUUUUAAAACAUUUUAAAUCAUGAAAAAUUCGAAAGGGGCUCGCCAAAGAAAAUGGCGGCCAAAUUUUAUUGAAAAUAGGAUUUUUGAUGAACCUAAGCAAAAGAAAAUCUAAGGAUGAAGAUUUGAAAAAGUUAAAAUUAUUUAGAAAUCUAGAAAUUGGAAAAACCAUUUGAAAACCGGGAAUUGAGAAAUUAUUUUAAAAUCGAAGACGAUGAGAUACAAAGAAAGGACACGUGGUUCGAAGGUGGCCAUGCGAACCAUGCAGCGAUUUGGUGCAUCUACAUAUCCAUCCUUGCCAAUGAGGCUUGAUUGGGUGCUUCCCCAAGCCAAGUCUGCUAACUGUUGGGACCAUUAUUGGCAAGCCCAAGUUAAGUCAUAUAGGAUUUCACACAAUCAUUAGAGCAGCCGAUUGUCCAAAUAAUCACAGAUUCAUCGCUUUUGUGAUCAACCCUUUCAAGUACAGCUCAAACCUGCUUGAGGCGGUCAAGAAUUCUUCACUUAGCUGCAUAGUCAUUGCAAAAGGGCACAGUGGUAGAGCUGGACGUGCCAUUGUCAAUCUCUAUCAUGCUUACCAUUUCAGGAAUAAGGCCAAGUAGGAAUAAGGGGCACCAAGACCUACAGCAGCAAAGACUGCCUUUGGAAGAAAUAUUUGUGCAGCCAAGAACGAUGGUAAGGCUGCAAGAGAAGGCAUUUGUUUACCAGACGCGAGGCAUUCGGGUUGAGAACACCACCCAGAACUAUACCAUCUGAACCUGCUAAGGACACACUCAAACCACCAGUUCUAUGGCAGCUACCAUUAUCUUCUGAAAGCAAGAAGAAGCCUGACAGAGAGAUAAUAUCAAAUCGACCCUCAUAUGAAACAGUAUCACCAGACAUAGCUGACUGGCGAAGGGUAACAUUGCAGAUGACACCAUUUGCAGAGAGGAUGUAAACUGUUCGGGGCCUUCUUUUCAAUUCCUCAACCAGUUUGUAAAACGUCCUCUCCUUGCAUCAAAAGUCCCACAGCUCUUAAAAGGCAUUGAGAGCAUAAAGCAGGCUGACCGAAACCCAGCUCGCGGCUACAAAGACGAGACCCCAUGCACGAGGAUUAGGCAUGCUCUAGCAAGGUAUUUUACACCGAGAUUUGCAUAUUACAGAUGUUACAACCAGCAACUUUGGAGUGAGAAACUUCUCCUCUGCCCAAGUUGCGGAUCCCUUAAGCAAAUGCUUCAAGUGGCACUGACGUGAUUUAUCUCUUGGGUCAAAUCUAUGCAGGUUUACAGAUGACCUAUGAUUGCCAUCUGGAGGGGUUUCAUGAUGGAAAUAACCACGUAACUGCUGUGUGGAAUAAGAUAAGAGUCCUAGGACCUAAGGAUGCAUUUGGAUGGAAAGAAGAAACUCAGCCACAAAGCAGCCUGCAGACCACAUAUCACUGGCAGUUGUAUAUUCUGUAGCCCUAAAGAUCAGUUCUGGAGCUCUAUGAUACCUUGAGCAAAUAUAUGACUUGUUUGGUUCACCUGGCACCACCUUCUUUGAGCUUCCAAAAUCACAUAUAUGCAGCUGAUGAGUGUGGGGAUUGACCCAUAAAUUUUGAAGCUUGAUAUCACAAUGACAGACCCUAAUAGCACUGUGCAUGCAGUUAAGUGCAUGACAGAUCUGGUAUGCAUACAAUUGCACUUAUAUAAUGGGCACAUGCUGGUCCUUCCUGCUGUGAUGUCUUGAAACUUGGUAUGCAGUUUCAAAUACACCUUCAAGAGCAAGAUUAAGAUACACUGCAUCUCUUUCAUUUCGAUUCUCAGUCACAUCCUCAACAAUUGCUCGUCUGAACAUCAACAUCACACGGAAGAACAAUAGCAAACUCAGGCUGUGGCAUAUUGCUUCCAUAAUGUUUGUUUCCAUUGGCAAUGUUUACUAGAAUUCUAGUGGAUUCUUGGACUUCAACUAGCUGUUGGAGUUCUUGGGCCUUUGGAAUUACAUGAUCCUUCAUGUAUGCCCAAUCAGGCAUCUUCCACAGACUAUCAAACAGAGCUUCAUAGUUCUCUAUACUCUUACCAAAGUCUACCAAUGCAUCCCACUGACUAAGCUGAGUAGCACAAUAAAUCCAUUGCUCCUCACAAAGACAUCCCAAUACAGGCAACCAACUCCAAACAUGAUACCCACACUAGAUAUAUCAGAGACAGAAGACACAGUGAAGGAAAAUAGAGCAUGUGAAAGAAGUAACACGAUUAAAUCUGUCUUUCCUCCAUGAAAACAAAGAGAGUUAAGAACUGGUGGGAAGUUUUUGAGUCACUUUAACACAAAUAAAUAGUAUAAUCACAAUGCAACCCAUACAGAGAGAAAAAAGAAAAACAAACAGAGACUAAGCAAAUGGAAGCUGGGAAACAGGUUUAACAUAUUAGACAGCCAAAAUACACAUCCAAAUAUCAGAAAGAAAAAUGGAAAGACUGAAAUAAUGGAGAACUCAAGGUGUAAAAACAGCUAAACCUGAGCGAUCCUUUCGAUCAAAAGUCGUUUGAUUCUCAGCAAGCCGCAACCUCUUUCCUCUGUUCCUUGCUUCUUCUGUGAAAGCUCUCUCUUCUCUCUCAAGUCACUCUAUGUUUCCUUCCCUGGACGUCUUGCCCUCCGAAUCACCUAAAGAUAUCCCUCUAAAACCCAGCAAAGACCAUGCCUCCUCUCUCACAGUUUUCUCUCUAGAAAAACCCCUCUACCAAAAGCAGUCCGCUCUCCAAAUAUCUCCUCUGUCUUUUCCAGCUUCUCCUCCCAGAAUCCUUCUCUCUAACCUCUCCCAGCUCUCUGCUACUCUAUCACCAGCCAAAACAGCAGCCAAAAGUCACUCUCUCUUGCAGCUGGCAGCUCCAGAUAUCCUCAACGGCCAGACGACACCACCUUCCAGCUGCCUGCCUCCACUACCAUGCAGCUUAACGGUUUUCAGCUUUUCUGCUGAAUAUAUCUCCACGUGUCAAGCUUCCAUUGGCCAUCAAAACCACUAAUUUGAUUCUUUACUAGUCAAUCUGGAAGAGACACGUGGCUCCUUGAGAGCCUUCCACCUGCAAAGAAAAACUUACAGCAAAUGUGAUAAGACAUGAGCCCCUAAAUGGGGGUCUACAUAAACAUAUAAAUCUCAAUAAUAAUAUCAUUCUUGUAUAAGAACUUACAUAUCCAUAUAAGUUAAGUUAGUUUGUAUUUAUGUUUGCCUUAUCCUUGUUAUUUUUCAGGGAAUAAAAGGAGUCGAAACAAUAGACUUGGACUUGUCUAAGUUAAAAAGAGUACGCUUCAAUUCAAAUGUUUUCUCAAAGAUGACUAGCCUUCGAUUGCUCAGAGUUCAUUCAAAUGACUAUUUCUAUCCUUAUUCUUAUGAUAAUAUGGAGGAGGAGAAGGUAGAUCGUUAUUGUGAAGAAAUGAUUGAUUCUGUAAUGAAAACUGCUUCUAAAAUGCAUCUUGACCCAGAUUUUGAAAUCCCUUCUUAUGAGUUAAGGUAUCUUUGUUGGGAUGGGUAUCCUUUAGAUUUUUUACCAUCAAAUUUUGAUGGAGAGAACCUUGUUGAACUUCACUUAAAGUGUAGCAACAUAAAACAACUAUGGCAAGGGAAGAAGGUAUUAUUAUCAUUUAAUAAUGACUUCUUUUGCUUUAUAUUGAUUUUAAAAUUUCUAAUAGUUAUUUCUUUUAUUGAAACUAUUUUCUUUUGGUACAGGAUCUUGAAAGUUUAAAGGUCAUUGAUCUAAGUCACUCAAACAAGCUCGUUCAAAUGCCAGAAUUCUCAAGCAUGCCAAAUUUGGAAGAACUAAUUCUUAAAGGUUGUGUAAGCUUGAUCGAUAUUCACCCAUCUGUUGGAGUUCUCAAGAAGUUUACUACCUUAAAUUUGACGAGUUGUGUUAAGCUUAAGGGUUUACCAAGUAGCAUUAGCAACUUGGAAGCUCUUGAAUGUCUCUAUCUUACUAGGUGCUCAAGCUUUGACAAGUUUUCAGAAAUUCAAGGAAAUAUGAAAAGUUUAAAGUUUCUAUAUUUGCGCAAGACUGCUAUUAGAGAACUUCCAAGUAGCAUUGACUUAGAAUCUGUUGAGAUUCUUGAUCUCUCUGAUUGUUCCAAGUUUGAGAAAUUUCCAGAGAAUGGAGCAAACAUGAAAAGUUUAUAUGAUCUUAGUUUAGAGAAUACUGUUAUUAAAGAACUCCCAACAGGUAUUGCCAACUGGGAAUCUCUUCAAACUCUUGAUCUCUCUAGUUGCUUAAAGUUUGAGAAAUUUCCGGAGAAGGGAGGGAACAUGAAAAGUUUAAAGAAGCUUUGUUUUAAUGGUACUGCUAUUAAGGAUCUGCCGGAUAGCAUUGGAGACUUGGAAUCUCUUAAGAUUCUUGAUCUCUCUUAUUGCUCAAAGUUUGAGAAAUUUCCAGAGAAGGGAGGGAACAUGAAAAGUUUAUGGAAGCUUAAUUUAAAAAAUACUGCUAUUAAGGAUCUGCCGGAUAGCAUUGGAGACUUGGAAUCUCUUGUGAGUCUUGAUCUCUCUAAGUGCUCAAAGUUUGAGAAAUUUCCGGAGAAGGGAGGGAACAUGAAAAGUUUAAAGCGACUUUAUUUAAACAAUACUGCUAUUAAGGAUCUGCCAGAUAGCAUUGGAGACUUGGAAUCUCUUGAGAUUCUUGAUCUCUCUAAGUGCUCAAAGUUUGAGAAAUUUCCAAAGAAGGGAGGGAACAUGAAAAGUUUAAAGAGACUUUAUGUAAAAAAUACUGCUAUUAAGGAUCUACCGGAUAGCAUUGGAGACUUGGAAUCUCUUAAGAUUCUUGAUCUCUCUUAUUGCUCAAAGUUUGAGAAAUUUCCGGAGAAGGGAGGGAACAUGAAAAGUUUAAAGCAGCUUUAUUUAAUAAAUACUGCUAUUAAGGAUCUGCCAGAUAGCAUUGGAGACUUGGAAGCCAAUAUUUACAUAAUAAUUUGUGCAGGAGUUGAAAAGUUGGAAACUCAGUGCUUGUAUUCCAGAAAGUAGUGGAAUUCCAAAGUGGAUAAGGUAUCAAAACUUGGGGAGUGAAGUUUUUAAAUUUCCCUCCAUUAUAUAAAAAUUAAAUAAUUUUAAAAUGCAUAAAUUUAUAUUUGCGGCAUCAAUUUUAUAUUUGCGGGAGAUCAACAAAAUUAUAUGCCCUUGUUGGAGCAUCCCCAGAACUCUGGUGACAAUGGAUCAGCAUUACAACAUACCAAUGGUAAUGUUCAUGGGGCUAAUCAAGAUGAUGAACACUACCAGCAUAUUCCCGAGUUGUUAGAUCUUCUCAGGAAUUUUGGUGACGAUGUAUCAGCAGUACUUGAAGACAAUGAUGGGAACCGUAACAGAAGACGUGAUGAUUCCUUACCCGAUGCCUCAACAUCGAUCUCUCGCUUUGAACUCCAUCACUAGGUGCAUUAUCAACCCUUUUUCAAUAUUCUAACCCCUCUCCUUUUUAAAUUAUUUUUGAAGUCAAUAAACUAUUUUAUAUGUUUCUUCAAACUUAUUUCACUAAUUUUCCUCCAUUAUAUAAAAAUAAAAUAAUUUUAAAAUGCAUAAAUUUUUAAUCAAUUUUAAUUUUAUAUAUAUAUAUAUAUAUAUAUAUUUCAUAUUUUCUAUAGAAAAACCAAGUACAAAAAAUAAAUUUUCUUAGUUUUUUUAUUUAUUUCCUAAGUACUCUCUUGAGAUUCAAACAUGGUUUAUAGUGAUUGAUAUAAUGACUAUGCAUGUACUACAUUUCAUAGAAUUUCUUCAUUUUCGAAAAAUAUGAAAAAUAACUUCAACUAACUUUGAAAGUCAUCAUUAGUUUAAAAACAUGUAUAGUUUUUUUUUAUUAUUAUUAUUUUAACAUAUAGCUUAGAUAUGGUAGAGUGAAUUGCUUUAUUUUUUUUAUUUUUUUAUUUAAUUAGUUAACUAAAAACCUCAACAAAGUGAUUAUGAAGCUCUAGGAUUCUUCCUUACCUUAUUAGACAUAACAUUAAUUAAUUAUUUAAUUAAUUAAAUUUUUCUAUUUGCUUUUAAGAUAACAUUUGAAUAAAUUAUCAAAAUUAGUUAGAGAAGAUCAUGUACACAAAUUAGAAGUUAAAUUUGAAUGUAUUAUGAGGUAAAUAUAUGUAGAAACCUAAGUGUGUUUGAUAGUGAUUUUAAAAAACGUUUCUAGCAUUUCUAACACUUGAAUGAUAAAAAUUUAAGUGUUAAAAAAGUAGAAAGCGCUUCUUAAAAUCACUAUCAAAUGGACUCAUUUGGUAGCGAUUUUAGGAAGCCCUUUUAAUAUUUUUAAUAUUUGAAAAUUUUUAUCAUUCAAGUGUUAGAAAUGUUAGAAACGCUUUCUAGAAUUACUCCCAAACGCACUUUUACUUGAUGGAAGUAAAUAAUGAAACUCCUAUAUAUUGAUUUUAAUAGUUUUAAGAGUCAAAUUGUUUAUGGUUUUUGUAUUUAAGAAUUAAAUUUCUUUAAGUAUGUUAAAACAUUUUUUAAACAUGCAUACUUAUUGUCUAUUUCCUGAUAUGGAAGUCUUGGAUUAAUCUUAUAUUCACUUAUGUGAAAUUUGUGAUAUGCUCAUGAAGUUUACCUAACAAUUGAUCAUACUAAUCUUAAGUGAAAUUUGUGAUAGUACCGAUCAAAACGAAAUCGCAUGUGGUAGCUACAGGUGGACUUCAUGUUUUUUCCUAUCAACUUAUUGGUAAGUCAUUUUGUUCAUUUAUCCUUUUAGUACGCGUAGAAAAUUGAUUAAAGCUCUUCAACUUCUUUACUUUUUUCUCUUUCCCAUGAUCCCUAUUUUGUUCGAUUAUGUUUGGUUUUUGGAAAACUUGAAGGAAAAUAUAAGGGAAAAAAAACAGAGAAAAAAAAAAGGAAAUAAAAAGUGAAAAAGAAUAAAAACUAGAUUUAAAGUCAAUCAAUUAUUUUCAUAUGUUUCUUCAAUCUUAUUUCAAUUAUUUUGCUUCAUUAUAUAAAAAUUAAAUAAUUUUAAAAUGUAUAUAGUUCUAACUAAUUUUAAUUAUAUUUAAUUUUUCCAUAUUUUUCACAAUGAAACCAAAUAAUUAUCAUUUUCCUUGACAUUUUUUAUUGUUUCCUUGGUACUCAUUGGGAAUCAAACAUAAGUUUAAAACCACUAGAGUGGUCCAAUUGGUGAAUGCGAGUAUUGAGAAGUGUGGUCCCAUUAAGUGGCACAUGGUCCUGAGUUUGAAUCCUAUUACCAAUGAUACUUAGAAUUUACCUAGUGUUAGUUGUUGCGAAGCAAUUAACACUGAGGUUUGGUUCCCCAUAGAGAGUCCUACGGGCUUGACUAUGGAAGGUUUUUCGAUUAUUAAAAAAAAAAAAAAAAAAACAACAUAAGUUUAAUAAUGUUUUAGGAGGUAAAAAGAAAAGGGAAAAAAAAAAAUUGGUAGUGCAAUCCACAAUUAACUAGGACAUAUAUUUUUUCUCAUGUGCUUGGUAUAAGGCACUAAGUAUCAUUAUAUUAAAUCCUCCAUUUACCGCAUAAUAGUUAGUUAUAAAUUCCUUGCUAUUAAUAUAGGUAAACAACAAUUUAUAGAUGUUCGAAUUAAUUCUUAAGUUAAUGGUUAAUACCCAUUAAUUAUGUUUUUAGUUCCUUUGAUGAUUAUGUUAUAAUUUAAAUAUUUUAGGGGUUUGAUUUUAGCUUAACGAGCAUGAAGUGCAUCUAAUGAUAUGUGAUUCCCUAUCACUAUGUUUGAUUCCAAGAAAGUAUAAGGAAAGAAAAACCCUCAUGAAAGUGAUUUUCUCAUGAAAAAAUCCAAGUAUGAAGGAAUAUGAAAAUGAUUCUUGGAAAUCAAACACAACUUUGUGAAAUAUGCUUGUGUUAAUAAUUAUAGUGUGUGUGUUUAUGAAAUUGAAAUGUUGUUUUUUAUUAUUUAUCUUUAGGUGGAAACAAGGACAAUGAGGAGAAGUUAAUCUCAAGAUGCAAGUGAGAUUCCAAAUGUUGCUAAGGUGGUCUACUCUUGCAUGUGAUCAAUCUCUUACAAUCAUGACCAUCAAGAAAGAUGGUAUAAUUUGUGUAUUGGAAGUGUGAAUUAGGAAUGUUAAAAAAUGAAAACUUGAAUUGAUAUAUGUUUUUGCCCAUAAGAUGUGUGGUUAUGGGCAAUUCUUAUGGGUAUGUAAUUGACCUUGAUGUUGCAUAUGAAGCAUGUCACCCUCUCUAUAUCUUCAAGUUAGUGGUUGGAGCUUCUAUAGACGGUGAAAGACAAGUGUCACGGAUUUAAGUAUUUCCUAAGCUCUCAUGUGGCACUUAGACAAUUCAAGUCUAUUGAAGUUGCCAAGUCUUUUAGGUUGUGAUAAAGGUCUCUCACAUUUCACACAUUAUAAUCAUCACAUUUUAACUCAAGUGUUUAUUUUUAAAUACUUUUCCAUUAAACUCUUUUUCAAAAGUAUUAAAUUAAUACCAUUCUCUAAUCUUACUCGGCUUGGUUUGUCAACUUCAGUGGUUUAUUACUCUCUAAAGCCAACUUUCAACUUAAUCAAUCCAAUGUAAUUGUUAUUGAUCCAUGGUCAAUUAACAAAUUCUCUAAGGUUAUGAGUGUUUUUUGAAAAAUUUGAGGAAAAUAAAAUAAUGAGAAAAAGUACAAGGAAAGGAAAGGAAACAUGGAGAAGCAUAAAAGAAAUAUAUUUAAAAUUAAUAAUUUUUUUUAUUUGUUAUUUCAAAUCCAUUUUACACAUAAUUUUAAUAAUAUUUAAUUUUUUUCCCUAUUUUCUAUGAGAUACCAAAUAUAAAAAAAAUUAUUUUUCUUAAUAUUUUUUAAAAUGUUUUUUGGGAACUAAACAUAACUUAAUACUUGUCUUUGUGUUUCAAGAUACCAAUAAUACUUCUUGAUAGAAUCAUAUCUAUUAAUGUGGCAUGUAUACAUGUGUGGGAUAUUCAUGGUUCAAUACUAUCACUAUCUUACAAUUGUGGAUUCUAAUUGAAUUUUAUGAAUUAAUGAUAUGAUCUUUCUUCAAACAAAAUGUUUUCAGUUAAGUUAAAAUGGUUGAAUUAUUUCAAUUGGUCAAACCUCAAUAUUCCAAAUAUUUCUACUUUGAUUAAUCAAGGUCUUUGUGAGUUGACUUUAAUUUGCUUUUAAAUUUCAUCUAUCAAGGUAUUUUAGGUGCUUCUUUGUUUUGUGUAGUCUUGUAAUAGAUUAUGAGAUAAUUUGUAGACCAAAUUAUAUGCAAAUUAUCUCAUUUAUAGAUAUUUUUUCACCCAAAUUACAUCUUGUUUUGGACUUAAAGUCAUUUAGUUUUGCAUGUGCCAUAUUCUUUAAAAGAAACUAAAAAGGGAUGGAUCCUAGUAUAUAGUUGAAGCAAAGAAGGAUUUUAUUCUAAAAUUAAUAAAAAAAAAAAAAAAUUUGAUAAUGUAAUUUUAAACAUCUUUGAGAUGGUAUUUGGUAAACUAACUUAAUAAUUUAAUAUAACCUAAUAGCUUAAUUUGUUAUUAAGUAAAUUAACUAUAUUUGGUAAAAUAACUUAAUAUUAUAAUAUAAAAUUAACAUUAAGUCAAAAUAGUUAACUUAAGGGUGUUUGGUAAAUCAACUUAAUGACUUAAUAAUUUAAUUUAAGUCAUUAAAGAGAUUAAGCAUAUUUGAUAAAAUAACUUAAUAUUACAACUUAAAGUUAUUUUUAACUUUAAGUAAUAAGUCAAAAAGGUUAAUUUCAUUGAGACCCCUUAAGGUUUAAUAUAAAUACACUCGAUUACCGUUGUUUUCAAAUUUCAUCAAUUAGUACCCUUAUGAAUUUAUUUCAUUUAAAAAAUUUAUUUUUUUAAGAGAUUUCAAGUAAAAAUUUAGAUAGGAGUGUUUAACAAUUCACUAAAAACUAAAUUUUAUUCUUUAAAAAAUAAAAUUUAUAUACAUAAUACAUUUAUAGGGAUGCUAAUUGAUGAAAUUGAAAUUUGAAACUUACGAUGACUUAAUGUAUUUACACUAAACCUCAAGAGUCUCAAUAAAAUUAACUCUAAGUUAAAAUAGUUAACUUAUUCUUAAUCUCAAAUCUUUUUUACCUUAGUUGUCUACAUUUAUGACUCAUUUUUUAUGAUUGUACUUGUAUCUUUAAUGCUUUAAAUAUGAAUAUUUAACAAAUAAAUUUGUUGUUUAGGAUUAGUGAAAAUAUAAUUAUUAGUUAAAAUUAAUAAGGAUGAAUUAUGUCAAUUUGACAAUUCAGAAUAAAAGUUUUAAGUUUACAGUUCAAGAACCAUUUAGCUUAAAAUCAACUUAAAUCAUUAAGUAAUAAGUAAUAAGUUUUACCAAACGCCUAUUUAAAUAUAGUUUUUAAAUGAAUUAUUCAAUCAAAAGACAAAUAUAAAAAUAUAAAAAAUGAAAAAUAAAAGAUAAAAUAAAAAGGAACAUGGCAAAUAGGCAUCAUAAAGUCUUUUACAUGAUUUCAUUCCUUUUUUGUUCACCUUUUUAGAAGACGAUUUUAAUAUUUCCUUAGAAAAUUAUGAAAACAUAAAAUUGUUGUUUCCAUAUUUUCUAUUUUUAAAACUCUAUUUUUUGAAAUAUUGAUUUAUGUUUUCUUUACAAAUGAAAACAAUUUAAACAAAAAAGUGAUUUAUCGUUUCCAUUUUUAAAAUUGAUUUUCACUUCUUUUGAGUUAAGGCAUUUUCAAGAUAAGAAAAAAAAUAGGAAUAAAAGCUAUUUUUUGAGAAUAAAAAUAAAUGAAAAAUGAAAAACAUUUUCCAACCGAAACACAUUGUUAAUGUUUGCAUCUCAUUGUGCCUUUUUCUAAUCUCCAUCCCACUCUUUGAUGGGCUAAACUCGAAAUGGAAAGUUAUAUCUUGGCACAUCCUUUAAUUUACAUUUGUUAAAUUGGUUUUGACAUACAUUUUUCAUAAUAAAUGCAAAACAAUAGCCUGAGUUACAAACAUGAUUUCCAUGGUUAUUCAGAUCCAACCCGUGCUCCAUUGUAAACCCUAGGCUCAUCUUUUAUACCAUUAUCAACCCGAGCCACACUGUUACCACAGGGAAAGUUGCUAAUACCAAAUAUUUAAGUAUACAUACAAUACAAAUCAGUCCAUUACCCUAAAAGAAAAGGAAAAAGAAAAAUAACUCGUGUCACAGAAAGGAAUAAUCUAUUGGGUCAGUGGCUGGUAUCCAAAGUGAUACCAAACUGUGCUGACAAGGAGCCUUUGUAAGAAUCUGAUACAACUCCUGCUGUUUCUGAAAGGUUGCUCUUCAUCUCUGAAAUUUUUGAUGCCAUGUGCUCUUUGUAUUUCGAAACUGAAUCAACCAAAGCAUAGAGUUCCCAAGCACAUAUCUGAAUUUCUUCCUCAUUUUGCUUGAUUGCUUCCUGCAACUUCAAUUUGGACGUCUUCAUGACAACAUCAAAGUCUACUCAGAAUCCCUUGAAUUUUUCAAUAUUAUUCACAUUAAUCAAGAACAAUUAUAGAGCCAGGUAGGAAUUUUUAGCUCUGAAAAGGGAAACCAACUUAUGUUAAAAUAAGUUUCUUUCAGGUUUACGACAUCCACCCUGGCAAUAUUGAUAUCCUUAACUAACUAUUCAAGACAAGAAGAACAAAAUUAUACCUCCAGAACAUCUGCCACUUCUCUUUCCACUAUAUCUACAUUAUGGGUUUCUAUCUCAACAUCCUCCACCAACUUCUUAACUUCCGUUGCACACCUGACAAAUUGAUCAUUCAUCCAUGGUUAACCUCGUACAACAAUAGCCUGAAAGUAUUCAUUCUGAUUCCUGGUCAAAAAUCAACCAGAAGAUAAAUAUCCAUGAACGAAAAGCAAUUAGAUUAAACAAUGUGUAACCCAAUAAUUUAUGUUGAAAAAUCAAGUUAAACAUCAAAUCCAUCAGAAACAAAGAGUGAUUCUGUGAUGGAUGAUAGCUUAUUAAUAAAAUCACAUUAUUAGGAAGACACUACUCAAUAGCUCUUGACACUAAUAAUGGAGUUCUUUAAUAAUGGAAUAACCUUACAUGGCAUAGUUAUGCAAGCAUUGUUUAAGCUAAUGUUGAAUAUAGUCAAAACCUUAACAAUAAUUUCCAAUCAGCAAGUUGGAAAAUUACUUGCUAAAAAAUUUACUUGGAAAAAGAAUCAAAUGUAGUCAAUCCUUUGUAGGGAGUAAUUAUCAUCCAAAAAGAAUUUUUCUUAAGUGUUUUAUAGGCCAUCAAAGCUACUUUGAAAAUUUGGGGCCUGACUGCCUAUGUGCAAUAACAAUUGACAUCUCCAGCAGAUUUUUAUUUUUAUUUUAUCCAAAACAAAUCAUUCAUUGAUAUGAAUUUGAUUACAAACGAAGGAUAAGAAACCCUUUCAAAAUAUAAAGGAUGAUUAAAAAUUGAGGAAAAACCUAACAAGAGUAGCAAGAUAGUUAUACUAAUCAAGGAUGAUACAAGAACUUGUACAAAAUAUAGCGAUAAUGUACACUUGAAGGGGGUAAAACAUACCUUACAAAAGAGUCCAUUUGCAUGGCUCCACAUUGAGCCAAUCAAUCUGCAACCUGAUUCACUAAAUGAAGGGACCAAUAGAAGGAACAACCCAAGCUACUAGCUAGAUCCAAGGUUUUAGGGAGCUACAUGUCAUACAUCCCAAGACAUGUGAUGGGGGAAAGCCUUUCAAAGUAUAUUCAAAACGGAAAGGAAGGCACAAAUAAACUUUAAGUGGGAUCAGUAUUAGUUGGAGUAAAAUUAGAAUUAGUAUUUAUUGGAAUCAAAUUAGGAAUAGCUAAAUAAUUUAGAGGAGAAUUAGAGUCAUAAUAGGUUAUAUUAGAAUCCUAAUAGGCUUUGGAUUUCUUAGAGAAACCUAUAAAUAAAGCUAAUUGAUGUAAAUCAAAGUAAUGGAUUGAUAAUUAAUAGUAUUACACUUUCUUGCAUACUUUGCAAUUUUCAAUGGUAAGACUCUUGAUUUUCUUCCAAGUGAGACUUUUAAAAGGCCUUAGUGAGACUCAAAAGUUUCUAUCUCUUCUUCUUCGUAUCUUCUUUCUCAAUGUUUUUUUAUUUUAUUUUUCUUUAUCAUAAACUUUAUCCCUUGUUCCUCUCCUUAAACCCUAAAAAAUAAAAACCUUAGCCCACUUAUUUGAUUGUAGGCAACCAAUAGGGUUGUCCUACAUCAAUAUGUCCAACAGUUUAAUCAUCCCUUCUAAUCCAAUUUGAAAAUAUCGCCUAUUCUCAACUGAAUUAUAUUAAAGCAUCUUUGGGUCACUUUUCUAAAGCACAUGUCUGGUUUUUAAAAGUGGACACAAUUCUAGAAUUGUGCAUUUGGAGCAUGUGCAUCUAGGGCAUCCUGAAGAUACGUGCAUUAUGAAAAUGAACAUGUAUUCGUAUUUCUUAUUCUUUCUUCUUCUCCCUCUUCCCUAUAUUUGUUAUUCAUCAUAUCUUCACAUCACCUAGGUACCAUAUCAAAACCAUACAACAAGCUGGCCCUUGAUCAGCAUCCAUCUGACCUUGAUCAAUGGACUUCAGAAACAAUGGCAUGCACCCCACAUAAAUACUAUUGGACAUUUAACUUCCAAGUCCUCUGGACCAAUCUGACAUAACUAUGAUAGCACACUUUUUGGGUCACCCUUUGUAUUAGUUCAAAGGAACAUUCCAACCUGAGCUAUCCAUUGAUGCCAAAAAGUUGUAAUGUGGGUAAUACAUGCUUUGCUCAUAUACAAUAAUUGUUUUUAGCAAUGGAUACAAAAUGGAUGUCUAUCUAGGGCAUCCAGAAGUUAAGAUUUCAUCUACAACCAGAAGAGUACAACCCCUAAAGCUUCAUGGAUACAAAAUGCCCAUGAUUGUCCCUUAAUAAGCCCCAACCGGCUCAGAUUUCCCAAAAAGCAACCUUCCCAAGAAGUGUUUCUAGGAGGAAUAACAAACUUAUCUCUCAACUUAUCCCCUUCAUCACCCACAUAAUUUUAAAAGGCGCAAGGCACACCUAAGAUGCAAAAGUCUCCUAUAGCUUAAGCGCAAGGCACAACACAAGGCAUGCGCCUCAAUGAAGUGAAAUGCGACCUAGGAUACACAUCAAUUUUGUAAAAUAUGAUUCAAAAUCUAAUCCGAUCAAUAAAAAAUUUAAGAUUUGAAACAUUUAAAAGAAGCAUUCAAUAAAAAAGUAAUGAAAUUAUAUACAUUUCAGUAUAUAAUUAGAAAUUUAAAAAAAGAAGUGUUUACAAAGGAAGAGUAAAGCUGACAAGGUGCACUUUUUCAAUAAGGCACAUAUCUUGGCAAGCAUGCGAUAUAACUUGGGAGUGGUGGCGCCUUGAGCCUAGGCCCACUUAAAGCACGACUUUUAAAACUAUGAUCACCCAUUAGACAGGUGGUUAGACCAAGCAGCUCUUGCUAUCAAAUUUUGAGUGACAACUGCUUGUGUAUUUGACACAACAUUUGCCCUUUGUACCAAAUUUUAGAUUGAUCAUCAGGUGGUAGUAUACUCCUUUCCAAUUAUUUUAUCUCCCAUAUUUCAUUUAAGUCAUUCUGAAAUUUAGCAAUAUUCUAUCCCAAUGGAAUUUCUAGGAACAACAUUUUUCUGUCAAAAUUUGAAUACAUCUAAAUUACCACCUUUUGGAAUUCCAAUUGUAGUCCAAUCCAUUUAACCACAAGAAUUGAUUUUCCAAGAAAUUUUCUUAUUGUGCAUUCAACUACUAACAAUUCAAGAAAACCUUUUUUUUUUUUUUGGAUAGGGAAAUCACAAUUCAAAAAACAAAUUAAACGAAGGGGAAAGCAAGAUUCCAAACAAUUUUGUCUUUUAGAUUGCAAAGAAAAUACCAUAGAAGCUUACGAUUACAACUUUAGUUUUCCUGGAGUGGCAUCCAUGAAAUAUAACAACCAUGCAAUUGUAUAUGCUACUGCUGGUACUUUAGAAAUGGUAUUGCUCACAAAGUCAGACCACUAGGUAAAGAAGACCUGCUUUCAUUUGUUAUAUAGAUAGAUGGAUAGAUGGAUAGAGAGAGACAGAGAGAGAGAGUUUGGCCUUUUCUGAGAGCAGCAAAAAGAGGAUGAGUUAAUUUGUACUUCAGUUAAUUGCAUAUUCAAUAGGGGACCAUUGGCUCCAACUAUGUGCACGCUCCCUCCAUCUGUAUCCUUAUGGAUGUGUGUCUGAGAAUUUUAUGGGUCUGUCAUUCUUUCCAAAAUUUUAUGUGCUGCGAAGUUCUUCUUUCUUGUAACAUGAUCAAUCUUUUUAUUUGUACCAAAGAUUUCAGGAAUGUCUUUGAGAAUUUUACGAGUAGAGGAUUCAUCAUCCUCUCUAAAAUUUGUCUCCUGGAGUUAAUUUGUAUCUAACAUCAUCAAUACUUUUACCCUUUAAAAUUUUUAGGAAAACAAAGUGAAAAUCUGGCUGCUCCUGUUGACACCCUAAAAGCAUAUAAAAAAGGCAUAGUUUUUUAUUCUUUGUGAGAGGUAUAUAAAUGCAUAGCUGCUGAACAAGAAAAAUGAGUUGUAAUUCACUUACUUCAUCACUACUGGAUUGAAGUGCAGCAAGAUGAUUUCUUUUUGCUUCAAUUUUAGCAGCAUUUUCAACUGAUUGUUGCUGAAGAGAAAUCAACUCUUCCAACUUUGACAUAGAGCUUAUAUUUAUGUCAUCAGCAAAGGAGUCAAGUGCAGGCUUAAGCGUUGAUUUGUGAUAAAUUCCCAAAACCUCAGCAGGCGAAGACCCUUUGGCAUUCAACACAUACUGCAAAACAUUUCCUAACUUUAACCUGGUAACCAUCCAAGAGAAAAUACUUCAAUCACACAAUAGAUUGUAGUUUAAUAGGUUGAAAGAGUUGCAUGAGGUGGCAUGCUAAUUUGUCAAUUCAAAUAUGCUCCCGAAAAUGAAGUAUUUAGUGUUGCCUCUUCAUCACUAUUAGUUUACUUCAAAAAAUUAAAGAGAGCAUGGUCCAAAGGGAAACAAUAGGCUCCUAAGGCAGUGCUCAGUAGGCAAAGGGUUGUGUGGGUAUGGGAAGGUUCCAAGUUGAAAUUCAUAUGCCGAGAGAGAGAGAGAGAGAGAGAGAGAGAGAGAGAGAGAGAGAGAGAGAGGGGGGGGAGGAGAGGGGAGGCUACCUCAAAAAAAGAGGUUGCCAAGGGCAACUGUAUCACUUAUCUCUGUCUAAAUAAAUGAUUAGAAAACUUGUGAGGAUGGAAGUGUUAAAUGGAGAUUUUUUUUAAAAGCCAAAUCGAGAAUGAACAUUAACUAACCUUCAAAACCUUUUUAUUUUUCUUACUUUGACAAAGCUCCAGAAAGGUUAGCAGUUUGAGAGUAACAUUUAGCUCAAAAGGUUACAGAAGAUGAACAAAAAUGAAAUCAUAAACCAAUACAAAAGCUGUAAUGCACCCAAAAGAUAAAUGAAGGUAAGGCAAAUUACAACACAGAAACUACCCAUUGCUGGUGUUGAAUCACAACAAAUGAAGUUUGAGUUGGCUACUUGGAAAUAGUGCAUGUGACUCAAGAAGACAUAAGCCAUUGAAUGGUUCAGCCACUACAUUCACCUGGUCUGAAUUUUUGUCUACUGAAAUUUUAUUUUUUUGUUAGGUAAAUUUUUUUGUCCCUAUUGGGAUUUGAACCUGAAACUUCCACAAACCCUCCCAACCCUUUACCUCUUGAGCCAGGCCUCAAGGGCAUGUUCAUUGGAAUAAUUUAAGCAGAGAACAGCAGCUGGAUCCUUCUUAGGAAUCUCCGACUAGUCAUGCUAUAACUACAGAGCCAGAUCCUAUGUUCUCACUGAAGUUAUACUAAAAUGUUGUAUAUGUUAAUGUGUUUGCUAAGAACAGGAAAGUAUUUCAUAUCACCCAUAAAUGACAGACAAGUCAAAACGAAAAAAAUAAAAUAAAAUUUGUAAUCUAAUUCAUGGAGGUAGAUAACCUAAUGUUGAUAAGAAUCACAGUAGACUUUAAUGGAAUAGAGAAAAUCAAUUCCAAGCAUUACCAAACUUAAGAAAGAACACAAUUCUACCAUGUUCAUUAAUUAUCAGAAAGCAUACUGAAGAUUACUAGAAAGACUUUAGAGUAUGCAACUUGAGAAAUUAAGAAAAUCCUAGUGGAGUGGAUUAUAGAGGUAUGAAAGCCAAACAAAGAGGAUAAGGAAAAGAAAACCUCCUGAGAGCCUGGUUGCAUUCAAUUGAAAGAGCUUCAAGCUCCUUAAACUUGUGCCCAAUUGUCGUGUCAAGAUCCCAAGACUUCUCCUCCCAACCAUUCCUCACAACCUCAGCCUCCGCGAUAUCUCUCUCCACUGCCUGCAACUCCCUCUUCAUCCUCUCUGCAUCUCUUGCAUUAAACGUCUGCAACUCAACCCUCUUCUUCAGCUCUUCAUUCUCCUCGCAAAUUCUAUUAUUCUCCUCAACCUUCACCCCCAACUCCUUCUCCUUCUCCUCCAAAAUCUUCUCCACUGAUGCAAUCCUUCUUGAAAAUUCUGCAAUUAUUGCAUGAAAUUUCUUCACAUCCUCCUCCAACACCCCCCUCUCCUUCUCCACAACCUACUUAGCCGAAGGGCCCGACAUCAAUUCCUCCAACCUCCCCUCCCUCUCUACCACUUCCUUCUCCAAUGCCUUCACACCUUCCGCCACUGCAUCCCUCUCCCUUUCCAACUUCCCCAUAAACUCCCUAUCCACCGCCUCCAUCCCAUCAUCAUCCCCGCGAAUAUAAUGCAAGUAACUAUCCAAUGCAUACACAAAAGUAUUGUCAAAACACUGCAAGUUCGACACAAGAUGGUCAUUAUACAAUGCGAUCUGAACCAACCAAUGCAUUACGCCUAAAGGGAAGGCCAAGCAUGUGGGGUUCCGGGGGCUUUGAGAGCGGACUUGUUGAGCUUGAUCAGAAAAUUGAGGUGCUUGAGGAUACGAAGAUCGUCUUCAAGUUUGGUUGUGGGGAAAUCGAGUUGGGAGAUGAGGAAUUUUAGGGUUUCGGAAAUGUCUUUGGCGGAGGGGAGAGGGGGUUUGAGGGGGAGAGGAGAGACAUGGGAGGCGAGAAAGGAGUUGAUGGUGCGAAUGGCGGAGAGUUGCUACGACCGGUUGGUGAGGACAUCGCCGGCGGAGGAGCGGUUGAUUCCAAGGGAGGAAGGGCGGCUGCUGGCAAAACUAGAAUCAGAGUUGCGGCUGAAUUGGCUGUGCUGGUCGACGGAGGGAGGUGCUGGCGGCGGUGGGCGGAUAGAGUCCUUCGGAGGACGGCGGCCAGUGGCUUUCAUCUCCGGCUGUGAUGGGCGUCUCUCUCUCUUCUGAGUUCUUGUGAAUUCUGAAUCUCUCUCUUUCCCGCCUAUGGGCUACAGGGAAAAUGACACUGCUUUUUAAAUUUUAUUUUCGAAAACAUUUUGUUAAAUGAAUUAUUUUUAAAACUAUUAAGAUAUUAUUUCAUAUUUUUAAAAAAAUUAAGAUAUUAUUUGGAAUUAGAGUUCAAUGGAAAAGUUAAGGCCCUUAAUUUCUUAUUCAAAAGAUAGUGGGUUUAGCUUUAACUUGAAAAAAAAAAAAAAAAAUAUAUAUAUAUAUAUAUAUAUAUAUAUAUAUAUAUAUAUUUGAGGAAAAUUAUAUUGAUACCCCUUGGCUAUUUGACAAUUACACUUAACCACCCUCAAAUUUUUUAAAUUACAUUGAUAUCACUUGACCAUAAUGGAUAAGGGUCUCCAACGGGCGGGCCGGGUCGUAAAUAGGAGGCCCGCGGCCCAGCUCGGGCCGGGCCUAUGGGCCAUGGAAAAAUGUUAGGCCCACGGCCCGGCCUAUGAGCCCGCGGGCUAGCGGGCCGGGCCUAUGAGCCCGUGGGCUAGCGGGCCGGGCCGCCGGGCCAAGCCUUGGGCUUUUUUAAAUAAGCCAAAAUGGCUUUAGGAAGGAAGGGAGAGGGGGGGAUUCGAACCCCUCCCCUCAUGCUUUAAUAUAAAGGCUCUAACCAACUGAGCCACAUUUCUUUUGUGUUAACUAAAUGAGUUAGUUAUAUAUAUAUAAGAUAAAGUAUAUUAUUUUUUAAAAAAAAAUUAAAGGCUCCAACGGUCAUGUGACCGUUGGAGCUCCAGCCCAACUCCCAGCUACCAUGUGAUCGUUGGGCAACGGUCACAUGGCCAAUUUUUUUUUUUUUUUUCUAAAGCCUUCCUAUAAAUACCUCUUCUCCCUUUUCAUUUUUUCAUCAAAUUCUCUCUAUUUCUCUCUCUAUUUCUCUCACAUUCUACAAUAUUUCAAAUUCUUUUAUUUUUCCCUCAAAUUAUACAAUAUUGUUGGUGGUGCAAAACAAGCAUUGAUGGCUCCAAGAGUUCAAAUUUGCUAGGAAUUUCUGCAUCGGUUCUCUAAUUGAGUAACAUACUUCACCCCUGCUACUUUAUUUUUUUGUUACAUUUUUUUUAUAUUUAUUACUUUAUUAUUUUUGGCAUAAUAUUUUAUCAAUAAUUAUAAUAUGACAAGUGCUUCUUCUUCAUCUAGUCCAUGUGAUGAAAUAUCAUCAAACAAAAAAUUUACUUCAAAUAUAUGGAAUUUUUUUGAUAGAGUAGAAAUAAUUUUAGAAAAUAAUAAAAAAGAAAUAAAAGCAAAAUGUAAAAUUUGUAAUAAAUUUCUUACUGGUGGCUCAAAUGCAGGCACAAGUCAUUUAAAAAGACAUCACGAAAAUUGUAAAACUAAAAAUAAUGUAGAUAUUAGAAAUUAUAUGCAAUUAGGUAAAAAUGAAAGUGGAAAUUUAAAAACAUUUUCUUAUGAUGAAUCUAACUGUCGUGAAGAAAUGAUUGAUUAUAUAAUAAGAGCAGAACAACCUUUCAACAUGAUGGAAACUCAUGAUUUUGUAGGAACAAUUCAACGAGGUAUUAAUCCUCAAUUUAAAGGUUGGUCUGGAAAUACAGUUAAAAGAGAUAUUAUGAAAAAAAUUUAUACACAAAAAGAAAUUUUAAAAAUUUUUUUUGCAAAUUUUGAAGGAAAUAUUUGUUUAACAUCUGAUAUUUGGACAUCUUUAACUCACACUGGUUUUUUAUGUAUAACUGCUCACUACAUUGAUAAUGAAUGGAAAUUAAAUAAAAGAAUAAUUUCAUUUAAAUUAAUAAAUGCUCCACAUAGUGGUAAAAAUAUAGCAUCUUUAAUAAAUGAUGAAAUUAUAGAUUUAGGCAUUCGUGAUAAAAUAUUGACAAUAACAUUAGAUAAUGCUGCUAAUAAUGAUACAACAAUACAUAGACUAAAACGAUAUUGGCAAGUAAAAGAAGAUCAUGCUAAAAUAUUUCAUGUGCGUUGUUGUGCACAUAUUUUAAAUUUAAUUGUAAAGGAUGGAUUAAAAAAUGUUGAUGAUACAUUGGAAAAAAUUAGAGGCAUUGCAUAUAGUAUUAAUAGUUCUCAAGCAAAACAUGAAUUAUUUUUUGAUUGUUGCAAAAUGUUAAAUAUGAAAAGAAAAAAUAUAAAUUUGGAUAUGGCCAUUAGAUGGAAUUCCACAUAUAAACUUUUACAAAAUAUUACAAAAUAUAGAAAAGUAGUCGAAUUAUAUGAAAUACAAUUACUUAACAAUGAUUGUGAAGCAGAUAUUUAUGCAUUAAGUGAUUAUGAUAGGCAUGUUGCAGAUCUUUUAAGAGAUCUUUUUGAAAUUUUUGAUACUUCAACAAACAUUUUUUGUGGUGUAUAUUAUCCAACUUCAAAUCGAGUUAUUAUGCAAAUAACUAAUAUUUUUAUUGUACUUCAAAAAUAUUUAAGUUUUGAAAUAUUUAAUGAUACAAUAUUUGCAAUGAUAGAAAAAUUUAGAAAAUAUUGGGGGGAAAUACCUUUAAUUUUUUAUAUUGCUUUAAUUGUGGACCCUAGAUUGAAAUUUGAAGCUUUGGAUGAAUGGUUAACAAUUAUUUAUUUUAAUGACCAAAUAAAAAUUGAAGAAAUUAAAAAUGAAAUAAAUUCAUUAUUACAUAAUUUAUAUAACUAUUAUAAAGAAAAAUAUGGUAAUGAUAUUAAUACUAAUAAAUUACCACCUACAUCUACAAACUCCUCAUCUUUUUAUAAAGGAGCUCUAGAAAUGUUGAAAAGUCGAAAAAAGACAACAAAUAGUUCUCCAAAUAAUACAUCUGAUUUAGAUAAAUAUCUUAAUACUGAUAUAAUUCCAUUUGAAGAUCAAGAAGAUUUUGAUAUUUUAAUAUGGUGGAAAUCACAUCAACACAAAUAUCAUGUGCUUUCUAUAAUUGCUCGUGAUGUACUAACAGUUCCUGUGAGUACAGUUGCAUCAGAAGCUGCUUUUAGUGCAGGUGGAAGAGUUAUUAGUAAAAAACGAUGCAACUUAGCGCCAGACGUUAUUGAAGCAGGGAUAUGUGUAAAAGAUUGGGAAAUAGCAGAUAAAAGGAUGUACGAUUCCAUUCGAGAAACAGAGAUGCUUGCCGAUAUGGAAUCUUUAAAACUAUCAAGAUCUUCAUGGAUGCAUGAUAGUUCGCCAUCACCGCCAGAAAAUAAUGACUAAAUGUAUAUUAUAUUUUUAUUUUUAUUUUUUGUGGUUGAAAAAUACAGAUGAUUGACAAAUAAAUAGGUGCCAACCUAGUUGGGAUGUAUUUAUUUUGUAGUGAUGUAAACUUUUCCCACAUUUUUAAAUGUAAUUAUACAUUCAAUGAAUAAAAUUUUGAAAUGAAUAUUUUUUUUAAUACUUUUUAUUUUUGUAUUUUUUUUUUAAAGGGGCGGGCCUACGGGCGGGCCUACGGGCUGGGCGGGGCCUAAAUUUAGGCCCGCGGCCCGGCCCGCCCAUAAACGGGCUCGGGCCGGGCUCGGGCCCGCGGGCCGCGGGCUUUUUGGAGACCCUUAAUAAUGGAGCAUAACAAUCCAUGUUAUCAAAUCUUUCAAAAUAAUUAAAUAAAAUAUCUAAAAUAUCCUUUAAAGUUCGUUUUAUUUCAUUUCAUCGUACCACAUUUUUUAAUUAAUUUUAACUAAAGUUUUUAAUACAAAAAUUUAAUUAAUUUUUAUUAAAUAGUGUAUUGUAUUAUCUAAUUAAUCAAACUGAAAUCCAUUUGGCAAAGAAGGAAAAAAGUACAUUCCAGACUGCUACUUAAUAAGUUUUCUUGAUUUUAGCAAAGAAAUGCCCGAAUCUCUUUCAGGAGCUUGUGAUCCAGGAAGAUCAAACCCCAAAUCUAUGGCUUUCAAAUUCAACCAUGUGGAUGUAACCCAAAUGGAACUACAGCAUCCCUGAAAAUGCCUACCUUAGUAAUGGCAGACCCCAAAUGGCAAUGGACCCCCACAAGCUUCAGCUCAUUAGGAUGUGCUUUCACAGCACCAAGAAACCAUUGCAACUUUUCAUUUCUAAUUCCAAAUUUGGAGUUCUUUUUCCCAGUGGCAACAUAAAAAUGGACCUAAGGACCCACAUCUUGCUAAUUUCUACACCCUUUUAUAUAUACUUCAAACCAUUGAAAGUUUCUACAUAUGUUCCAUUCAACAAAGAUUUGAGCAAUACAAGAGUCUCAUCCAUGUCCCAGAUAUAUACAUUCAUUAUCUGAUCCAAGGUCUUCUACUCUUCUUAGCAAAAGCUCUCACAGAAGCUUUCAUCUUUUGAUUGGAAUUUGUUGAAUUGCCAUUGAUUAACUCAUCCCUUUUAGUGUCCAAUGCAAGCAACAGAAUCUUAGGUUAAAGCCAGGGCAACAAAGAAAAGAAGAUGGAUAGUCUUUCUGAUUAUCAUUUUCUGCAGGUAGAGGGCACUCACAUAUAACUUCCCAUUUAUCAUCAUCGCGAAUGGAACAACUCCUUGGAUGAGAAAUAUAGCUACUAUUCUACACAAAUUUCCAACCACAAUUGAACUUAUUGGGUCACAAGCUGGAUUUCCUAGUCAUAUGUACAACGAUUGGCGAUGCUCCUACAAUAAUAAGACCAGUAGCUGCAGUGCCAUCCUCUGUCAUGACUGCAACAGAUGUGGGAUCAGGACCACACUAAGCAUAAUCUCUCACUUUCAUUCCCUCUGCAGCUGCUCUUGGCAACAUGAUUUCCCAUUUUCUUCCAUUGGGCUCUAGGAUAAUCCAAUCACACAUCUCUUAAGAGUGUAAAUCACAUGGACAAGCUAGGUACUGUUUUUUGACAACCUGAUUGUCAUCAAGGGAGUACCUCAUGCCUUUUCGGCUUGAAUGUACACAUUAUUUGCAAGACACCUUUUCCACUUACUUUCCAAUGAAAAUUGCAUGCCUAACUACUGAGGACCAAGGAAGCUAGAGCUCACAUUAGAAUCAUUGAAUAUAGGAAAAGGUUUCAAACUCAAAGACAAGGCACUCUGCAAAUUGUUAUCAACCCAACCAAAUUCUUGCUUUGUACUGUCCAUGAAGUGUGAAGGUUGUAUUAGGAUGGAGCUCUUAAAAACAUGACAUGAUGUAAUAGAUUCGAAAUUCCUUAUUUAUUUAAUGAUAUUCCAAUUUCACUUUUAUCUAUCCUUAUUCCAUGUAUUACACUUUAUGAGUAUUCUUGUUUCUUUUGCAGUAUAUGUAACUUGAGUGCAUUUAUGAGUUAUAGGGAAGAUCCAAGUCAUGGGUUCCUUGCAAAUAGAUGACUUGUUCAAAAUCGGUUUGUGGGUUUAGAUAACUUAUUAGAGACUAUAGUGCGCCACCACCUUCUAAUUGAGGGAUAACUGGUCUUUAAUAUCGAGAUGAGUUUUCCAUGGUGAGUACACUAGUGUGUAUGGUUACACAUUGGACAGGACUUAUGGUGAGUCAUGACUUAAGGUUAUUAAGUAUUUGUGACCUUAUCAAACUACUUCAUUGUGUUGUCUCUCAACCUUGAGAGAAUAUUGAGUUUGUGCCAAAGUUAGCAAUGACUUUGACCUAUGGGUGAGAUCGUAAGUUGAUAAUAUAUUCUUUAUGGAUUGGAUCACUAUUGAUGGAAGUUGGUGGCAAUAGGUAUUCUGAAUAGAAGCACCAUGAUAUCUCAUAGGAUUGAGACAAUGUGUCCCCUUAGGUGGUUCUAAGGAGGUGUGUUCAUGGAAACUAUGGUUAUUUUAGUUUCUUAAGUAGAACUUGACAUAAACUCUUUGAGAGUUAAGACAUGUUAGUCGAACACAUAAUGAAAGGAUCUGUAACUCAAUGAUAAUAGAGGUAGUCUUAAAAGACUGACAAUUUUUACCUUGUUAGAUUACGAACAUUAGUUCAUAGGGAGACUGAACACAAUUGAUAACAAGUCACAAACCCGAGUACACAAUGUCUCGUUGUUAUUUACAUAAGAUAUUGGAGUUAUGGUCCCCGGUUUGAGCUCAUAUAUCUUGUUGGCAUAGGUUAUGAGGGUGUGAUUGGUUUUAGGUUCACUUUUAUACAUAAGGGUCUUUUGGUAAUUACAUAAGAUUGUACAAGGAUAAGUGAACAAGGUCUUUGGAUUAAGCUAAUUAAUUAAUUAAUUAAUACUAUUAGGUUAAUUAAUCAAUUAGGAUACAAUUUGAGAUAGAUUAAUUAACCAAAGCCCAUGUGAGCUUAACUCACUUAAGCCUAGUUAGGAACCCUAUAAAUACCCAUAGGGGUUAGGGUUUCUAUCACUUGUAUCUUCCACCAUCAUCCAGAGAGAAAAAUGAGACAUAGUCUAUUGGUUGAUACUUCUAUAUUCUAAAAAGUCAAGCCACUCCACUUCUCUUGUAUUCUAGUACCGCUAUUGGAAACUUCAACAACAACAGACUAUAGAAGAGCACCCUAGCUCCCAUUAUUAAUAGAAUGAAAUGUGUUCAUGUAACUUGCAUGUUCCCAUGCAUUACCAAAGCUCCAAUGCCAUGUCAAUGCACUUGCAAAAAUAAGAAUCCCAAUUAUCAUCCAUAUCGAACAUAAUCUUCUCUUCUAUUGGAUCUAGGGUGGACAAACUUGGAGAAGGGUCCAUUUGUAUUGCCUUUUUCUUAUGAGUACCCAAGCUAACCUGGUCACUCUUGUUUCCUAUUGAAUUCCCGACCUUACAUUUCUUUGUAAAGCCUUUCCUAAUGGGAGUUUUAUGAUAGAACCCUACUAUUAAAAUCUUGAAUGGGAAUUUGGCCAAAGAAGUUCCUCCCCUAAAAUCCUUGCUCUGCUAUGAAAAUAACAUCUGACGUGUGAUCUUGCUCCUGAGGUGCAAUGUCUAGAAAGGCAUUACUGUAACUAGAUGGUAGCAUUGGAGGCUUCUCGUGCACUAGCAACAGGAGUAUCAUACAAAAAUGCAUCAAGCUGUUGCAGACCCAGACCCAGACCCAUUGAGUCGUUCUAUGACGACCCGUUGCUGAUUGGAACUUGCUAACUUGUUUUCUCAAACAUCCACGAUUGCUCUAGUGUUCUUUGUCUCGUGGAAAUGAAUACUCAAAUGGUGCCCAAAUUACAAACGAGAAUAUAGAAGAAAAAAAAAACAAGAGGUCUCCAAAGCUCCAUUUCACACUUUCUCAAUGGGCAUAAAGGAAACCGGUGGAGAACCUAAAGAAUAGAUGAACCCAGAUUUAUGCAUAUUUUGAUACAAAACCACAUAAACAAUAGAUGAAAUAGUAUAUCCAUACAUAAAUUAGAAAACAAUAUUCAAUAAAAUGAAAAUGAAACACAUUAUUAUAAAUGAAGAUGAAUAGGGAACUCAAAAUAUCCAUCCCUGGAAGGGUCCCCUCUGCUUCUCUUCUCUUGAUGCUAUUCUCAUAGUUCAAAGUCACGAAAUCGGUGAUUGACUCGGGAGGUCCUAAGGCACAUCGUUCUCGGUAUCUCGGAUCGGUAUCGGGUGAUAUGCAAAAAAUUCUAAUUUAAGAGCUCAAAAUAAUUUUUAAAAAUUAUGAAAAUUAUUAAAAAAUCAAAUACAAAUAAGUAGAGUAAAAAAUUAAUAAAAUAAACUUCUAUUAUAUUAAAAUUAUUCAAAUUAUAAUAAAAACAUACUUUUGGGAUGAUUUAUAAUAAUAUUAAAAAUCUCUAAAAAUAUUUUAAUUUAAUCACUUGAUAAUAAAUGUUUCUAUUGAAGAUGCAAAUAAUAAAAAGUAAAUUUUUUUUUUAUAAAAAAUUGUUUAAAUUAAAUAUUUUGAAUUUUUAAAAAUAUUUUCAAUUAUUAAAAAAAAUAAAACCAUGAUUCAUCUUUAAAAAAAUAAAUAUAUUUUUUCUUAUAAAAUAUAUUCAUUAAUUUUAAUUUUUAUAUAAAUAUUCAUUUCCUAUUUAUUUGAUAUAAGUCUAAUAUUCAUUAUUCAUUUUUUAUCAUUAUAAUUUUCAUCAAAUUAUUUAAAACCCAAAUCCCCACCAAAUACUCAUUAUCUACUUAAAAAACAAAUACAUAUUUAAAACCCAAUUUCUCAUCUCUGUUAGAUACCCAUAACCCCCAUCCACCCGUCAAACACUUAUCUCUCUCAAGAUACCCAUUUCUCCUCUAAACCCACAACUCCCUAUUUCUCUGCAAAAUACCACAACUUCUUGUUUCUCUGCAUAAUACCCAUUUUUGAAGAGUUUUUAGACCAAAUACAAAAUAUCUUUAUGAAGAUACAAAAAUAUGAAGAUGUUCUAACUCUUUAUAUUUUUCAUUUUCGUGGGUUUUGAUCCUCUCAUCUUCUUCACAAUUUCUACUCCAAUAUUACUUUUUUUUCCAUUACCAAUUACCCAAAUAGCUUAGUCUCAACAUGAUUUUGGAGUUGUCUCAAAGUUUUCAUAAGAGUUACUUUGAGAUUGUUCAUUUAUCUUCAAUUCAACCGAAUUUAUUCACAAGCUGACAAAAUAUCCAACUCUGGUAUUGGCCUAGUAUUGACCAUGGUCGAGGCGGAUACAACUUGGCCGAGUUGUACUGGCCUCAAUCGAGAUUUUGAACCCUACCAACAAGCCCCCUCCAAGAAAACUUGAGCCAAAAGAGUGAAAAAGGCCCCUUCACUAAAGGCGAAAAAGCCUUUAAAAGAAACAAAGGAAGGCUAGAAUGAGUGUACACGUGUCCUCAUCCCAACCCAGCUACUCAAAGGCUCUAAAAUUCCAAAAACAAACCUUAAAAAAAACUAAUCCUAAUGAGCAUCCGGUAAUCCUGCUAGGACCUGAAAUAGCCCUUUAAGUGGCCUCCAAAAUAUAACUCAAAAAUCAAUAAUGAGAAACAUGGACCACUAAGGGAUGAUGAAAAACCGAGCAAAAAUGGAUUUAAACACAUGCUAAAAAAAGAGUGGGGUGAGAGAAAAAAUAAUAAUAAUAAAAUAUGUGUGUUAGGGCCAAAAUAGAGGGUCUAUAGUGUUUUUGCUAAAUAAUAAAAACCUAUUUGAGCAUAUGAUUUACAAACAAAUUUGUUUUUAAAAAAAUUGUAUCACUCUUUGAUUAUUGUGCUCUAUAAACAAAACAAAACAAAAACCAUUUUUUUUUACUAGAGAUUCAAAUUAAGGAAGACUUUUUAUUAAAUUUAUUAAUAAGUUUAAUAAUUUUUUAAAAGAAAAUUUGAAACUCAAAAAAUAUAUAUAAGGAUUAUAAAAAAUAAUGGAAAUAAUUAAUAUUUUGAAUUCUUUAAUAAACAUUUUAAUUUUUAAUAAUAAUUUGAAAUUCAUAAAACUAAUUUAUUAAUUAUAAAUUAAAUAAAAAAUUUAAGAAUACCAUGUUUGAGUAUUAAAUGUAUGUAUGUAAUGAAAAAUUUGACUCAUUUAUACUUAAAAAAUUAAAAUUUAUUUAAUUUUAAAUUCAUUUAAAAUAAAUUAGUAUUAGCAAUUAUUAAUUUUGAAUUAUUAUUAUUAUUAUUUAUUAACAAAAUAAAUCAAUUAUGUUUUCAUAUUUUUAUAAUAUUUAUAAAAAUAUAAUUUGUGAUUUUAUUAUAAUAUUACUAUUAAUAUUUUAUUUAAAAUAUUUAUUUUUAAUUUUUUAAUAAAAAAUAUUUUUUAUUUUUAAUAAGGCACAAAUUAAAUUUAGUUUAUAUCAUAUAACUUGAAUUUACAAUUUGUUUCUUAUAAAAUCAAAAUAAAAAAUUAUUUUUAAAAACAACUUAUCAAUAAAAGGUUUAGAUUUUAAAAUUUUUGAAAAAUAUCUUUAAAAAUAAAUUGUAUUAUAGAAUCAAAGUACCUCCUACUAAGUAUAAGAUGAAAUAUCAUUUAUAAGUAAAAUUUCAUUUCCUUUGAAAUUAUUUUUAUAUCAUUAUCAUCAACACUUGAGUUAUCUAAAUAUAGAAAUGAAUGUGAAAAGGAAUAACAUAUCUAUUCUCACUCUUCAUUCCCACAUAUCAAACAUAACCUCAAGAUAUGACCAUUUAGUUUUGUUUACAUCAUUUUCUUUAAAAGAGAAAAUAAAAAUAAAUAAAUAAAAAAAUUAAAAAAAUGGAUCCUAGUUUGUAGGUACUUGAAAUAAAGAUGGAUUUUAGUCUCAAAUUAAUAUAAAAUAUAUAUUUUAACAAUUAGAUUUUAAACAUCUUUUAAGUGUGUGAUAAUAAAGCGUUUAAUGGAACUAGCACGCAUGAAUGGUAGUUAUUUCAUAUAAAAUAAUGCAAAACAUGCCUUUAUUAUUAUUAUUAUUAUUAUUUUUAAUUUCUUGUGUCUUUUUUUUUCACCAACAAAUAUUUAAGAAAAGAAAUUCUUUUUCUUUUGACCUUUUCUACCCACACAACAUUUCCUUGGAUAAAUAUUAAUAAAAUAUUGUUUUAUAUUAAUAUUAAGAUAAUAGAAAACAAUAUUUACAAAUUAUAGAUGUAAAUUGUUCUAUUGUGCAUUGCAAUAUUAUAUUUUUAUUUUCUUGGGGUGAAAUAGGAAGUUUCUUUUUUUGACAAUAAUUUUUAUUUUUCUCUAAACAAUUAUGUCCAUAUAAAAUAAUUUUGUGAAAAAUCACAAUAAGGAAUAAAUGAUUUAAAAAUGUAUACAAUUCUAACCAAUUUCAAUUAUAUUUAUUUAUUUUUUUCAUAUUUUUCACAAUGAAACCAAACAUGAUAAAGCCAUUUUUCUUGAUAUUUUUUUUAUUUUUUCCUUGGUACUUUUGGGGAACCAAACAUAAGUUUAAUGCUUUAGGAGGUGAAAAAAAAAAUUGUAGCGCAAUCCACAAUUAACUAGGAUAUAUACUUGUUCCCAUGUGCUUGGUACAAGGCACCAAGUAUAAUUAUAUGAAAUCCUCAAUCUACUGCAUAAGAUUCAAUUUUAUAAAGUUCUUGCUACUGAUAUAGGUAAACAACAAUUUAUAUAUGCUUGAAUUAAUUCCUUAAGUCAAUGGUUAACACCCAUGACAUAUUUUUAGUUCCUUGAUGAUUAUGUUAUAAUAUGAACAUUUUAAAAGCAUGAUUCUAGCUUCAUUAGCAUGAACUACAUCUAAUGAUAUGUGAUUCCCUAUCACUAUGUUUGGUUCCAAGGAAGAAAAAUCCUCAUGAAAAGGAUUUUCUCAUGAAAAAAAUCCAAGAAAUUAUGAAGGACCAUGAAAAUGAUUCUUGGAAAUCAAACACAACCUCGUGAAAUAUACUUGCAUUAAUAAUUAUAUUAUUUGUUUGUUGUACUAUAUUUAUGAAAUUGAAAUCUUGCUUUUUAUAAUUUAUCUUUAGGUGGAAACCCUAAGGACAAUGAGGAGAAGUUAAUCUCAAGAUGCAAGUGUGAUUCUGAAUGUUGCUAAGGUGGUCUACUCUUGCAUAUGAAGUUAAUCUCAAGAUGCAAGUGAGAUUCUGAAUGUUGCUAAGGUGGUCUACUCUUACAUAUGAUCAGUCUCGCUUAUUUUCAUGACCAUAAGGAAAGAUGCUACAUUGAAAGUGUGAAUUAGGAAUGUUGAAAAAUGAAAACUUGAAUUGAUAUAUGUUUUUGCCUCUAAGAUGUGUGGUUAUAGGCAAUUUUCGUGGGUAUGUAAUUAACCUUAAUGUUGCAUAUGAAGCAUAUCACCCUCUAUAUAUCUUUUUAACUGGUUGGAGCUCUUAUAGAAGGUGAAAGACAAGUGUCACAUAUUUAAGUAUUUCUAAAACUCUCAUGCGGUACUUAGAUAAUUCAAGUCGCUUGAAAUUACUAAGUCCUUUAGGUUGUGAAAAAGGUCUCUAUCACAUUUCGCACAUAUUAUGACCAUCACAUUUUAACUCAAGUGUUUAUUUUAAAAUACUUUUGCAUUAAACUCCUUUCCGAAAGCAUUAAAUUAAUACCAUUCUCUAAUCUUCCACGACUUGGUUUGUCAACUUCGGGUUAUUACCCUCUAGAGCCAACUUUCAACUUAAUCAAUCCAACACAAUUGUUAUUGAUUCAUGGUUAAUUAACAAAUUCUCUAAUGUUAUGAUUGGUUUUUGAAAAAUUGGAGGCAAAAGAAAAUAAAGAGAAAAAGUAGAAGAAAAUGAAAUAUGAAGGAAUAUAAAAAUUUAUAUUUAAAGUUAAUAAAUUAUUCUUAUUUUUUAUUUUAAACCCAUUUCACAUACAUAUUAUUUUAAUAAUAUUUUUUUUUCUAUUUUCCAUGGAGAUGCCAAACAUUAAAAAAUUAUUUUCCUUAAUAUUGUUUGGGAAUUAAACAUAACCUAAUUACUUAUCAUUGUGUAAAUAGCUUAAGAUACCAAUAAUACUAUUGUUGUUGUGAGAAUAGUUUAAGAUACUAAUAAUACUUCUUAAUAGAUACCAUAUACGUGUGUGGAAUAUUCAUGGUUCAAUAUUGUCACUACCUUACAAUUGUGGACUCCAAUUGAAUAUUAUGUGUUAGCCCAAGGGUUCUCCUAAUCGGGUUUUGAUGAUAACAAACCAUGGUUAAGUGACUAAUUGUUUUAAAUGGUAAAGAAUCUCAGGUAUAAAUUCGGAAAUUCAUCCAAUGACCAAAUGGAUACAAGAUCGAGACUAUUGGAAGUCCCUUGAUCAUAGGAAACAAAUGUAAGAUGAAUGCAUGGGUGCACUUAAGGUUUUCAUACCACUUCAUGCAUCUUUGAAAAACUCGGUUUAUCCUUUAAACUUUCAAAUUCAUUAAAACCCAAGUUUUUAUCAAAUGUACCUUAGACAAAAUGUUUUAAAUUGGCAUAUUAAUUCACCUAAAGACCUUGCCUAAGUAUUAGAAAAGAAAUGAAUUUAAAAAGGUUGGCUUUCAGGGCCAAAAGGCUGAACCGGUCGAGGCUAUGACCAACUGGCUCAACCAGUUGGGGAACCGGUCGACCGGUUGCCCUUGUCCGAUCAAGGUUUGGUUGAGGAGUGUCAAAAACACUCUCUCUCAUCCAGUAGCAUUCUCUUCCCGGUUGAGGUUCACCCCCUUCCCUAUCGAGGUCCGAUCGAGGUUCGGUCGAGGCAACGGUAACCUGUCAAAGCAUUUAAUGCCUAACGGUUAGUGAUCGGGUCGACCCUUAGCUCGAUCGGUCGAGGGUACCUUUUGCUGUUUUUGACUCCCGAGCUUAGAAACCUAUAAAUUGAGAGCUCCACUUCAUUUAUGAAUAGAGAGAACACUUGCAAUCAAUUGUCUACCUACAUGUUCUUGAUCAAAAAGCUCUCAUUUCUUUCUUAGUGCAUUAAAUCAUCACUUGCAUACUCCUUAGUGCACCUUUGUGAGUCAUCCUAGCCUUGUUUUGUAUUUGAUCUAUCUUUGAUCUAGGUUGAGUGUUUCAUUCUUGUAAAAACCAAGUGUUUAAGCCUUCAAGAGGUGUGAUUCUUGAAGAGAUUGUGUAAGAGCCCAUUGGAGCCGGAAUCCAAGUGUAAGAAGAUUAGAAACUUGGUUGAAGCUUCAAGUUAGUGGAACCCUCACUCGGUUAGGAGAUUGAGGAGAGUGGACGUAGGCAAGGAAGUGUCGAACCACUAUAAAACCUGAGUUUGAAUUCUCUAACUCUAUCUCUUUACUUUCGUUUAUAUUGUGCUUGAACUUGUUGUGAUUGAAAAGAUUUUUUAAAAACCCAAUUCACCCCCCUCUUGGGUGUUUUUCUUAAUUAAGCAUAACCUUUAUUUUCUCAUUAUGAAUUAAUGAUGCGAUCUUUCUUCAAACAAAUAUUGUCAGUUAAGUUAAAAUGGUUGAAUUAUUUCAAUAGGUCAAACCUCAAUAUUCCAAAUAUUUCUACUUAGAUUAAUUAAGGUCUUCAUGAGUUGACUUUAAUUCUUUGCUUCUAAAUUUCAUCUCUUAAGGUAUCUUAGAUGCUUCCCUGUUUUACUUAGUCUUGUAAUUGAUUAGGAGAUUAUUGUAGACCAAAUGAUAUGCAAAUUAUUUCUUUUAUAGAUGUUUUUCACUUGCUUUAGAGCUAAGAUUUUAUAAACUAGUUUUUGUCUUCUUUUUUUUUUUAACUUUUUAUUUUCUUAUUCUAGAACACCCCAAAUAUAUAUUGUCAUGAACUUUCAAGGAAUAAAGUCAUUUGGUUUUUAUUGUGUUAUUUUCUUUAAAAGAGAAACUAAAAAGGGAAAGAUCCUAGUAUGUAGUUGAAAUAAAGAAGGAUUUUGGUCUAAAAUUAACAUAAAAAAAUAUUUUGACAAUGUGAUUUUAAAUAUCUUUUAGGCGGUGUUUGGCAAACUAACUUAAUAAUUUAAUAUAAAUUAAUAGCUUAAUUUGUUAUUAAGUAGAUUAACCAUGUUUGGUAAAAUAACAUAAUAUUAUAACAUAAAGUUAGUAUUAAGCCAAAAUAAUCAACUUGAUGAUGUUUGAUAAAUUGAUUUAAUGACUUAAUAUGACUUAAUAACUUAAUUUAAGUCAUUGAAAAGAUUAAGCAUGAUUGGUAAAAUAACUUAAUAUUACAAUUUGAAGUAAUAAUCCAAAAGGGUUAAUUUCAUUGAGACCUUAUGAGGUUUGCUGCAAAUGCACCCGACCAUCAUUGGUUUCAAAUUUCAUCAAUUGGCACAUCUAUAAAUUUAUUUCAUUUAUUUUUUGAGAAAUCUCAGGUAAAACUAUUUUAGAUAUGAGUUUUUAACAAUUCACUAAAACCUAAAUUUUAUUCUUUUAAAAAUAAAAUUUAUAUAUAAAAUACAUUUACAAAGGUGCUAACUAAUGAAAUUUAAAACCUACGGUAAACUUGAAGGAGCCUCAAUAAAAUUAACCUAAGUCAAAAUAGUGAACUUAUUUUUAAUCUCAAAUCCUUUUUACCUUAUUUGCCUAAAUUUAUGAUUUAUUUUUUAUAAUAAAUAUUUUAUGAUUGUAUUAUGCACAAUACUUUAAAUAUGAAUAUUUAAUAAAAAAAUUUAUUAUCUAAGAUUAGUGAAAAUAUAGAUAUUAGUUAAAAUUAAUAGGGGUAAAUAGGUCAAUUUGACAACAUAGAAUAAAUCUUAAAUUAACUUUACCAAAUAAUUUUAAUACUUAAGGAAAAAAAAUAAGUAAUAAAUUUUAAGUUAACAACUUAAGAACCAUUUAACUUAAACUCAACUUAAGUUGUUAAGUAAUAAGUGUUAAGUUUUACCAAAUAAAGCUUUUAAAGGAAUUAUUAAAUCAAAAGACAAAUAUUAAAAUAUAAAAAAUGAGAAAGAAAAAAAAUAUAAAAAGGAACAUGCACAAUGCAAAUAGAACAACAGUGCAAAACAUCUAUUUUUAUUUGUUUUUUUUUUAAAUCUCUCUCCCUCACUCUCUCUCUCUCUCCAAUAACAAAUAUUUAAGAAAAAAAUAUAUGAUGGUACAACAAACUUAAGAUAAUUCAUAACAUCAAUAAUAUAAUACAAAAUUGAUAUAUAGGUCUCUUUUCUUUGUCCUUUUACCUUUUCUACCCCCACACAACCUUUUGGUGCCAUAAAUAUAACUAAAAAAUUAUUUUAAUAUUAAGAUGACAAAAACUAAUAUUUAAAAAAUUAUAGAUUUUCAUCUUUCCCAAGAAAAAUUUGAAAACACGAAAUUUAUGUUUUUAGAUUUCCUAUUUUUAAAACUCUAGUUACUGAAAAAUUGAUUUAUGUUUUCCUUUAUAUAGUUUUCAUUUUUGAAAAGUAUUUUCACUUCUUUUGAUUUAAGACAUUUUCAAGAUAAGAAAAAAAGAAGAAGCUAAUUUUAGAAAAUGAAAAUAAAAUAAAGAGAUUGUGGACCCCGCAUUUUUCACAAUGCGUUCCCACUCGAUGGCGAUUCACUUUUUUAUUUAUUUAGUGAAAAAUUUUGAUUUUUAGAAAAAUACUUGAAGCAUAUUUCACAGGAGCGGGUGAGGGCUUGGUUGACUCAUACACCGUUUGAUUAUCCUAUUCGCCCAUACACCAUGAGCCUAGUUGAUUACUUCGUGAGGGCGUCGGAGCCACUGACCCAAUCAGACGGGAUCAUUGGGGGACUUAGUACCACUCAGGAGGCCGAGCUUCAGCACCUCGUUCGCCAACUACAUUUGAGUGAUGGAGCCCCUGGUACUUCAUCAUCUGUGUAGACCGCCCAUGCCUCUCCAGACCGCAUAAGCCUUAUGAUGCUCUAUUUCCCUGAUGAGAUCAACGAGCACGGGACAUUUGCUGAGGUAGGAAAUAUAGUAGAUGGAGCCACCCCACAUGAUGAGUACGUCGAUGAGAUGCUCGCAAUGAUCUUAGGUCAAAUCGAGGAUGUAGUUCAGCCGAGGCUCGCCUCACCGUUCGAUCUUUUCGAGGUGUCCAUCAUCGAGAUUGCUGAGGAGAUCCGGACUUCCCCUGCUCCAGAGUCUGCUGAGGAUGUCAUAGCUAGUGAUGAUUUGUCUGAUGGACAUGUUGGCUUUGUUGAGGGAGCGUCCAACUUUGUAGACCCACCUAUUUCCUUUGAUGUUUUAUAGGGAUUUGUCUCCCGUUUUGACGAUGUUCAUGACUCUUUAUUUAUGGAUUUGAGCAUUUUCGAGUAUCUGCCUAUCUCUUGUGAUAUUAUUUUAUCUGCACCAUCUUCACCCACGUCACAGAUAUUUGACAUUGAUGAUGAGAUUGUGCAACAUGAUUCAGACGAUGACUCAUUCUUCGUUUUCGAUUCGGAUCCCAUUGAUCAGAGAGUUGCACCUGUCCCAAGGGACACGGAGGUUGUUGAUUUCGACACAGCAGACCAACCUAGGGAGUUGAGGAUCGGGUCGGAUUUGUCUACAGAUCAGAAAGAUAGCCUCACCCAACUGCUCAUAUCAUACUUGGACAUUUUCGUAUGAUCCUAUGACGACAUGCUGGGCCUUGAUCCAUUUAUUGUCUAGCAUCGUUUGUCAUUUCUGCCCCAUGCCAGACCGGUUAAGCAGAAGUUGAGACGAUUGCACCCUCGUUGGAGCUUGCAAGUGAAUGAGGAGAUUCAAAAGCAGCUUAGUGUGGGAUUUCUAUCAGUGGUCGAGUACCCGGAGUGGAUGGCCAAUGUAGUCCCUAUUCCCAAAAAGGACUGCAAGGUGAGAGUCUGUACAUUGACAUGCUAAGGAUCCGAGAUCUCAAUAAGGCCAGUCCUAAGGAUGAUUUUCCUCUCCCGUACAUUGACAUGCUAGUUGACAGUACAGUAGGUCACUCGAUGUUGUCCUUUAUGGACAGAUUUUUCGGGUACAGUAAGAUCUUGAUGGCUCCAGAGGAUAUGGAGAAGACGUCCUUCAUUACCGAGUGGGGUACUUAUUGCUAUAGAGUUAUGCCAUUCGAAUUGAAGAACGCAAGAGACACCUAUCAGAGAGCAGCAACCACCCUCUUCCAUGACAUGAUACAUCGGGAUGUCGAGGUUUAUGUAGACGACAUGAUAGUGAAAUCCUGAGAUAGAUCAGAUAAUCUAAUAGCUCUAGAAAGAUUCUUUGAGAGGAUCAGGCAGUUCAGGUUGAGACUAAAACCCAAAAAAUGCACUUUUGGAGUGACUUCUGGGAAACUCUUGGGAUAUAUGGUCAGUGAGAGAGGCAUAGAGGUAGAUCUGGAUAAGAUCAGAGCCAUCCUUGACAUGCCUACACCGAGGACAGAGAGAGAGGUCAGAGGCUUCUUGGGUAGACUUCAGUAUAUCAGCAGAUUCAUUGCUAGAUUGACAGACAUCUGUGAGCCCAUUUUUCGACUCUUGAGGAAGAGACAACCUGUUGUUUGGGAUGAUCAAUGUCAACGCGCGUUUGAGAGGAUCAGAGAGUACUUGUUGUCUCCUCCAGUCUUGGCGCCUCCUACACCAGGUUGUCCUUUACUCCUAUACCUAUCCAUCUCAAACGUAGCAUUGGGUUGCAUGUUGGCUUGCUCGAUGAUUUGGGCAAAGACUGAGCCAUUUAUUAUCUGAGUAAGAGGAUGCUAGAUUAUGAGAUGAGAUAUGCCAUGAUUGAGAGCUAUUGCUUGGCAUUGCUUUGGGUCACUCACCGACUGAGACAUUACAUGACCGAGUAUUUAGUACAUUUGAUAUCCUGUUUAGAUCCUUUAAGAUACUUGUUUGACAGACCCGCCUUGGUUGGUCGCCUCAUGAGAUGGUUGGUACUUCUGACUGAGUUUGACAUCCAUUAUGUCACUCAAAAGUCCAUCAGAGGGAGCAUUAUUGUAGAUCACUUAGCCUCAUUACCAGUUUCUGAUGGUAUAGCUAUUGAUGAUGAUUUUCUAGACAAGGAUGUUGCUGCUGUGACUAGUCUAUCAGGUUGGUGCAUGUACUUUGAUGGUACAACCAACCAUUCUAGAUACGGGAUAGGCGUCUUGUUGAUAUCCCUUAUGGUGAUCACAUUCCCAGAUCUGUUCGUUUGACAUUCUCAGAUCGACAUCCGGCCACGAACAACAUUGUUGAGUAUGAAGCCUAUAUCUUGGGAUUAGAGACAGCCAUUGAGCCUAGGAUUAGACAGAUGGAGGUGUUUGGCGACUCCAAUCUGGUAUUGAGAUAGAUUCAGGGUGAGUGGAAGACUAGAGAUGCGAAGCUUAGGCCCUAUCACUAUGUUUGGUUCCAAGGAAGAAAAAUCCUCAUGAAAAGGAUUUUCUCAUGAAAAAAUCCAAGAAAUUAUGAAGGAGCAUGAAUAUGAUUCUUAGAAAUCAAACACAACCUCGUGAAAUAUACUUGCAUUAAUAAUUAUAUUAUUUGUUUGUUGUACUAUAUUUAUGAAAUUGAAAUCUUGCUUUUUAUAAUUUAUCUUUAGGUGGAAACCCCAAGGACAAUGAGAAGAGGUUAAUUUCAAGAUGCAAGUGAGAUUCUGAAUGUUGCAUUAACAACAUUGUUGAGUAUGAGGCCUAUAUCUUGGGAUUAGAGAUAGCCAUUGAGCCCGGGAUUAGACGGAUGGAGGUGUUUGGCGACUCUAAUCUAGUAUUGAGACAGAUUCAGGGUGAGUGGAAGACUAGAGAUGCGAAGCUUAGGCCCUAUCACUAUGUUUGGUUCCAAGGAAGAAAAAUCCUCAUGAAAAGGAUUUUCUCAUGAAAAAAUCCAAGAAAUUAUGAAGGACCAUGAAAAUGAUUCUUGGAAAUCAAACACAACCUCGUGAAAUAUACUUGCAUUAAUAAUUAUAUUAUUUGUUUGUUGUACUAUAUUUAUGAAAUUGAAAUCUUGCUUUUUAUAAUUUAUCUUUAGGUGGAAACCCCAAGGACAAUGAGAAGAAGUUAAUUUCAAGAUGCAAGUGAGAUUCUAAAUGUUGCUAAGGUGGUCCACUCUUGCAUAUGAAGUUAAUCUCAAGAUGCAAGUGAGAUUCUUAAUGUUGCUAAGGUGGUCUACUCUUACAUAUGAUUAGUCUCGCUAACGUUCAUGACCAUAAGGAAAGAUGCUACAUUGAAAGUGUGAAUUCGGAAUGUUGAAAAAUGAAAACUUGAAUUGAUAUAUGUUUUUGCCUAUAAGAUGUGUGGUUAUAAGCAAUUUUUGUGGGUAUGUAAUUAACCUUAAUGUUGCAUAUGAAGCAUAUCACCCUCUAUAUAUCUUUUUAACUGGUUGGAGCUCUUAUAGAAGGUGAAAGGCAAGUGUCACAGAUUUAAGUAUUUCCGAAACUCUCAUGCGGUACUUAGAUAAUUCAAGUCGCUUGAAAUUACUAAGUCCUUUAGGUUGUGAAAAAGGUCUUUAUCACAUUUCGCACAUAUUAUGACCAUCACAUUUUAACUCAAAUGUUUAUUUUAAAAUACUUUUGCAUUGAACUCCUUUCCAAAAGCAUUAAAUUAAUACCAUUCUCUAAUCUUCCAUGGCUUGGUUUGUCAACUUCAGGUCAUUACCCUCUAGAGCCAACUUUCAACUUAAUCAAUCCAACACAAUUGUUAUUGAUUCAUGGUCAAUUAACAAAUUCUCUAAUGUUAUGAUUGGUUUUUGAAAAUUUUGAUGAAAAGAAAAUAAAGAGAAAAAAAUAUAAGAAAAGGAAAUAUGAAGGAAUAUAAAAAUUUAUAUUUAAAGUUAAUAAAUUAUUCUUAUUUUUUAUUAUAAACCCAUUUCACAUACAUAUAAUUUUAAUAAUAUUUAAUUUUUUUUUCUAUUUCCAUGGAGAUGCCAAACAUUAAAAAAUUAUUUUCCUUAAUAUUGUUUGGGAAUUAAACAUAACCUAAUUACUUAUCAUUGUGCAAAUAGCUUAAGAUACCAAUAAUAUUAUUGUUGUUGUGAGAAUAGUUUAAGAUACUAAUAAUACUUCUUAAUAGAUACCGUAUACGUGUGUGGAAUAUUCAUGGUUCAAUAUUGUCACUACCUUACAAUUGUGGACUCCAAUUGAAUAUUAUGCAUUAAUGAUGUGAUCUUUCUUCAAACAAAUAUUGUCAAUUAAGUUAAAAUGGUUGAAUUAUUUCAAUAGGUCAGACCUCAAUAUUCCAAAUAUUUCUACUUAGAUUUAUUAGGGUCUUCAUGAGUUGACUUUAAUCCUUUGCUUCUAAAUUUCAUCUAUUAAGGUAUCUUAGAUGCUUCCCUGUUUUACUUAGUCUUGUAAUUGAUUAGGAGAUUAUUGUAGACCAAAUGAUAUGCAAAGUAUUUCUUUUAUAGAUGUUUUUUUCACUUGCUUUAGAGCUAAGAUUUUAUAAACUAGUUUUUGUCUCUCUUUUUUUAACUUUUUAUUUUCUUAUUCUAGAACACCCCAAUUAUAUCUUGUCAUGAACUUUCAAGGAAUAAAGUCAUUUGAUUUUGAUUGUGUUAUUUUCUUUAAAAGAGAAACUAAAAAGAGAAAUAUCCUCCUAGUAUGUAGUUGAAAUAAAGGAGGAUUUUGGUCUAAAAUUAACAUAAAAAUAAAAAUAAAAAUUGACAAUGUGAUUUUAAAUAUCUUUUAGGCAGUGUUUGGUAAACUAACUUAAUAAUUUAAUGUAACUUAAUAGCUUAAUUUGUUUUUAAUUAGAUUAACCAUAUUUGGUAAAAUAACAUAAUAUUAUAACAUAAAGUUAGUAUUAAGCCAAAAUAAUCAACUUGAGGAUGUUUGAUAAAUCGAUUUAAUGAUUUAAUAACUUAAUUUAAGUCAUUGAAAAGAUUAAGCAUGGUUGGUAAAAUAACUUAAUAUUACAAUUUAAAGUAAUAAUCCAAAAGGGUUAAUUUCAUUGAAACCCCAUGAGGUUUGCUGCAAAUACACCCGACCAUCAUUGGUUUCAAAUUUCAGCAAUUAGCACACCUAUAAAUUUAUUUCAUUUAUAAAAUUUAUCUUUUGAGAAAUCUCAGGUAAAACUAUUUUAGAUAUGAGUUUUUAAUAAUUCACUAAAACCUAAAUUUUAUUCUCUAAAAAAUAAAAUUUAUAUAUAAAAUACAUUUACAAGGGUGCUAACUGACGAAAUUUGAAACCUACGGUAAACCUGAAGGAGCCUCACUAAAUUUAACCUAAGUCAAAAUAGUGAACUUAUUUUUAAUCUCAAAUCUCACCUUAUUUGCCUACAUUUAUGAUUCAUUUUUUAUAAUAAAUAUUUUAUGAUUGUAUUAUGUACAAUACUUUAAAUAUGAAUAUUUAAUAAUUUUUUUUUAUUAUUUAAGAUUAGUGAAAAUAUAGUUAUUAGUUAAAAUUAAUAGGGGUAAAUAAGUCAAUUUGACAACUUAGAAUAAAUCUUAAAUUAACUUUACCAAAUAAUUUUAAUACUUAAAAAAAAAAGUAAUAAGUUAACAACUUAAGAACUAUUUAACUUAAAGUCAACUUAAGUCAUUAAGUAAUAAGUGUUAAGUUUUACCAAAUAAAGCUUUUAAAGGAAUUAUUAAAUCAAAAGACAAAUAUUAAAAUAUAAAAAAUGAGAAAGAAAAAAAAUAUAAAAAGGAACAUGCACAACGCAAAUAGAACAAUAGUGCAAAACAUCUCUUUUUAUUUGUUUUUUUAAAUCUCUCUCUCUCUCUCUCUCUCUCUCCAACAACAAAUAUUUAAGAAAAAAAUUAUUGGAUGGUACAACAAACUUAAGAUAAUUUAUAACAUCAAUAAUAUAAUACGAAAUUAAUAUAUAGGUCUCUUUUCUUUGUCCUUUUACCUUUUCUACCCCAACACAACCCUUUUGGUGCCAUAAAUAUAACUAAAAAAUUAUUUUAAUAUUAAGAUGACAUAAACUAAUAUUUAAACAAUUAUAGAUUUUCAUCUUUCUUAAGAAAAAUUUGAAAACAAGAAAUUUAUGUUUUCAUAUUUUCUAUUUUUAAAACCCUAGUUACUAAAAAAUUGAUUUAUGUUUUCCUUUUUAUAGUUUUCAUUUUUGAAAAACUAUUUUCACUUCUUUUGAUUUAAGACAUUUUCAAGAUAAGGAAAAAAGAAGAAACUAAUUUUAGAAAAUGAAAAUAAAAUAAAGACAUUAUGAACCUUGUAUUUUUCACGAUGCAUUCCCACUCAAUGACGACUCGCUUUUUUUAUUUGUUUGGUGAAAAAAAAUUGAUUUUUAGAAAAAGACUUGGAGUCACCACUUAUUUAAUUUUUUUUUAAAAGGGAAAAACAACAUAAGAAAGAAAAACCCUAAUUGUGACUCUUGAAGGAAAAACAAGUUUAUAAAAAACCAAAUCUGGGCUCGAGGGUCAGGUUACUUAUUGGGAAGGUACGAUAAAGAUCGUAGCACCCCUCUAAGUCCCUAAAAACAGGUCUCUACUAAUGAGAUGAAACAAACAUGACAAUUGGUAAGUAAAUCAAUGGAUACCAAAAUGAAAUAAUCAAAUAGUAAAGCGAAUCAUGCAUAAGAAUAAGCAAAGUGGGAAUGAGAUCGUACCUUAGGAGCAAUUAAUAAUGCAAUAUUAUGGAAACAAGGUUAGCUCAAGUAUAAAAUCAUCACAAACAUAUCAAAAAGCAAGACAAAGAUCAAACAAUACUCAUUAAGCAUAAUAGCUGACAAUUAGAAGAAAAAACUCAUAUGUAGGGCCCCUCACCAAAGCGCAAUUUAUUUUGCAUGAAUUAAUAUCACAAAUUCCACUAUUUUGGAAUCAUGAAAAAUUCAUUCAUACUUGUUAAAAAAAAAAAUCAAGAAAACGAAAGAUUAUUUGAAAAUCGAAGAAAAUUUGUGAAUUUAAAAAAAUUGAAAAAUGGAAUGGAAUUAAAACUAUUUGAAAGAAAAUUGGAGUUUUGAAUUAUUUGAAAAUUGAGUCUCGAAAAUUAUUUGAAAAUUGGGGUUUUGAAAAUUAAAUUUAAGAAUUGGAAUUUUGAAAAUUAUUUGACAAUUGGAAUUUUGAGAAUUAAAUUUAAGAAUUAGAAUGUUCGAAAUUAAAUUUUGAAAGAAAUUUGAAUUAUUUGAGGAUUUGAGUUUGAAAUUGGAAUUAUUUGAGGAUUAAAGUUUUGAAAAUUACAUUAAGGAAUUGAAACUUUGGAAACUAAAUUUGAAAUAAAUUAGAAUUUUGAAAAUUAUUUGAGAAUUGGAACUAUGAAAAUUAAAUUAUGAAAAUUGGAAUCUUGGAAAUUAUUUGAAGAUGUAGUUUUUAAAAAUAAAUAAAUAAAAUGAUGAUGACAAUAAUAAUAAUAAUAAUAAAUAAAUGUGAAAAUUGGAAUUUUAGAAAUUGGAAAUUAAAUUUGGAAAUCGGAAUUUUGAAGAAUUAUUUAAAGAUGAAAGUUUUAAAAAUAAACAAAUAAACAAAAUAAUAAUAAUAACGAAAAUAAUGAUGAUUAAAUAAAUAAAUGUGAAAAUUGGAAUUUUGGAAAUUGAAAAUUAAAUUCGGAAAUUGGAAAAUUGGAAUUUCAGAAAUUGAGAAUUAAAUUUGGAAAUUGGAAUUUUGAAGAAUUAUUUAAAGAUGAAAGUUUUAAAAAUAAAUAAAUAAACAAAUAAACAAAAUAAUAAUAAUAACGAAAAUAAUGAUGAUUAAAUAAAUAAAUGUGAAAAUUGGAAUUUUUGAAAUUGAAAAUUGAAUUCGGAAAUUGGAAAAUUGGAAUUUCAGAAAUUGAAAAUUAAAUUUAGAAAUUGGAAUUUUGAAGAAUUAUUUAAAGAUGAAAGUUUUAAAAAUAAAUAAAUAAACAAAAUGAUAAUAAUAACGAAAAUAAUGAUGAUUAAAUAAACAAAUGUGAAAAUUGGAAUUUUGGAAAUUAAAAAAUAAAUUCGGAAAUUUGAAAAUUGGAAUUUCAGAAAUUGAGAAUUAAAUUUGGAAAUCGGAAUUUUUUGAAAUUUUAUUUGAAUAUGGUAUUUCGAAAAAUUAAAUUUUGAAUAUUGAAAUCUGGAAAAUUAUUUUGAGGAAUUAUUUUAAAAAGUAAAUUUGAGAAUAGAAUUUUGGAAUAUUAAAUUUAAAAAAUCGGAAUGUUAGAAAAUUAUUUUGAUAAUGGAAUUUCAGAAAACUAAAUUUCGAAAAUUGGAAUGUUAAAAAAUUAUUCCAAUAUCAAAAUGUGAAGAAAUAAUAAAGAAAGAUGGGUUAUGGUGAUUCUUAGAGCAAAAUUUAUCCAUGUGUUCAAGGUGACAACUAACCCAUUCCAUGUGCUGCCAGCACACCAAAGAAUACCACAAGCCUAUUUCCCAUAUUACAAUAAUGUCAUACAAACCCAUUUUCCAUGUACUACUUGAGAGCAUCACAAACCCAUUUUUUUACAUGAAAAACAAACACCACAUACUACCACCUCUCCACCCAAUCGCCAUUCUCACUACCAUGCACAUGGAGCUUCCAUUUGUUUCAAACUUCUCCCACACCCUCCAUAUUUCUGCACCCCUAUUCCUACCACAUGUUGCCUCUGUCAAGAAGUUAACAACUUGUUUAACAACUUAACAAGUUGUUUAAGUAGUUAACAGUCUGGUUGUUGUAACUAAUUAGAAAGUGGUUAAUAACUGUUUUUUAGAUUCUUGUAUAUAAGAAACAGAGGACCUAACAGUGGGUAGUUUUGCAGUAGCUCAAUUUCAGUUUUUCAUCUUUCUGGUUUUCUCUCAAACAGAUGCUCUGCACAUCUCAUUCUUCAUAUCUCUGAGUUCUUUCUUGGUAUCAGAGCCACAAACUAACAUAUGCAAAUCCUUUUCCAUGGCAUCAAAAGGAUCAGCUUCUUCCACGGAUCAUCCUAACUCCAGUUUUGCUCAUCAUACAAUGCCAUAAUUGAAUCAAGCAUUCACGGUAAGACUCGAUCAAUCAAAUUACUUACUGUGGCGAACUCAGAUGCUGAACAUCAUCAUUGCAAAUGGUCUUGAAGAAAUGAUCCAUGGCAAAAUCCCUGCUCCUUCACGAUUUCUUGGAGAUUCAGAGAACAUAAAUUCAGAAUACAGUAUAUGGCAACGUCAGAAUCGCUUAGUAAUGUGUUGGAUCUAUUCUUCUUUGACAGAAGGUGUGAUGGCACAGAUUAUCGACCUUGAUACUGCAUCAGAAAUCUGGACUGCUCUAGAGAAAAUUUUCUCAGCAGCUUCAAAGGCUCGUAUCAUGCAGUUUCGUUUCCAAUUGUAGAUAACAAAGAAAGGAGGAUUGAGUAUGAUGGAAUAUCUACUCAAAAUCAAGUCCAUUGUAGAUAACCUGCUAGCAAUUAGAGAAAACAUUACAGAGCAAGACCGAAUUCUCUAUUUACUUGCAAGACUCGGAGCAGAGUACAAUUCGUUUGUCAUUACAGUUACCUCUGGGCAUGAACCAUUAAGCCUAGAAGAAAUUCACAGCAUGCUCUUGACUCAUGAAAAUCGAUUGGAACAACAACACACAACAGAAGAAACAAAUCUCCUGCAAGCAAAUAUUACAACAAUGAACAUUCAAGGACACAACAAAAAAAAUCAAAAGUCUGGUCAAUUCAAGACUCAAGGUAGAGGCAAUCAGAAUCAACAACAAUUUAAUCAUCAGAACUUUGGUAGAGGCCGUGGGAGAGGCCACUAUAACAACAAUGGUGGAAAUUUUGGACAUGGUCCAGGAAGAGGUAGCUUUAACAACCAUUCUUACUCAUCUGGAAACUUCAAUAAUGUUUCUGGUGGCAGCAAUGGAAAACCACAGUGCCAAGUAUGUGGUAAAUAUGGUCACAUUGCAAUUAAUUGCUAUCAUAGAUUUGAUCAAACUUAUCAACCAACAAUGAGCAAUCAUCUUGCUGCAAUGGUUGCAACUCCGUCCACUGUUGGAGAUGAAAGCUGGUACAUGGAUACCGGAGCUACGCAUCACCUAACUCCAAAUCUCAACAAAUUGAAUUCACAUACUCCAUUUGCUGGUUCAGACAAAGUCAUGGUUGGAAAUGGUAAUCGUUUAAAUAUCUCAAAUAUUGGACACUCCACUAUUUCUUCAACUUCUCGGUCUUUAAAUCUAAAAAAUAUUUUACAUGUUCCACAACUUACAACCAAUCUGAUAAGUGUGAAUAGGUUGUGUACUGACAAUAAUGUCACUGUGGAAUUCUUUACUAAUGGAUUUGUGGUGAAGGAUUAAGCUUUGAAGAAGGCUCUUCUCCAAGGCAACCUUAACUAUGGCUUAUACAAACUGUCGUCUUCAGCACCUAGUAGAAGAUAUCAAGAUCCUGAUGAUAAUAAACUUGCUGGAAGAACAAGCUUGACAACUGAGGUCCCAUGUAUGUCAUCUACAUUACAACUUUCCAAUAAGGCAGAUCUAUGGCAUUUCAGGUUAGGCCAUCUUGCACGUAAAAUAGUCAAUAAAGUUCUGAGUGCUUGUAGCUUGCCCCUAGAACAUUGGACAGGUGUUUGUGAACCUUGUCAAAUGGCAAAGAGCCAUCGCCUACCUUUUACUUUGUCUGAAUCCAGAGCAUCUCAGCCUUUUGCUCUUGUACAUUCUGAUCUAUGGGGUCCUGCUCCUGUUGUUGGUACUAAUGGUGCAAGAUACUUUGUGCUCUUUGUGGAUGAUCAUACAAGAUUUUCUUGGUUGUAUCUACUAGCUUCUAAAGAUCAAGCUAUCUCUGCAUUUUUGCAAUUUAAAGUGAUGAUUGAGACUCAAUUUGAUACUAAAGUUAGAAUGCUUCAAACUGAUUGGGGAGGAGAGUUUCAAGCCUUUACUAAUACUUUGUGUAAGUUUGGGAUUCUGCAUAGAGUAUCUUGUCCAUCCACUUCUCAACAAAAUGGCCAUGUGGAGAGAAAACAUAGACAUGUGGUUGAAGUAGGCCUUUCCUUGCUUGCUCAUGCUUCCAUUCCUCUUAAAUAUUGGCCUUUUGCCUUCCAAUCUGCUUUAUAUUUGAUUAAUAGACUUCCUUCCUCUGUGCUGAACUUUUCUUCUCCAUAUAAGACUCUUUACCAUUGUCUACCAAAUUAUUCUUUUCUUCGUGUUUAUGGUUGCACUGGUUAUCCUUUUCUUCGCCCUUUUAAUCGCCAUAAAUUUGCAUAUCGAUUAGUUAAAUGCACCUUUAUUGGCUACAACUCUAAGCAUAAAGGAUAUCUCUGUUUAAACAUGUCCAAUGGAAAAAUACAUAUAUUACGACAUGUUAUUUUUUAUGAACUAGAUUUCCCGUUUGCUAAGCCCUCUACAGUUUAGCCUCCUUGUCGUGUUUCCCCCACUCAUUGUGCCAUUCCUUUAGCAGCACCAAUCACUCCAAUAUCUUCCCUCUUGCCUUCCUCAUCCAGUCCAUCUUCAGAGUUGGUUCCAAUCUCUGAUACUAGUGUGUCAAUUUCCUCUUCUGAGGUUGCACCUAUUCCAACAGCUCAACCUUCUUCCUCUCAUGUUCCUUCUCCUUGUCAUCCCAUGACAACGCGUGCCAAAAAUGGCAUCUUCAAGCCUAAGAUAUUUGUGUCUCCUACUGAGACUAUUUUUCAUCCACUUUGUGAACCGAAUUCUUUCAAGGAAGCUGUUAAAGUUCCUGAAUGGCAGCAAGCUAUGCACCUUGAAUUUGAAGCUCUCAUGAGCAAUAAAACAUGGGUCUUGGUCCCUCCUCCACCUAAUCAGAAUAUUAUUGGAUGUCGCUGGGUUUAUAAAUUGAAGUAUAAACCUGAUGGAACUGUUGAACGCUAUAAGGCACGUUUGGUGGCGAAAGGAUUUCAUCAAACUCCCGGUUUUGACUACUUUGAAACCUUCAGUCCCGUGGUUAAACCCACUACUAUUCGUGUGGUUCUCUCUUUGGCAUUAAGUAAAAACUGGUCUAUCAGACAACUUGAUGUUCAUAAUGCAUUUCUUAAUGGUGAUUUAUCUGAGCAAGUUUUUAUGACACAACCCCCAAGCUUUGUGGAUCCCUCUAAGCCCAACUUUGUUUGUAAACUUACCAAGGCAUUGUAUGGUUUGAAGCAAGCUCCACGUGCUUGGUUCACCAAACUCAGCUCCGCCUUAGUUAAAUGGGGUUUUUCCAUGUCACAAGCAGAUACAUCAAUGUUUGUUUACUGUAACAAUUCUGCCAUGCUUGUUGUCUUGGUUUAUGUUGAUGAUAUUAUUGUCACUGGCUCAAGUUCCUUGCUCAUUGAACAACUUAUAUCCUCCUUAAACUCUUGCUUUGCUCUCAAGGAUCUUGGUCCUCUCAACUUUUUUCUUGGAAUAGAGGUGCUCCAUUCUGGAUCUUCUUUGCAUUUAAGUCAAGCUAAAUAUAUCUGUGAUCUUCUUCAACGUGCUGGUUUGUCUGAAUCAAAGUCCAUGGCUUCCCCAAUGGCUGCUGGUCCUGUUCUCUCCAUAGCUGAUGGCACCAGAUUAGAAGAUCCCACCUUGUACCGGAGUCUUAUGGGUGCCCUGCAGUAUAAGCAAUCCAACCUCUACUCAUCUUCAAGCCGUGAAACGUGUCCUUUGUUAUCUCAAAGGUUCAUUGUUUUAUGGGCUUUCCUUCCAACCAUCUUCCUUCCUUGAUCUUAUUGCCUAUACAGCUGAUGAUAGACGUAGCACCAGUGGCUACUGCAUAUUUUUUGGAGGCAAUCUAGUCUCUUGGUUAGCCUCUAAACAAAAGGUGAUUUCUCGCUCCAGUACUGAAUCCGAAUAUAGGGGCUUGGCUAACGCAGCAGCUGAACUCACUUGGAUCCAGUCUCUGCUUAAAGAACUCUUUGUUCCCCUGUUUCAGCCUCCUGUUCUUUAUUGUGAUAAUCUCAGCACUACUUAUUUAGCUGCAAAUCCUAUCCUUCAUUAUUGGGCUAAACAUGUGGAAAUUGAUUAUCAUUUUGUUCGUGAACGAGUCUUGCAAAAAACUCUUGAUGUUCGAUUUCUCCCAUCUGAAGAUCAAGUUGCUGAUAUCUUGACCAAAGCUCUUUCAACUCAACGUUUUCUUCAUCUCCGAAGCAAGCUCACAGUUCUUUCUCGCCCUGUGUGCUUGAGGGGGGAUGUCAAGAAGUUAACAGCUUGUUUAACAACUUAACAAGCUGUUUAAGUAGUUAACAGCCUGGUUGUUGUAACUAAUUAGAAAGUGGUUAAUAACUAUUUUUUAGAUUCCUGUAUAUAAGAAAGAGAGGACCUAACAGUGGGUAGUUUUGCUGUAGCUCAAUUUCAGUUUUUCAUCUUUCUGGUUUUCUCUCAAACAGAUGCUCUGCACAUCUCGUUCUUAUCUUCAUAUCUCUGAGUUCUUUCUGCCUCCUCACCAGGCCCCACUGGAUCUCCAUAAAUUUAUCAAUAAUGUUAAAGUGAUCGAGAAAAGUUGGCCUAUUAGGGUGUUGUGCAAUGCUUUGCAUAUGGGAAUGACAGAAGCAGCGUUGGAUGAUAUCUUGAAGGCUUGAGUCAUACCAAGCAAUUCAUUCUCGGAUUGGUAGUGCAUUUUUUUUUUUUUAGGAUGCAACCCCUAACUUACCGAAAACAAACCGCACCGAAAUGAAGAGUUUUUGUAAGAAGGUGGUGAAAUGAUAGAUGGUGAUAUAGGUAUGUAGUGGGUAUGGGAAGAGUGAGGGACAGGUAGUGAUAGAAAGUAGGUUCGGGCAUUAAGAAAAAUGGUGAAAUGCAUGAGGGGGGGGAGUAUGGAGGAUGAUGGGUACAGUGGGCAUGAGGUGUGAAAAUAGAUAAAAUGGGUAUGAGAAGGUUGAAGGAUGGCCAUGCACGUGGGACUUCCUGUGCGUGGAAAGAUAGGAGCUAAACAAGUGGGGGAGUGAAUGGUGGAGGGGUGAGCCAAAAUGGAUCUCAAAUGGGUUCCAAAGAGAGAACAAAACAUGACUACCGGUGCCACAUAUAAAAUCCCAUAACAGAGCUCAGAAAAACCAAUUAGAAAUCAAGCAUAGAGUGGGUGCAAUUAAACUUAGAUUCCAUAAAAAAAUAAAAAAUAAAAAAAUACAAGAAUCCCCAAUAUGCACAUUCAGACAUCAAAAUGAAAAUCCCCUCAUACACAGAAACUAACAUAAAAUGACAUAAAAAUAAAGGAAUCCAGUUUAAAGAAUCCAUACCCUGUUGUAGACCCCCAUUUUGGGGUGUAUUUGCUACAGUUUAUUUUGACAAGUGUCACCAUCUUGGGUGGCCACGUGUCACUCCAAGAUUGGUUGCUAGGGAAGCAUAUAGUGGUUUGUUGGAGCCAAUGAGAAGGUGACAUGUGUCGAGGGGAAUCAGAAAAAGAAUAUUUAGCCGUUAGAGGGAGCGUGGCCAGCUGCAAGAGAGGGGGUCUUUUCUGCCAUUAGGAGAUAUUUUUGAGGUAUCCAUUGCUGGGGGGGUGCCGUUUGGGGGAGGAUAUACAUUUUCAGGGAGUUUUUUUUUUUGGAGCUUGGGCAGGAAGCUUCCAGAGAAGGGGGGUUUGAUCUUUCUAAGAGGGUCUUCCUUGCUGUUUUUGGAGCGAGAUAUUUUCAGUUAAGGGAGGAAGCUUGGGCUAGAAGUCUAAGGGGAUAUUUUCUGAGGGAAGAGGUGCUUUUCAGAGCUAGCCGUUAGAGAGAUAUUUAGAGAGGCUGCUUUCAUUUAAGGGGGACUUCUUCCUGGAGUUUAGAGACAGAGCGGAGGGGACUGAGUCUCUGGGGGAUUCCUCUUGCUUGAGAGGGAGGUCUCCAUAUAUUUGCUGUUUUCAGAGAGGAUUUCUGUGAGAGUGAGGUCUCCAUUGCCGGUUGUGAGGAGGGUUCGAAUAGUAGUCUUUUGAAAGAGUUUUUUUGAGCGGAGCAUCUUCCAGUGAGGUGAUAAAAACAGAGUUUGAAGUCAGGCGAGUUCUCGCUUGUAAGGAGGUUUUUCAGGUAUGGGCUCUGUUCAUUAUCUUCUUCAUCUUGCUUCUGGGUAUCCAUGAGUUUCUAUCUUGGUGUUUGAAUGUGUUUGUUGGGGAUUUUAGUUUGUUUUUCUUGAAUUUGAGCUUACUUGCACUUGCCUUUCAAUUGAUUCCUAACCUGUUUUAUAUCCUUUGUUUUGAGAUUUCAUAUGAGAAUAUCGGCAUUCACAUUUCUAUUUUGUUUUCUAAACUCAUUUGAAAUCUGUUUUGGCCCACUUCUACACUUGAGCUCAUUGAUUGAUACAUGAAAUGAGAUUUGUGGGGUUCAUUUUCGUUCUCUUCUAUCUUUGCUCUGUUUUGCUGUUCAUCCCUUGUCUCUGGAAUCCGUCCACUACAUGCAUCAGAUUUCCCAUCUCUGUCUGAAGGGGUAAGGCUCUGCAAGAGAUAUGUGCUCUCAUUUUGUGGGUAUGAUAUGCUACAACAUGUUUCUCAAGUUAUGAGGUGUCUGGACUCUAUUAAGGGUAGGAAGGCUGGAAGAAGUUGGUGAUCUUUGCCGGUCUGUUGGAUAAACAGGGUAAGCUGCAGCUAUAUGCCCGUUGGAGAAAUUGGACCAAUUUCCUUUUGUUGAAAGCUGGGUGAAGAAUGGAAGAAUAGGACUCUACAAGCCAUUAAACUUGAGAGUGGCAUUGGUAACCAUUGGCGUCUUUGGGAAUGGGUUUCUUAUUGUGCAUCAGAGAGAACUUCUGAGCAGGAAGGUGGAAAAUACAAAACUGAUGUAUAUGCUGCCCAGUGUAGUAAUCUAAAAUGCAUAUUUCCAAUCUGCACGAACUGGGAGUAUGCAUGCUGGGCAAUGGUCAAGUCAUAGCUUGAUAUUCAAGUGGAUUUAGAACCAUCUCGUUUGUGACCUGGUGGAACUGAUCCAUUUAAAAAUCAUGUAGAUAUUAUUGAUGGAAGUCCUGGAGAGGGUGACAGUGAGUCUCAGCUUUUUGUUGGACCAGAAAAUUGGCUAUUUCACAUCCUGCACCAAUAACCAAGGCAACUUUCUGUUUUUCCUCAAUGAGACUUCAUUCAGAUGACACGGUACACGAAGCUGUGACCCGGGGCUAUGAAGAGCAGCAUCGAUGAAUUGAGAUGAACCUGAUGGUUGAAGAUAUCCCACACUUGAUGGACCUCUUAUGUCAUGGAUAUCACCAUCAGAAGAUGAUAAAAAAUGUCUUCAUACCUCAUGGUGAUCCUUCAAUGACUCGUUUCGGUACACAUCUAGUGCUUGCACUUAGAUGUUUAUUUGCUGAUCAAAUGAAGGAUCCUUUUAAGGAGAAAAUCGUGGCUGUUGGUGUUCUAUUUGGUCACAUGCAUGCAACCACUUUCAACGGGCCCUCCAUACUCAUUCUCUCCACGCGUCCAUGCCUAUCACAUUUACCCCAUGCCCAUACCCAUUUGUAUUAUCACCCUUCUCUCUACACCACCGUGCACCUAUAUCAUUCAUCUCACUCACUCAUCAUGCCCACUGAUCAAUCCUCAUGCCUACAUGACACGGACCACGUUCAGAAGUGGAAACCUCUCACCAUGCUCAUAGCCCUACACUUUCACUAACCCACUACUACCCUUCUCUCUACACCACCACCCAAAAUCCACUCAAAGCCUUCAUGGAGGUCCCAGCUUCACCCAUUCAAGUGCAUGAAAUCAUGCAAAGUCUGGCCAUCAUUCUUAAUAUCCAUUUCCUUCUCUUCAUACCCAUUGCCAACUAACAUUACCAUCAUAUCUAGUCACUUCUCUCUCUAAAACCUACUCAUACCCAUCUCUCAAACUAUCCAUAACCCCACCCAAAACCACUUGAAUCCAUCAUCAUCUAUAUCCUCACAUCUACCCAACUUCUCCAUAUUCACAUGAUCGUAGCCACCUUUUCUCUCUCUACACCACAACCAUACCUAUUUCUUGUACCUCUAUGCACAUACUCACACCCAUUGAACCCCUAAAGCUCACUUCGUCCCACUAUCCUUCUAUCCUCCAUACCCGUUUCUCCCUCUACAUUAUCACUCAUACAUAUUCAGCCCGUUUCCCUCCAAUGCCUUCUUCGCUCAUCUGCCCAUAUUUUCCUUUGCAUAUUCCUUUUUCUCGUUUCUUUCCUGGACUCAUUGCAUGACCAUGCAUGGUUCCACGUAACUGUGCUAUCCCGAGAUUCAGUGACAUUGAACUCAUCCAACGCUGUGUCAGCCUCCAUGCAUUGAGUUCCUCACUUCACUGGGCACGCGCCACCGGUAGGAGCUUUUCCUUUAUCUUCCUAGUGUCGCUGGAGGAUCCUGAAAGUUUGGUUCGCAUGAGUUGUAAAUAUCACUGGCAGCAGCAUCGUCGGAGUACCAUUGCCCAUUGCAUUUGUUGUAAACUGUAGACAUAAUGCAAUUCACUCACAAUAUGAGAAUGAGUCUUAUUCAAUUCAAAACAAGCUAUGGGCUUAUAUAAGCCUUACAAAAGAGAUUAAAAAGGAAACAAACAGCCCACGUAAGAACGUGGUAAAUGGCUAAGGAAAUAGUCAAAUCCUACCAACAUGUCCCAAAAAAUAGAAACUAUUAACAGAAUGAAAUUCUAACAACUUUGACUACUUUAACUGAACAUCCCAACAGCAUUCAUGCCAACUGAUGGCUCCAUGACGGCGAGGCCUUACAAGUUGAGCCAACACCCGUCCUUGGAACAGAAGGCAACACGGUUAUUGGGGGGAACUCAAGACGGGUAUUGGUGCAGCAGAACAAAUGUAUCGAAGUGGAAAAACGCCUACAGGCGAACAUUUGUCAUUGGCUUCAGGUCAAGGCCCGUCACAGGGUUUCUUAAAAUUGAGGAAGCUAAGGAAGGAAGGGGGACGAGAGUGUAAUCUCUGGUUCAGCGUAUGUAUCACGAUUGAGAACUCAACAGGCACAGCUGAAUCCAAGCACAGAGUGGCUCCAACUUGAUUCAUAGUUAAAGGACUGUAGCUCAUGCGAUGAUGAAUCAUCAGAUGAAGAAAAUAGUGCAGUCAUAGCCCCAGGUUACAAGGAUGUUGAAACUGUUGAUGACAUCCUUCGGACAAAUGAAGACCUGAUAGGGAAAAACAGUAUAAAAUUAUUGUCUGGGCUUCUGGAAUAUUCAAGUCUAAUAGAUGUAGUAUGCAGGGCAGUUCCCAAUCAUGUAACUAUGGUGAGUGCUUUUUAUCAGUUUGUGUUGACUUUGGGGCGCCCGAAAUGGUAUCUGGAUACAUGAAUCCAUAAGGAUAAGUGAGGAGUGUUACAAAAACAAACUGCAGCUAUGUUUCCAUCAGCCCUUAUUCACUCUCCCAUUGUCAAACACGUCAGAUGGUUCAAGACAUGGAAGUCUUACCUUGCGCUCAGUGGGAAGCAUGUGUUUUAUUGCUUUUGAUCAUUGGGAAUGACGCCGUUGAAGAUGAAAUUAGAAUUUGCAACUCUGAUGUAAUUCACGUCUUCAGCCUUGUGUACAGUUUGAUUCAUAAUGGAGAUUAUGUGUAGCUAUGAUAAGCUUGUGAUCUACCUUGAAAAUGCUAUUGAGGUGGAUUUUGGACGUCGUGUAUGAGUUGACAAAUAUUUGCCCUAUGCCAUUGAGAUCGAUGUUGAUGCUCUUGCUGACUCCGAAGGCAAUGUGGUGAUUGGUAGUAUGAUGAAGCACAGGUGUAGAAGAACAAGACUUCCACGUGGUACAGACAACUUUAGUGUUGAUGUUUGAACUCCCAUAGACGGGUGAAGGCUGUUUCAGUGCAUAGUUUCCAACUGGAGCCAUUGCUCCUGCUUCAGUUACAACUGCACCCAAUUUAGAAGGUGCAAGUGGUACUGCAAGCCAUUCAAUUCAAGAAUCUGCUUAAGGAAAACUUGUCAAUGCACUCUCCUUGCCACUCUCUUUAGUCUUUGUUCAUCUGAAACUGCCCGGGGUUUGGCAGCGCUAGCUUGGCAGUGUUUGGAGAGGUGGGUGCUUGUCUCGUCAUCAAAUCUGGGACAAUUACAAAUACCAGUGAUGAGGAAAGAGGAACUGGAAUACUACAGAGUUGAGAAUUUUGCUGUCCAAGUGGGGACUGGGAUUACAUCUGAAAUGACCCGAGUGUCUGAAGAUUUGAAGUCUAAUGUUAGGGAAACAACAAUGCCAUUUGAAGGUGAAGAGAAUUUAAUCACUCAUGAUGCUGCGAAGCGCAGGCCUGGACUGCGAGAUAAUGGGUGCUGAAAGCUCCUAUAUACAGCCGGAUAGAGAUGAAUGGUACUACUCAUACAGUCCUCUUGGGAGAUAUAUCACGCUCAGGGCUUCAUUCUCAUUUGGUCGAUUCAUAUCCAGCCUUAGCACUUACAUUCCGGGCCCACUUUCAUGAUUUUAGUUUGCAUGAUCACCCUUGCAUGGUCUUUAGGCCAGAUGCCAUCUUCUUUCACCUCUGAUUUCAAAAAUAAUUCCCCUGAUUUUUGCUUCAUAAAUAAUGUGUUAAAUUCUGGUUUUUAAAUAAUUCCAAAUAUCCAAAAUUUUCAUCCUUAGUCCUUCUUUUUUAGGUUUCAAAAAUCCAUUUUUCAAAUAAAAUUCGUUGCUAUUUUUUUUGGCAUGCAAUUUUCAUAACUUCCUCUGUUUUUAAAAUGUUUUAAAAUAAGCAAGACUCAAUUCUGUAAUUCCAAGUGAUGGAAUUUACAUAAUUGACCCAUGCAAAAAUAAAUGGGCUUUGGUGGGGGUCCAAUAACCGAAUUUUAAAAAUAUGAAAUUUGAACGAAUUGAAGUGAGACACUUGAUGAUUCAUUAUACGAUUUGGUGGCGUGUAUGCUAUAUUUUAUAUCUAUUCAUUAUUCACUAAUCCUAUUUCAUGAUAGCACAUUGCAGCUAGAGGUCCAGGUACGCAUUCACCCUCAUUCUGGUCAUUUUUCUACGCAUGUUCUAAUUCCCAUAUGUGCAUGAUUGAUUUGAGUAUCCAUUGAUUUUCUCAUUGAUUGUCACGUCAGCUUCAUUUUAUUAGUAGAGACAUAAUUUUAGGGACUUAGAGGGGUGCUAUGGUCCAUACUGUACCUUCCCGAUAAGUAACCUGACAUUCGAACCCGAUCCGGUUUUUCACAUACCACCUUUUCCAAAAUAAGGAGUCACACUUAGAGUUUUCUUUCUUAUUUUGUUUGCCCUUUAAAAAUAAAACAAAAAUAAGUGGCGACUCUAAGUCAUUUUUUUUAAUCAAUAAAUCAUUUUUUAAAUAAAAAUCGAGUCUGCCAUCGAGUGGAAGCGCAUGAGCCGAAAUACGAGGUCCACACCUAUUCUCUUUUUCUUUUCUUUUUUUUCUAGCUCCCCCUAAUCUCUCUUGGUCCUUUAAAAAAAUCUUCCUCCCUUAAGCAACCACUAACCUUCUCCUCGAUCAGCCUGCCCGCCCUUUUUCUCUUUCUACUAGCUUUUCACCGGCUCCCUGCUUAAAUUAGGUCAUCAUUUGAAGCUUCAACCACCACCAUGGUGAGCCAUGCUUUUUGCUACAUGUUCAUGCAGCUUGCUUUUCUAGAAAGAGGUUCCCCACUUCCAAAGAAAAUCUGACUCUUUCCGGGUGGUGUCCACAAUGGGGUCUACAGACAUUUUAUUUAAUUAUUUUUUCUAUCGUUGUUUUAUUUACUUUUCUUCCUUAUUUUAAAUAUUAUGAUUUGGGCACUUAAUAAUGUAGCAAAAAAAAAAAAAAAUCAUUAAUAUAGCAAAAUAAUUAAUAAUAGUUUUUUUUUCCAUUUCUUACAUAAGAAAACUUAUCUUUAUUUAAUUAUUAUAAAUUAUUUUUCUAAUUAAAACUUAACUUUUUUUUUUUUUUUGUAAAUAUUCUACAUUGUAUUUUUAAAUAAAUAAGGAAUACGACUCAGGUGAAUUAGGAUGAAAGAUAGUGGGGUCCACCGAUUGGGACCCUCUCUAAUGAGAAGCGAACUCACACUGUCUACUCAAAUGGGGAUUUUUUUUUUCAAUUGAAAACCAUAAUUUAGUGGAGUAGUGGUUCUCAUCAGAGACCUGUAAAGGUAUUGGGAAGAAGAACAGUAGAGGGAGUGGGAAAAAUGAUAGGAGAGAGAAAAACGGGCUUUGGAGUGAUUAGGGAGGUCUGUUUUUUUUCUCCUUUCCGUAUUUUUUCUUUUUCUCUCUUGUUUUAGACAAAACCCAAUUCAGAAAUUUGUUUCUGGGUGAUUAUGCAAGUGCAAACCCACUUUGUGGGUCGAAAAAGGGUCUACGAUGCUGGGGAGAGAAGGCAAUGCAUCGAGGCGAUGAAGAAUAAUAGAAUUACAUUCUGAAACCCUACUGUUAUCAGGUAAUUUUCCGGAUUAUAUUCUCUUGUUUGGUUUCCUAGAAAAUGUAUGGAAAAAAAUUGUCCAAAUUGGCAACCCUAAACCUACUUAUGUAUUUCAUAUGGGAUUUUUUGUUCCUUGUUCAAUUUGAGUGAGUUCGAAAAAGACAAACGGAAAAAAGUAAUGUGGAACCGAGGAGCGGAGAAGAAGAGGAUAGGCUGAGGAUGAAGAUGGUGGGAGAGGAAAUAAGGUUUAUUUGUUAGUUAUUAUAAAUGAAGGGAAAUAAAGGAUACACUGUUGACAUAAGAAAUAAAGUUGAGAGUCAAGACAAAUGUUGCAACGAUCGACAAGAAUCCGGCAUGCCAUUAAUCAUAACAAAGGGGGCGUGGAAUGGAGUGAAAUUACAUAUUGCAUUAAUACCAUAUUGGUAAAUAUUUAAAAAAAAAAAAAAAAAAGGUAAAAUAAGUUACAACAAAAUAUGAUCCCGGCUUUUAUAACUCUAAAGAUAAGUACUUUCAUGUGCUUCCCAUACCACCAGGAUGUCUUUUUUUCAUAUAAUUGAUUUUAUUUAUUGGGUUGAUUCUCAUGUGAAAAUUCAUUUUAUUUAAGAUAAAUAAUAAUUUUUCUGAUUAAAAAAGAAAAAGAAAAAAUUGAUCUCUCUUAAAUCAUUCAUGAAAUGAAUUAAUUUAAGUGAUUUUGAUUUGAAUUUAUUAAAAUUAUUUUUCUUUAUUCUAGUAUACUUUUAUUUAUUUAUUAUAAAUUAUAAAAAAAUUAUCAAUAGAAUAUUAAAAAAUAAAUAUUUCAUUAAUUCUAAAUAUAUCAAUCCAUUCUUUUUUUUUAAACUUAUUUUUAUUCACUUUUUUUAUAUUUAUAUUUAUAUUUUUAUUCUUUAUCAACGUUUUUCUUUUUUUGUUUACUUUAAAUUAAUAUUGAAGUCUCCGUGAAUAUUUUUUUUUUGUUUUUUUUUUAAUUAAUAUUGAAGACUCCGUCAAUAUUUUAUUUUGUUUUUUUCUUUAAACUAAUAUUGAAGACUCCGUCAACAUUUUUUUUAAUUCUUUUUUAAAUUAAUAUUGAAGACUCCGGCAGCAUUUUUCUUUUUCCGUUUACUUUAUAUUAAUAUUGAGAGCGACUCGCAUUUUUGUUUUUUGUUUUCUUUAAAUUAAUAUUGAACGACCGGAACCCGAGACAGACUCGGUGUCAACAUUUCUCUUUUUUUGUUUUUCUAAAAUUAAUAUUAAAUGACUUGAGAGAGACUCCGUCCGCAUGUUUCUUUCUUGUUUACAUCAAAUUAAUAUUGAAUGACCAGAGACUCCUUCAGCAUUUUUCUUUUUAUGUACUUUAAUUCAAUAUUGAAGGACUCCAGAGACGGAGAGCUGCCCAACUUUUUAUAUUAUAAAUAAGCUAGGUUUCCUCACUAUCUUCAACAGAAAUCAAGCCUCUAAACUGUACUGUAGUUUUGAGAUAGAAACCCACAAUGGCUUCUUCCACAAGCUCCUUUACUGCCUCUUCUUCUUCUACUCCUUCCAUCCCUAAAACAAGUCCUUAUGAUGUUUUCUUGAGUUUUAGAGGCGAAGACACCCGCUAUAAUUUCACUGAUCACCUCAACCAAGCAUUGGUUAGGAGAGGCAUUCGCACCUUCAGAGACGAUAAAAUCAGGAGAGGAGAAGAGGUUGCUCCAGAACUCUUGAAAGUCAUUGAAGAAUCAAGGUCUUCCGUAAUUGUUUUCUCUAAAAACUAUGCUCAUUCAAGAUGGUGUUUGGAUGAGUUGGUAAAGAUCAUGGAGUGCCAGAAAGAUCUGGGACAUACUGUUUUCCCAAUUUUCUAUCAUGUGUAUCCAUCCGAUGUACGAAGGCAAACAGGAAGUUUUGGAGAGGCCUUUGACCGUUAUGAAGGAAUCGGGACGGACAAGAUACCAAGGUGGAGGGAGGCCCUGACCCAAGCAGGCAAUCUUUCUGGAUGGCAUCUACUAGAUGGGUAACUAUAAUUUCCUUUCAACUAUUUGUAAGUUGUUAGAUUAGAAGUACUCUUCAAGUGCUUUUACCAGUAUUUCUAUUUAAAUUGCUUUUGGUAGGAGUUUUUUUAAAAUAUUUUUGAGAAACAACUUAAUCAAAUUGUAAUUAAUAUUGGCCAAGUUUUAAGAGUUAGCUAAAUCUAUUCUAAAAAUAGUUUAAUCAAUUAUGUAACAAGUAACAAUAAUAAAAUUACUUAACCAAUUUCACCAAAUAGUUUGAUUAAUUAUGUAGCAAGUACCAAUAACAAAAUUAUUUAAUCAACAAAGUUUGGAAAUAAAUUAAAUGCAAUUUAGUUGGAAAUAAAGAACAUUGGAUAGGCACUUAAUUUUCUUAUAGAAGAUGGUUGAAGGAAAUCGACUCAAAAUACAAAUGAAUCACUAGUUUACAAGCCUUUAAUUUUUGUAUGUGGGAUAAAUGAGUUAUUUUUGAAGCUUGAGGAAUUGAAAAUGGGGUUUUUAAACUUAAAAACUUCUUAUAUUUAGAUGUUGAGUACUACAUCUAGAAUGAAGCUUCAAGCAUUAAUUAUAAGGUAUAAAACAAAAGUCAAAGAAUAAAAUAUUUGCUCUAGUAAGGGUUUCAAUUGUCAUGGGAUAUUAAAGAGUUUUUUGAAAUGUAUAUGAAUGAUAAAGUAACAUCUUGAUUCAUGAUCAUCAUCCUCUAUUAUGGCACAAAAUUUCCAUUUGAAGUUAUGCCACACAAGCAUCACUAGUAACAAAAUUCAUGUUUUAUUUUUCAGUCUCGUGCAUACUUGAUACAAUGAAAAAUGUCCUACAAUGUAAAUGAACUAAUGUCUUUGAUAUAUUUUAUUUUACUACAAUUUAUUUGUUGUAAAGAUGUCAAACUUAAUAUGUUUUAUUUACCAUUGUGGCACUCAUUGCUCAACAUGUUGUACUUUUAUAAUUGGCAGGUAUGAGUUUGACCAUAUUAAGAACAUUACUGAUAGCAUAUUUCGUCGAUUGAAUUGUAAGAGGUUCGAUGUUGGUGCCAAUUUAGUUGGUAUAGAUUCUCGUGUAAAGGAGAUGAUUUUGCGGUUGCAUAUGGAAUCAAGUGAUGUUCGUAUUAUUGGGAUAUAUGGAGUCGGUGGGAUAGGUAAGACAACCAUCGCAAAAGUUAUAUAUAAUAUACUUUCUCACCAAUUUGAAUGCAUGAGCUUUCUUGAAAAUAUUAGAGAGGUUUCCAAUACUCGAGAUUUGCCUCACUUACAAAAUCAACUUCUUCAUGAUAUCCUAGAGGGAGAAGGAAGUCAAAAUAUAAACAAUGUUGACCAAGGAGCAAAUAUGAUAAAGACCAUUCUCUCGUCUAAAAAAGUUUUUAUUGUUCUCGAUGAUGUUGACAAUUUAAAUCAAUUAGAAGCUCUACUUAGAAAUCGUGAAUGGCUUGGAAUAGGAAGUAGAGUCAUCAUGACAACAAGAAAUAAAAAUUUGUUAAUUGCACAAGAAGUGGAUGUCUUAUAUGAGGUUGAGGGAUUGAAUUUUGAAGAAGCUUAUGAACUUUUCAGUUUGCAUGCCUUUAAACAAAAUCAUCCCAAAUCAGAUUUUGUAAACCUUUCACACAGUGCAGUACAUUAUUGUCAAGGCCUUCCAUUAGCUUUGAAAGUUCUAGGUUCUCUCUUGUUCAACAAGACAAUGCCUCAAUGGGAAAGUGAACUGCAUAAACUGAAAGAGAAUAUGAAGCAAAAAUUGAUAGUGUGCUUAAAAGAAGCUAUGAUGGAUUAGAGGACUAGGAUCGGAGGCAGAGGCAAGGGAAAAUGACAUAGCCAAGAGUGCACUGCAUGCGAGGGUGUCAAUGACCAUCUUCUUCAUGUUUAUGCAAUGUAUUCUCAAGCAAUCCUUCUUUGAGGAAAGAGCAAGCAGGAAUUUACUAGCGCGAUGAACUGCUUCGGUAGCUAGAGUUUGUUUUUGCUGUGGAUUCGUUAUGAGGGUUGGUUGUGUAUUUAUAGCUGAAGAGUCUAUGAAAUAUUCGAGCUUUGAAAUAGUCUUGUAUUAACUAUUCAAAUCCAAAUAAAAGACAAAUGAUUGAAAUUGCCAAGUCCUCAAAGUUUGUCUAAGCCCAUUAACUUCUAUAACCAUUUAAAUAUUGUAUAUAGUAACCAACAACCUCAGUCUUGCUAUGACCCUUUCAAUUUGUAAAACUUGGGUUCCACACCAGUGCCCAUAAACGCCACGAACUUAUAUAUGAAUGAAUGAAUUAAAUAUGGUGCCCUAAGUUUCAAUUUUGUUGUAAGUGCUAACAAGGGAGCUGGAUGAGGAGUUCUUUUAUAACCAGUUGACUUCUCUAACGUAUCAAUACUCGAGUAAAGAAAUAUUAGAGGAGUUCAUCAAAUAUCCGUUGAUAUGAUAUCCUCAUACCCGGAUGACCUAGCUACCUUGUCUCCCCAUAUAAAAAAAUAAUCAGUUUAAUAAGAUUAAGGUGGUUUUUGUUUUUUUACUUAAUUCUAAAUAGAACCUUAAUGCUUAAUAGUGUUAAAUAUUAUGUUGUUUAUUUUUGUAGUAUUUUAUUUCUAUUAAGUAUUAAAAAGUAAAAAAAAUCAAUAUGUUAUUUUUUCUAUUUAGAAAAAGCUACAUAUUUUGAUUUUUUCUAUUUAAUAAAAAGUUUAUAAUAAGUCAUGAAAAAGUAGAAAAACAAACAAUCUAAAUUUUAAAACUAAAUUACUUUCAGCAAAGAGCCAAAAAAACAAAUAUCACGUAAGUUUUGACUUUUUAACAAAAUAAAAUAAAUUAAAAGGACAAGGUAAGGUUAAGGUAUUUCUUUUAAACAAGAGGCCACUUGCUGUGGAAGUGGUCUCAUUCCUAUACAAGAGAGGUCAGACAUGAGCCAGCUAGCAGUAGUAUGUAUUUCACUGCUCAUGCAUGCUUUUGAAUUUAUUCUUUUUUCUUUUUUUAAUUUCUCCUUCUUUGACCUGUUUUGUGGAAUGCAACUACUGUUUGAGUUUGAGCAAUGCUAUGGUUCUGCCAAAAAUCUCUUAAAUCCCAUAUUACCACUAGUUCACAUGAAGAGAUUUUUUUUUUUUUAAAAAAAAAAAAAAUCUCUUAAACCCUUGUUGUAUCGUGUCUUUAUCAGCCCAUUUCUAAAUGUUAUAAUCCCGAUUCUGGUCACCUUAGUUCUCAUUUCAAGUGUGAAUUGAAUUUGCAUGGCAAUGGGAUUUGGAUUCAUGGAUAAACGUUGGUUUACACGUUGGUGUGAGUGCCAUGGUAAUUUUAAUAAUCAAGCAUGGGUUUGGUGGUAUCCCAAGAAUGCUAUUACGAAAGAGCAUCAAAAUAAUUUCACACAUGUUAAAGCUUCAUUUGUGAAUGUUAUGUAUGUGAACCUGUUCAAAAAAUGCGGCAUCAAUCUUAUAUUUGCGGGAGAUCAACAUAAUUAUAUACCAAUGUUGUUGGAUCUUCUCGGGAAUUUUGGUGACAAUGGAUCGGUAGAUCUUGGAAACUGAUGAAAACCGUAAGAGAAGACGUGAUGAUUCCCUACCCCAUGCAGUGGAGGAGCCACAAUAUAAAAGACUGAGAGCACCCAACAAUGAACUCUCGCUUUGAACGCCCAUCACUACGUGCAUUAUCAACCCUUUUCUAACAUUUCGACUUCCCUCUUUUUAAAUUAUUGAUUUAAAUUGUAAUAGCUAUCUCAACUUCUUUUCUCUUUUUGGUUCAUUAAGGCUAUAUUUGGUUACUCAGAAAAUCUAAGAGAAUACAAAGAAAGAAAAUAAAGAGGAAAAGUAGAAAGAAAAAAAAAAAGUGAAGAAAAAUAAAAAUAGAUUUAAAGUCGAUAAACUAUUUUUAUAUGUUUCUUCAAACUCAUUUCACUUGUUUUUCUCCAUUACAUAAAAAUUAAAUAAUUUAAAUAUGUAUAAAUUUUUAAUCCAUUCUAAUUAUAUUUUAUUUUCUUUUAUAUUUUCUAUAAUAAAACCAAACAUGAGAAAAUCAUUUUCCUUAGUAUUUUUCAAAAAAUAUCGUGAGUAUGCAUGUACUAUAUAUCAUAGAAUUUCUUCAUUUUCAAAAAAUAUGAAAAAUAACUUCAGUUAACUUUGAAAGUCAUCAUUAGUUUAAAAACAUGUAUAGUUUCUUUUUUACAUAUAGCAUAAAUAAGGUAGAGUGAACUGCUUUUUCUUUUCAUUAUUUAUUUAUUUAGUUAGUUAAAUAUAAACCUCUACAAAGUAAUUACGCAGCUCAAGGAAUUCUUCAUUACCUUAUUAGACAUAACAUUAAUUAAUUAAUUAAUUUUUUCUACUUGCUUUUAAGAGAGAUCAAAAUUAGUUAGAGAAGACCACAGACGCAAAUUAGAAGUUAAAUUUGAAUGUAUUAUGAGAUAGAUAUAUGUAGAAACAUACUCGAUGGCAAUAAAUAAUAAAACUCCAUCUAUUGAUUUUAAUAGUUGUAAAGUCAUAUUGUUUAUAGUUUUGGUAUUUAAGAAUUAAAUUUCUUAAGUAUGCUAAAACAUGUUUAAACAUGCAUACUUAUUGUCUAUCUCUUGAGAUGUAAGUCUUGAAUUAAUCUUAUAUUUACUUAUGAUUCUAAUAUGCUCAAGAAGUUUACCUAACCAUUAAUCAUACUAAUCUUAAGUAAAAUUUAUGACACUGUUGAGCGGAAUGGAAUCGUAUGUGGUAGCUACGGGUAAAUUAAAGUUUAAAGUACUUUGUUCCAAGAAUGAGGAGUUAUGUUUUUUUCCUAUCAACUUAUUGGUAAGUCAUCUUGUUCAUUUAUCCUUUUAGGACAUGUAGAAAAAGGAUUAAAGUUCCUCAACUUCUUUACUAUUUUCUCUUUCCUUUGAUCCCUUUUCUCUUCAGUUAUGUUUGGUUCUCGAAAAAUCUAAAGGAAAAUACAAGGGGAAAAAAAUAAAGAGGAAAAUAGAGAGAAGAACUAGAAGGAAAUAGAAAGUGAAGAAGAAUAAAAACUAGAUUUAAAGUCAAUCAAUUAUUUUCAUAUGUUUAUUCAAACUUAUUUCAAUUAUUUUGCUUCAUUAUAUAAAGAUUAAAUAAUUUAAAAAUGUAUACAGUUCUAACGAAUUUUAAUUAUAUUUAUUUAUUUUUGAAUUUUUCACAAUGACACUAAACAUGAGAUAGACCAUUUUCUUUGACACUUUUUAUUCUUUCCUUGGUACUUUCUAGGAACCAAACAUAAGUUCAAUGUUUUAGGAGGUAAAAAUAAAUAAAAUUGUAGCACAAUCCACAAUUAACUAGGAUAUAUACUUGUUCCUAUGUGCUUGGUAUAAGGCACUAGAUAUCAUUAUAUUAAAUCCUCCAUCUACUGCAUAAGAGUUAGUUAUAAAUUCUUUGCUAUUGAUAUAGGUAAACAACAAUUUAUAUAUGUUUGAAUUAAUUCCUUAAGUUAAUGGUUAACACCUAUGACAUAUAUUUUUAUUUCCUUGAUGAUUAUGUUAUAAUUUGAACAUUUUAGGAGCAUGAUUCUAGCUUCAUUAGCAUGAAGUGUAUCUAAUGAUGUGUGAUUCCCUAUCACUAUGUUCGGUUCAAGAAAGUAUGAAGGAAAGAAAAAAUCCUCAUGAAAAUGAUUUUCUCAUGAAAAAUUCCAAGAAAGUAAGAAGGAACAUGAAAAUGAUUCUUGGAAAGCAAACACAACCUAGUGAAAUACCUGCAUUAAUAAUUGUAAUGUAUGUUUGUUGUACUAUGUUUAUGAAAUUGAAAUAUUGUAUUUUAUAAUUUAUCUUUAGGUGGGAACCCUAAGGACAAUGAGGAGAAGUUAAUCUCAAGAUGUAAGCGAGAUUCCGAAUGUUGCUAAGGUGGUCUACUCUUGCAUAUGAUCAGUCUCCCUUAUGAUCAUGACCAUCAAGAAAGAUGCAACAAUUUGUGAAUUGAAAGUUUAAAUUAGGAAUGUUGUAAAAUGAAAACUUGAAUUGAUAUAUAUUAUUUUGCCUAUAACAUGUAUGGUUAUAGGCAAUUUUUGUGGGUAUGUAAUUGACCUUGAUGUUGCAUAUGAAGCAUAUGACCCUCUAUAUAUUUUCAAGCUAGUGGUUGGACCUCCCAUAGAAAGUGAAAGACAAGUGUCCUCUCGUGUGGCAUUUAGACAAUUCAAGUCUCUUGAAGUAGUUAAGUCUUUCACCUUGUGACAAAGGUCUCUAUCACAUUUCACACAUAUUAUAACAAUCACAUUUUAACUCAAGUGUUUAUUUUGAAAUACUUUUGCAUUAAACUCAUUUCCAAAAGCAUUAACUUAAUACCAUUCUCUAAUCUUACUUAGCUUGGUUUGUCAACUUCGGUUUACUGCUCUCCGAAGCUAACUUUCAACUUAAUCAAUCCAACAUAAUUGUUAUUGAUUCAUGGUCAAUUAACAAAUUCUCUAAUGUUACGAUUGGUUUUUGAAAAUUUUGAGAAAAAGAAAAUAAAGAGAAAAAAUAGAAGGAAAGGAAAUGUGAAGGAACAUAAAAAAUUAAAUUUAAAGUUAAUAAAUUAUUUUUAUCUGUUAUUUUAAACCUAUUUCACACAUAUAAUUUUAAUAAUAUUUAUUUUUCUUUCCUAUUUUCCAUAGAGAUACCAAAAAUAAAUAAAUAAAUAUUAAGAAAAAAAUUGCUUGUCGUUAUGUAAAUAGUUGAAGAUACCAAUAAUAUUGUUGUGUGAAUAUAGUUCAAGAUACCAAUAAUACUUCAUGAUUGAAUCAUAUCUAUUAAUGUGACCCAUUUACAUGUGUGGAAUAUUCAUGGUUCAAUACUAUCACUACCUUACAAUUGUGGAUUCCAAUUAAAUUUUAUGAAUUAAUGAUAGGAUCUUUCUUCAAACAAAUGUUGUCACUUAAGUUACAAUAGUUGAAUUAUUUCAAUUGGUUAAACCCCAAUAUUCCAAAUAUUUCUACUCGGAUUAAUUAAGGUCUUCAUGAGUUGACUUUAAUUCUUUACUUUUAAAUUUCAUCUAUUAAGGUAUUUUAGAUUCUUUCCUAUUUUACGUAGUCUUGUAAUUGAUUAUGAGAUUAUUGUAGACUAAAUGAUAUGCAAAUUAUUUCUUUUAUAAAUGUUUUUUCACUUGCUUUAGAGUUAAGAUUUUGUUUUUGUCUUUUCUUAACUUUAACUUUGUUACUCUAAAACAUCCAAAUUGUAUCCUGUCUUAAACUUUCAAGGAAUAAAGUCAUUUAAUUUUGUUUGUGUCAUUUUGUUUAAAAGAGAAACUAAAAAAGGACAGAUUCUAGUAUGUAGUUGAAAUAAAAAAGGAUUUUAGUCUAAAAUUAAUAUAAAAAAUAUAUUUUAACAAUGUAAAUUUUAAACAUCUUUUAGAUAGUGUUUGGUAAACCAACUUAAUAAUUUAAUAUAACUUAAUAACUUAAUUUGUUAUUAAGUAAAUUAACCAUAUUUGGCAAAAUAAUUUAAUAUUGUAACAUAAAGUUAGUAUUAAGUCAAAAUAGUUAAUUUAAAGGUGUUUGGUAAAUCAACUUAAUAAUUUAAUAUAACUUAAUAAGUUAAUUUAAGUCAUUAAAAAGAUUAAGCAUGUUUGGUGUAACAUUAAGUAAUAAGUCAUAAGGGUUAAUUUUAUUGAGACCCUCUCAGGUUUGGUGUAAAUACACCUGACCAUUGUUGGUUUCAAAUUUAUUGCACUAGCUAUUCAACAACAUAAUGUUAGACAUCCCCUUUUAACCCCGACCAAUAAAAUCCUCACUUGAUUCAAUGAUAAGUCUUUUGAACCCUAAAAUGUCCUUCAGUAGGACUAUCAUGAUGUUCACGAAAAAUUGCAUCUUUGAGGGAAGAAGUUGUAUCUAAGACAAGAGACCCUUGUACCUAAGUUGCCAAUUUGUCCAAGUAUAGCCAUGCUUGAAUUGUGGAUUAAGUUUAAGUGCAUCAAUUAGUGACUUUAGUUGCAAGUCUUGUUGCUACUCAUCCCUUAAUGUAUCAAGCCAAGUAGAAAUAGGGCUUGACAAAGGCAUUAGUUGGGCGCUUAAAAGGUGCAAAUCCUUUUUGGAACUUUUUGGAAGGUGGGAAAGUGCAUCGACUGCUCUAUUCACCUUGCCACUACGAUUGACAACUUCAAAGUUGUUGGAACCUUAGAUCGAAGCAACGGAAGCAAUACCAAUUUUUUUAAAAAAUAUAUUUUAGGGUUAAAGUACUAACCUUUAGGUUUGGAUGUUCCCAAACCUUAAAUUCUAAGUGUUGAAGACAACCUUGAAGUUGUUGGAAGUCUGGUAAACCUACGAUCUUUUGCCCGAUGACUCAACCUUGUUCUUGGCAUACUUCCGGUGCUGAGGAAAGGAAGGUGGAGGCUAUGACUCUCUUUCUUUCUGGAUGGUGGAAGAUAUAAAUUUAUGGAAACCUUAACUCCUAUGGGGUAUUUAUAGGGUUCCUAAGUGGGCUUAAGUGAUUUGAGUCCACAUGAGCUUGGGUCACUUAAUUUAGCCCAAAAUGGGUCAUAAUUGACUAAUAAACCAAAUAAGGCCUACUAAUUAAUCAAUUAGCCAAAUCCAAAGACCUUUUUCACUUACCCCGGUGCAAACUUACAUAAUUACCAAAACGUCCUUAUGCACAAAAGUGAACCUAGAGUCAAUUCGACCCUCAUAAUCCAUGCUAACAAGAUAUAUGAGCUUAGAGCAGGGAUCAUUAGGACCCAUAGGAGUAUUAGAUUCCUCAUAAUCCAAUUAUAAAGUUGAUUCAAUAUCCCACUACAGAUAAUCAACUGAACUCCAGUAUCCUAUGUAAAUAACAACGAGACAUUACGUGCUCGGAUCCAUGACUUGCUAUCCAUUAUGUUUGGUCUCCCUAUGAACUGGUGUUCAUAGUCUAACAAAGUGAAAGCUAUCAGCCUUUCAAGACUGCCUUUACUAUCAUUGAGUUCCAGAUCCUCCUAUUGUGUAUUCAAUUGACAUGUCUUAGCUCUCAAAGAGCCUAUGCUAAGUUUCACUUAAGGAACUAUUAUGGCCAUAGUUUCCAUGAACACGCCUUCUUAGGAUCACCCAAUAGGACAUAUUAUCUCAACCAUGGUGUCUUUAUUAAGAAUACCUAUUGCUACCGACUUCCAUCAAUAAUGACCCAAUCCAUAGGGAAUAUAUGAUCAGCUUACAAUCUUACCUGCAGGUCAAAGUCAUUGUUAACUUUAGCAUAGGCUCAAUAUUCUCUCAAGGUUGAGAGUCAACACAAUGGAGCAACUUGGUGACGUCAUGACUACUUGAUAGCCUUAAGUCAUGACUCACCGUCGGUCAUGUCCAAUGUGUAACCAUACACAUUAGUGCACUCACCAUGGGAAACCCAUUUCGAUAGCCAAGACCAAUCAUCUCUUCAAUUAGGAUGUAGUGCACUACAACUUUUAAUGGGUUGCCUAAACCCAUGAUCCGGUUGUGAACAAGUCAUUUAUUUGCAAGGAACCCAUGACUUAGAUUUUCUAUGCAACUCCUAAUGCACCUAAGUCACAUAUUUGAGUAAUAUUCUUUUAAUUUGAUCAUUUUAAAUGAUUUUUUUUUUUGAAGUUAAAAUCUAAUUUAAAAUUUAUUUUUUAAUGACAUUUGUUAAACUAUGAGAAUGAUAAAAAAAAUACAUAUAUAGUAUUUUCACGUACUCUCCCACACAGAUAGACGACUUAUAAAGUUCUUUUCUCCAAAUUUCUUUCACAUUGUUUAUUUUAUUUAUUAGAUUGAUUUUCAUGUGAAAAUUUAUUUUAUUUAAGAAAAAUAAAAAUUUUACAGGUUUAAGAAAAAAAUAUUUGAUCCCUCUUAAAUCAUUGAUUAAAUGAAUUAAUAUUUUUAAUAAAAGUAAUUUUAAUUUGGAUUUAAAUUAUUUCUUAGUUAUAUAUGGUUAUAUGCAUAUAGAAAAGAUUAUUUUUUGAUAUUUAAUAUUUGAAUUUUAUUUUAGGAAAUAUCUAAAUAUAUCAAUCCAUUCAUCUUUCUUCAACAUAUUUUCAUUUUCCUAUUGUGGGGAACACGCACCAUUGAAAGAAGAACGAGGAAGGCAAUAGAUACAUUGGUGUUUCUAGUUCUCUUGCACAUUAGCUUAGCUUCAAUAAUUAAUUUUAUGCAUGUUCCUAGUGAAUAGGUAAUAUUUUCUUUAGACUUUUAUUAUUUCCUUUAUGUUAUACAUAUAGCAUGCAUAUUGAGAUUAGGUAUCUUGUAGCCUAUUUUAACCUCCUUAGUAUUAUGGGAGCACAUUGUAAUUAACAUAUUCUUUUCAGGUGUGCCCCUCAUUUUUUAAUUCCAUAGAUAUCCAUUCCUCAUUUAUGAACAUCAUCACAAUUGAUGCUAUUUUUUUUUGGUUGCUUGAUUAUCCUUUAUUUGGCUUGCUCCGCUUGAUCCACUGAUUUAAAUGAUGAUGCAUUGUGGACCCGCAUUUUUCACGUGCGUCCCCACUCGAUCGGUGAGACUCGCUUUUUAUUUGUGAAAAAUAAUUUUUGGAAAAGUCGGAGUCGCCACUUAUUUUAUUUUAAUUUUAAAGGGAAAAUAAAAUAAGAAAGAAAAACCCUAAAAUGUGACUCCAUAAUUUUUGGAAAAAGCAUGUCUUUGAAAAAUCCGAGUCUAAGUCCGGGGAUCAGAUUACUUAUUGGGAAGGUACCUCUAGGAGGUAGCACCCCUCUAAGCCCUAUAAAGGUCUUUACUAACAAAGUUAAGGGAAGUGUGGCCAUUAAUCAGUUAAUUAUGGAUACCUAAGUAGGCUAGGUGAUUUUAAAGAGUGGCAUGCCAAACACAAUCAAAUUGCAAUAAAGGAGAGUUAGGGUGCGUACCUGAACCGCUCUUCAAGCGCUAUCAUACAACAUAAGAGUUAGUGUAGGAAUCUAUCACACAACAUGUCUCAUCCGGGCAAAUCUAAUAUAUAUUUAAACACCCAAGAAUCACAUCAUGCAUGGAUAUAGUCACCAAUAGCAUACGUGUCUAUAGAAUUCUCAAAAAAAAAAAAAAAUGAGAAGGAGCGUACCUAGAUAGCAAGCUAAGGCGCCUUUAUGGGAAGCAAGGUUAGCCCAAUAACAAAUAUAAAACAAAUUCAAGCAUAUCUCCAAGAGGAAUCAAAAUCAAUUAAAUGCCAAACAAUCAUCUUUAAAAUCAAUAUUAGUGAAGACAUCAAGAAUGUAGGACCCCCACCAAAGUCCAUAUUACUUUUGCACGAAUUGAUUCAAUGAAUUCCAUUGUUUGGAAUCAUGAAGUUUGUUCUUGCUUGUUAAAAAUCGAGAAAAAUCAAGAAAAUCGGUUGAAAAUCAAAUAAAAUAGUGAAAAUGCAUGCCAGAAAGAAAAAUGGCAGUAAGAGUGUGUUAGAAUAUGGAUUUUAUACCUAGAAAGAACCUAAGAUGAAUUUUUCAAAUCCAGGAAUGUUUAGUUGAACAAAGGUUCAAAAAUUCAAUUUAAAACAAUAAGUUCCCAAUCAAAGAAGCAAACAGAGGAGAAGGUGUGUAUAGCAAGGUUGCCAUGAAGUGAAGCUGGGAAAUUCUAGAUAGAGGGAACUAAUUCACUACAAGAGUCCUCAACUGUCGUAUGCUUCAAUGAGCUAAGCUAUCUGGGUGGAGUGUGAAUCGUUGGUCACAGAUACUCUCCUCUCCCAUCCGGCGGAAGGCGCCGGGUGUGAAAUAUCCGGAGAAGGUGGAACGUCGGACGGAUAGAAUGGUUGCUGUGAGAUCGGCCGGGUAGAAUGGCGGCUGUGAGAUCGGCCGGGUAGAAUGGCAGCUGUAAGAUCGGCUGGGUAUAAUGGCAGCUGUGAGAUCGGCCGGGUAUAAUGGCGGCUGUGAGAUCUGCUGGGUAGAAUGGCGGCUGUGAGGUCGGCCGAGCAUAAUGGAGGCUGUGAGACAUCCGGAGAAUGGCGGCUGUGAGACAUCCAUAGAAAAUGGGAUGUCGGCCGGAUAGAAUGACGGCUGUGAGAUAGGCCGGGUAGAAUGGCGGUUGUGAGGUUGGCCGGAUAGAAUGACGGCUGUGAGAUCGGCCGGGUAGAAUGGCGGCUCUGAGAUCAGCCGGGUAGAGUGGCGGCUGCGAGAUCGAUCGGGUAUAAUGGCGGCUGUGAGACAUCUGGAGAAAGUGGAACGUCGGCUGGAUAGAAUGGCGGCUGUGAGACAUCCGGGUGGAAUGGCGGCUAUGAGGUCGGCCGGGUAUAAUGGCGGCUGUGAGACAUCCGAAGAAUGGCGGCUGUGAGACAUCCAUAGAAAAUGGGAUGUCGGCCGGAUAGAAUGGUGGCUGUGAGAUCGGCCGGGUAGAAUGUCGGUUAUGAGGUCGGCCGGAUAGAAUGGCGGCUGUGAGAUCGGCCGGGUAGAAUGGCAGCUGUGAGGUCGGCCGGGUAGAGUGGCGACUGCGAGAUCGAUCGGGUAUAAUGGCGGUUGUGAGACAUCCGAAGAAGGUGGAAUGUCGGCAGGAUAGAAUGGCGGUUGUGAGACAUCCGGAUGGAAUGGCGGCUGUGAGACAUCCAUAGAAAAUGGGAUGUCGGCCGGAUAGAAUGACGGCUGUGAGAUCGGCCGGGUAGAAUGGCGGCUGUGAGGUCGGCCGGAUAGAAUGGCGGUUGUGAGAUCGGCCGGGUAGAAUGGUGGCUGUGAGAUCGGCCGGGUAGAGUGGCGGCUAUGGUAUUCGGGUGGAAUGGGCGAUGCCAUAAACUAAGAACCCUCAAGAACUAUGGUAACCUCUGCAUCUGUUUAACUCUAAGAGAACCCGUUUUACACAGCCUUUAUCAAGCUCCCACCUUUCUCGGAAUGCUCAUGGUCCCCAUAUCCGAGAAUACCAAGGUAAAGAAAGGGAAGAAACGUAGACACAGAUGCACACAAAAAGACCAAGGAAGAAAAGAAAAGAAAACAGGGGAAGAAAAAGACAAUCGGUGGGUAUUUUAAAGUGAAUCUGGAACGCAAACAGGGGCAAAAACCCAUAGCCUCAAAUUCUAAGGUAAACCUAUAUUCAGAUUGUUUUCAGAUAGAACCAGAGACAUAAAAAAAAAGGAAGAUUAAAACAACACAAAUAUGCGAGCAAAUCAGUCUCAACAAAUCAAACUGUGGCCCCCUUUGCGUCCACACCAAAAUCAACAAUACAAUGAAUAUUCAAAAACAGACACGCUGAAAAAUCGAACAUGGGUAAAAAUUCCAAGAGUAACGAAAAACAUACCUGGAUAGCCUUGGUUGCAAUUGCUCUUUUUCGUUUCCUCAGUUCUUCACUCCCAAAAAUCCUCAGAAUCCCUCUUUUGCGUGUCACCUUCUCUUCCAGACGAUCCUCUUAUGCGCACUGUCCCUCUCAAAUGCCUAUUCCUUUUCUCCUUAUAUUCGUAUCAGCCUCUCAAACUCAAUCUGCUAAAGAGAAUCCACUUUCCUUUCUUCUAUUUCCCUUCAUUUUUUCCAAAAUCAGAAUGCUCAUCUCUUCUCAUGCAGGAUCUUCUCUUUCCAUAUGUAUGCAGCCACAUUAAUUCCUUUUUCCUCGCAAAAUAUUUCUCUUACCUUUUUGAGUGCACAUACCUUUGUGAGAGUUGAAUAGCAGCCCCUAUUCUCUUAUCAAACCAUAAAAAACGAAAAUAGAGAGAAUAAAAACAAAAAGAGGUAGCAAUCUUGCAACCUAUCAAAGAUUAAAAUAAAAUAAAAAUAAAUAACGUAAAACAAAAUAAUUGAAUAAAAUAGUCAAUCCUAUGCGGGCCAUGUAAGUCAUAUAGAAAGUGAGUUUAAAAGUGCUUACUGGGCCAAGUGUGUCUAAAAGCCUAGAGCGGUGCCUAAUGGGCCAAGUGUACCUAAAAGCUAUCAUAAAAAUGAACGGAAAAGCCUAAGUCUAAAUUAGGGCUGCCAAGAGUCACAAUAAGGGGUCAGAUAAUCCCUCAACCAAAAUUUUCAAGGUGGCUCAGAAAAAGGUAAGUUGAACGAGUAGUAAUGGGCCACCAAGGAAUUACUAUGGAGCAUUAAAAACGAACUUAAAGUCAUGUGCUAAAAGGACAAAAUUGAGGGUCUACAAAUAUGCCCCUCUUCGGUAUAGAUCACGAGUGUAGAGAAUGCGAGUAGAAACACGAGUAAUGAGUGAAAUGAAGUGAACUAUAUCGAAGAAUUAAAGAAGGACCAGAGAUUUUGUCCUGGCACAUGAAAAGGUAAGAUCAAAAGAUGGGGUCUCAAUGACAUGAAUGGGACAACUCUAUGUGGGGGAAAUGACAAUAAAGAGAUAAGGUAUGUGACGAGUAGCACAAAGAUGGAAAGAGGUGAAAAGGAUGACUCGAGGUCAUGGAUGAGAUGAACGACUCUGGGUCUAAAAUAGGAUAAACGACUCUAGGUCGUGAGCUCAGGGCUCUAAAUGGAAAAGAAAUGACUCUGGGUUAAGAUGGAAAACAACUCUAGGUCGAGAGCUCUGGGCUCUAAAUAGGAAAGAAUGACUCUGGGUCAAAAUGGAAAAUGACUCUGGGUCGAGAGCUCUGGGCUCUAAACGGAAAAGAAAUGACUCUGGGUCAUAAAUAGGAAAAUGACUCUGGGUCGAGAGCUUUGGGCUCUAAAUAGAUAGAAUGAAUCUGGGUCAAAAUGGAAAAUGACUCUGGGUCAAGAGCUCUGGGCUCUAAAUAGAUAGCCGAUCAGGAUGCUUUUCAGCUCAUGGUGUCGGGUCAAGGCCACUCACAAGUGGCUAGAAUGAUGAAAAUGAAACAUCUCAGGGAUGUGAAUGAUGCAAAUGACUCCGGGUCGUGAGCUCAGGGCUCGGGAUGCUAUGAAUGACUUUAGGUCAUGAUGCAGUGAGUAACUCGGGGUUACGAUGAAUAGCUCAGGGCUAUGGAUGAAAUGAAUGACUCUGGGUCAUGAUGCAAUGAGUAACUCGGGGUUACGAUGAAUAGCUCAGGGCUAUGGAUGAAAUGAAUGACUCUGGGUCAUGAUGCAAUGAGUAACUUAGGGUUACGAUGAAUAGCUCAGGGCUAUGAGCUCCGGGCUCUAUGACUGAUCGGCUAGAAGGAGAAUGCGAUACGCAAACUCCAGGUCAAACAACUCAUGGGCGACCAAAUGAUGAAGGCUCAGCUCAGGGCUGGAAAUACUUCGGGUCUAUAGGAAGCGAUAGCCUAGGGCUUCAAGGCUCAGGGCCUACGGGAAAAAGGAUAGCUCAGGGCUAUAAGACUCAGGGUCUAGAAGGAAUGGAUAGCUCAGGGCUACGAGGCUCAGGGCCUAAAAAAAGGAUAGCUCAGGGCUACUAGGCUCAGGGCCCAAGGGAAGAAGAAUGCUCAGGGCUAUAGACUCGGGGUAUAGAAGGAAUGAAUAAUAGAAAAGACCAACUCGAAAGUGGAUAGGAAGUAAAUGGGCUCAAAGUCGUAUACUCAGGGUGUCAAGGGUCGGACUACUGAAACCAAGAAGGGAAAUAUACCCCAGUAUCCAGGGUGCUCACACUGCUGAAACAACCAGUAAACCAAUCAUCUGCUAGAAUCAAUGGGUCAGGAACCAAAUGCAUCACGACAAAUCUCUGAAAAGUCAAAACUGAAAGAACUCUCUAUGUCUGAAAAGCUACUCUAUCUACGAAUCUCAAAAGGUAAAUCUCAAAGUGCAUAAAAUACUGCUCAUCCGGGUAAUCCAAUCUGCAAGGUGACAAUGAUGAAAACAAAUCUAUCCCAUGAACAUCUGGCUAAAGGAUUCACCCACACUCCUCGGGUGAAACCUAAUGCGAUCCAUCUCUAUCUCAACAAAUCCAUGUAGGAAGGCCCUGAUACAGUCGAUCGUCGGAAGCUCUGGGCUAGUACUCAAUCUAAAACCAAAUUGACCACUGUCUCAACCUCAAGGAUACUAAAAGAAAAUGGGGGAAAUAUACCCCAGUAUAAGAUCCGAUAUCAAAGUCAUGAGGUAAACAACAAACAAUGAUCGUCCAUUCUUGUACCACUGCCUAAACACAAUCUCAUCGAGGAGAGGGGAAUAUGCCCCAGUGUGGAUAUCUGAUGUACAAUAAAGAGUCUGUCAAAAUCAACCAAACAUCUCCAUAACCAUGAAUAAGGAUAGUCACACCGUCUAAUAACAGAUAGGAAUCUCAGAAAAAGGGGGGGUGCCCCAGUGUGAAUAUCUAAUGCACAACCAAAGGAUGAAUCCAACAUCAUCAAUCAAUUGUCCUCAGCUCAACAAUAAUCUGCUAGGAAGUCAGAAUAAAGUACCGACCAAUGCCUCAAGGGAGACACUCUAAAUCCAACCUCAAAUGAAUAGCCAAAAUGAUGAGGGAUGUGGCAAUCUCGAGAUGGGGAAAUAUGCCCCAGUGUGGAUGUCCGGUGCAUGACAAAAUGAUGAAUCCGAUAUCCUCAAUGAACUGUCUCCCCAAAAAUCCAUCAAACAUCAAUAUGCCAAGCAAGAGAGAGACCAAAUGCUUCCAAAAUUAUCUCCCAUAAAAGAGAACAUAGUAACGACCAUACUUCAACCAAUCUACAAAAACCUGUCCAAGUGAAGACUGUCAAAGAGAACAUCUGAUCUCAUGGCCUCAGGGUGGUCUUAAGACACGGGACAUAACGUAGGCCAAGGUGAUAGGGUGAAAGAAAUGAAAGGAAACUAGGCUCAAAUACCCAAAUGAUCAAACCCAUACCCUCGUGUACAGGAUGUAAUGCAUAGAAAAAUCUCAUGAGUCAUGGACUUAGAAGUAACCAAAGGGAAUGUCGAUAGCGAAAUGAGAGAAAGGAUGAAUGGUCAACCAUCAAUGAAAUAUGUGAAUGAUGUGAAGAAAGUAUUGAAUCAGAAAUGUGUAUCAAUAUGUAGGGAAUAGAUAAAAAGGUGGAAUGAAUAUCCGGAAAGAGGUAGUGGGAUACAAAAGAAGGCAAUGAGAAAGUAGAAUAGAUGAUGAUUAACCCAUGUCAGCACAAUAAAGGAAAGUCAUAUCACCAAUGAUGGAAUGAUGGAUAAGACAAUGAUCCGGAGACCCUAGUAAGAGGUCGCUCAUCUCUCAUACCUAAUACAUAUCAACCAUGGUCCAAGAAGCAUAGGAUACCAUAGAACUCUCACAUGAAUCCCUAACGCUCCAAAUGCAUAGCAAAAGUGGCUCAAGGAGUGAAAAACUCGUAUAAAAAUCUCACAAGAACCCACAACGACAAAUAUACCCAAUAAAUAAACCUUAAAAGGUGAUAUAAGUGCCCCAUGGAACAAGAUACCAUACACAAACAUGUCAUUGCGCUUUUCCUUUUCUUUUUUUUUUUUUUUGAUUUUUUUGUUGAUUUGAUUUUUUUUUUUUGUUUUUUUUGUUUUUUUUUUGCGCAUGCUCUGAUCAUCAAUAAAUCAAACUCCAAUGGGAAAUAUAUAAGGAAUGAACAAACUCUCUCAAAUCACUAGUGAAUACAUGAACCUUAUCCCAUGAGAUAACCUCUCAAACCAAAAUCUCCGAAUCAAUGUCAAAUGAUGGAAUGAAUAGAGUGAUAUGACUGCCCUCUUUGCACUAAGACAUGAAGAAUCAUCAACCCAAGGAAGAGAAUAGGUAAGAUGAAGCAAAUAAUGAUAGAGACAAGAAAGAGAAUGAAUAUGUGGUGAUAAUAAAAUAGAACAAAUAGGGUGAUAAGAGGAUGGUAACAAAAUGAGGAGAUAGACCUAUAAGUCUAAAGCUCAUGAGACUUUCCUAGCAAAGCAUGCAUAUACAUCAAAAGGGCCCCAAACCGGAUGUAGAAAUGGUAAUCAAGGCUAUAAGAAAGAAAUAAGGCUAUAACAUACCACGCGAGGCUCAAUGGGCUAGCAAUGGUUUAAUAUAUAGAGGUGAUAAAGUAUGAGGCUAACCAAAAUGAUGGCCACCCAUCCUGCGACCACGAUCUCAAACAUAAUACUUCUUUAGCUGAUCCACAUUGGUAGGCUCUGAAAAUUGGUUUCCAUCUAAGUCUGUCAACCAUGCAGCUCCUUCUGGAGUCAACUCUCGGAUAACAUAAGGUCCACUCCAACUAGGUCUAAACUUUCCUCUAGGGUCUCCAAUCAAGCCUCUGAGAAUCCUCAAAACUAAGUCCCCUUUUUGCAAUGGUCUAGGCUUAACUCGUUUCUUGAAGGCGCGAGCCAUCCUUUUCUGAUAGGCCUGAACAUGAUCUGCCGCUCUCAAUCUCCUCUCAUCUAAAAGGUUAAGCUGAUCAAAUCGAGCCUGAGCCCAUUCUGUCUCAGAAAUCUGUUGCUUAAGGGCUACUCUCAAUGAGCCCAUCUCUGUCUCGACUGGCAAAACAGCCUCCAUACCAUACACUAGAGAGUAAGGCGUAGCUCCUGUAGAAGUUUGAAAAUAGGUACAAUAUGCCCACAAUGCAAAAGGAAGCUUCUCUGACCAAUCUUGAGAAGUCUCAACCAUCUUCCUCAAAAUCCUCUUAAUAUUCUUGUUUGCAGCCUCUACUGCCCCAUUGGUUUGUGGCCUAUAUGCUGAAGAUCUGUGAUGUCAGAUGGCAUACUUCUGCAACAAAGUAUCUACCUCAGCUCGAAAGUGCAUCCCUCUGUCGGAAAUCAACUCAUGAGGAACCCCAUAGCGGCAAAUGAUGUGUGAUCUGAUGAAACUGGCAAACCCAGCAGAUGUCAACCUUGCAUAUGAUGCAGCCUCCACCUAUUUGGUGAAAUAAUCUAUGGCGACUAGGAUGAACUCAUGACUACUGGAAGAUUUUGGUGAAACCUUCCCAAUAAUGUCAAUUCCCCAUACUGAGAAUGGCCAUGGCGAGGUCAAGGCGUGUAACUCUGAUGGUGGUGCAUGUAUGAGAUCACCAUGAAUCUGACACUCUGGACAUUUCUGAACAAACUGACAACAAUCUGUCUCCAUAGUCAACCAGAAAUAGCCCGUCCUCAUAAUCUUACGAGCUAGCAUGUGUCCUCCCAUAUGCGGACCACAAACUCCUGCAUGAACCUCUCUCCUCACUCGAUCUGCAGAGGCUCGAUCUAAACAUAAUAGAAGCAUACCAUCAGCUGAUCGCCUGUAUAAGGUAUCUCCACAAAUCACAAAUCUAGUGGCCAAAUUCCUCAGUGCUCUCCGAUCCUUGGCAGUGGCUACCUCAGGGUAUGUGGCAGAUCUAAGAAACUGAUAAAUGUCAUGAUACCAAGGUAGAUCAUCUUGGACCUCUGUUUCUCCAAUCAAACAACAGUAGGCGGGUGCAGACCUCAUCUCAAUUAGCAAUGGACGAAUAACUACAUCAAUCGGAAUGUCCACAGAAGAAGCUAGAGUAGCUAAGGCGUCAACAAAUUGGUUUUGCGUUCUAGGCAGAUGAACAUAUCUCAAGUCAUCAAAUCUCGCAACCAACAACUCUAAAUAAGCAUGAUAUGGCCUAAGCUUCACGUCCCUAGUCUUCCAGUCUUCCUGAAUUUGUCUGAGUACCAGAUUGGAGUCACCGAAUACCUUCAUCUGUCUAAUGUCAAGCUCCAAUGUAGUCUCUAAACCGAGGAUACAAGCCUCAUACUCAACUAUGUUAUUCGUGGCAGGAUGUCAAUCAAAGAAUGCCAAACGAACGGACCUCGGAAUAUGAUCACCUUGAGGGGAUACCAACAGAACACCUAUCCCAUACCCUGACUGAUUGGCUGCACCAUCGAAGUACAUGCACCAUCCUAAUAAGCUGAUCAUAGUAACAAACUCCUCAUCUGGAAAAUCAUCAUCAACUGGUCUGUCAUCAGAUGUCGGUAGUGAAGCUAAGUGAUUGGCGACAAUACUUCCCUUAAUAGACUUCUGAGAAAUGUACUGAAUAUCAAACUCUAUCAGAAGUACAAGCCAUUUCAUCAGUCUGCCAGUCAAUGCAGGUCUAUCAAAUAAGUAUCUCAACUGGUCUAGGUGGGAUAUCAAAUGCACUGAAUACUCUGUCAUGUAAUGCCUUAAUCUCCUGGUAGCCCAAACCAGUGCUAAGCAUAGGUGCUCAAUCAUAACAUAUUUCACUUCAUACUCCAGCAUCCUCUUACUUAGGUAGUAAAUAGCUCGCUCCUUUCCUGAGUCAUCAAUCUGAGCUAACAUACAUCCCAAGGCCAUGUCUGAAACUGACAAAUAUAGAAGAAGUGGACGUCCUGGCGUAGGAGGCACUAAAACAGGAGGAGAAAGCAAAUACUCCUUGAUCUUCUCAAAUGCAAGCUGACAAUCAUCAUUCCAAACUGUCGGUUGGUUCUUCCUCAAAAGACGAAAGAUAGACUCACAUAUGUCUGUCAAUCUGGCUAUGAAUCGAUUGAUGUACUGUAAUCUGCCUAGGAAACUCCUGAUCUCUUUCUCAGUCUUCGGUGCAGGCAUGUCAAGUAUGACUUUGAUUUUAUCUGGGUCAACCUCUAUGCCUCUCUCACUGACCAUAUGCCCUAAUAAUUUCCCAGAAGUCACUCCAAAGGUGCACUUUUUGGGACUCAGCCUCAAUCUAAACUUCCGGAUCCUCUCAAAGAAUCUCUCUAGAGCAUCUAGGUGAUCUGUUCUACCUCAGGAUUUCACAAUCAUAUCAUCCACAUAAACUUCAACAUCCCUAUGCAUCAUAUCAUGAAACAAAGUAGUAGCGGCUCUCUGAUAAGUGGCUCCUGCGUUCUUUAACCCAAAUGGCAUAACCCUGUAACAGUAGGUACCCCACUCAAUAAUAAAGGCUGUCUUCUCCAUAUCCUCUGGAGCCAUCAAAAUCUGAUUAUACCCUAAAAAUCCAUCCAUGAAAGACAACAUCGAAUGGCCUGCGGUGCUAUCAACCAACAAAUCAAUAUGUGGGAGAGAGAAGUCGUCUUUGGGACUGGCUUUAUUAAGGUCUCUGAAGUCCACACAAACUCUAACUUUGCCAUCCUUUUUGGGUACUGGGACGACAUUAGCCAACCACUCUGGAUACUCAACCACUGAUAUGAACCCAACACUGAGCUGUUUCUGAAUCUCCUCUUUCACCUACAGACUCCAACGUGGAUGCAACCGUCUUAAUUUCUGCUUAACUGGUCUGGCAUGUGGUAGUGUAGGUAAAUGGUGCUGGACUAUAAAGGGAUCGAGACCUGGCAUGUCCUCAUAAGACCAUGCAAAGACAUCCAAGUAUGACCUGAGUAAAUGAAUAAGUCUAUCUCUCUCAUCUGUAGAUAGGGGUGAACUAAUUUUUAGUUCUCUAGGCUGAUCCUCUGUGCCAAAAUCAACAGUUUCAACGUCCCCUGUAGCAAGUGAAGCUCUCACAUCUAUGGGAUCAGAGUCAUGAUCAAAAGAGUCUCCACUGAAUCGGGCUGUGUAAUAUCAUCAUCUAUAUCAAAUAUCUGUGAGAUGGGUGGGUGAGGUGCAGAUAUAGAGAUACUAUCACAAGAGACAGGCGAAUACUAAAAAAUGCUCAAAUCCAUAAAUGAAGCAAUAGUAACAUCGUCAGAGUGGGAGACAAAUCCCGAUAAAACAUCAAAAGAAAGAGGUGGGUCCACAUGGUCGGACGCUCCUCAACUGGGCUAACCAUGCCCUCAAACAAACUACUAUCAUUCUCUAGAAGCUCUGGAACAGGAAGAGUCUGAGUCCCCUCAAGAACCUCAAUGGUAGACCCCCAAGCAUAUCAAAUGCUGAAUUGGCUGAAGCUGAACAAUACUGGUAAUCUGGCUAACGAUCAUCAUGUCCAUCUCAUCACGGUACUCAUCACGGGGAACAACUCCAUCAAUCUUCUCAAUAGGAUCAACAAUCACCCCAUCACUAGUGAUCUCCUCUGGAAAGCAUAGAGACAACAUGCUAGCUCGAUCUGGAGACGUGGGAGUAAUCGUCAUAGGGUGAGAAGUGUCGGGAGCCCCAUCACCCAACUGUAGCUGGUGAAAUAGAUGUUGAAUCUCAGUCUCUCUAUCUGUAUGAACCACACUAUCAAUCUUCUCUAGAUGAGGUUGAGUCUCUGAUCCUCUGACAAAGUAAUCGGCUAAACUCAUCCUAUAUGGUCGAAUGGGAUAAUCAAAUGGUGUGUGGGAUAAACGGGCCCUCACCCUCUCCUUGCACAGCCGCGCCACGUAACGGUAAUCGGCCUCAGUAGGGAUGAAUCCAAGUCCAAAUGUCGUGUCAUGGUUAAUGGCAGCUAUGAACUCACUAGGUCCCUGCUGAUCAUAUCAAGGACCACUGUGCUGCUAUGCUGAUCAAAUGAGAUAGCCACAAAGUCUCUAUGAAAAUCCUCAAUCUCGAGAGUCUGUAUCUCAUCAAAAGUAAACCCAGUCAGGAGUAGGUCGUCCUCACUGUGACUGAUCUGAAGUACUGGCUCAGAAGCGGCAAAUAUAUCCCUGGUAGACCGCACUGUGAUGAUCCGCCCAUCAUGAAUGAACUUCACCUUCUAAUGAAGGGAAGAAGGAAUAGCUCUAGCUAUAUGAAUCCAUGGUCGGCCUAGUAGUAGGUUAAAAGAUGUAGGAAUCCUCAAAACCUGGAACAAAGUGGAGAAUGUGGCUAGACCAAUCUGCAAAUCAAUCAUCAAGGUACCCAUAACCUCCCUCUUGGUGCUAUCAUACCGCCUGACUGUCUGAGUAGAAGGACCAAAAUCUGAAGGCGCGAAACCAAGGGCUAUAGUAGUGGCUAAAGGGCAAACAUUCAGGGCUGAGCCGUUGUCCAGUAGGACAAAUGGGACUCUAUGGCCUGAACAACCAACUGUGAUGUAUAGAGGGCGCACGUGGUCUAAACCAUCAGGCGGCAAGUCAUCAUCUGAAAACACAAUGCAAGUGGCCCUACCGGCUGUCAUCAUGUGAAUUAAUCUCUCAGGAGUGGUGGUAGUCUCUACUCUGAUCUGACUCAAGGCUCGAAUCAAAGCAUCUCUAUGAGUACUGGAUGAUGCUAAUAAACUCUAGAUGGAAAUGCGAGCCUGAGUGCUCUGUAGCUGUCUCAAAAUCUCAUCAUCCUCUCUCCUAACCUCCUUAUGAGAGGCUGUACCCUCAAAUGGUCUGACUGCUGGUGGUGGUGGCUGAGCUAUCCUUCCACUACGAGUCACAAUCUGUAUCUCUCUCCCCUCUGAAUCAUCAUCCUUUGGCCAUAAAGUGAACGGGAUAAAAGCAUCCUAACACCCAAUAAUCAAGGGUGUAGGAUGUGUCAACUGGAAUGGUGUCUCAUAUGGGAUUAAACUGAAGGGUGUAGGAGCCUGAGGGACCACUGAAACCCCAUCAACCUCAUAACUGUCAUGCAAAACAAUCGGCUCGGGUAAUCCAUCAUCUCAACUCAACAUAUGUAUACUGUCAUCCUCUAUAAGGUCCAUGUGAUGAAUAUCUCCUGGAGAUGGAGACGCUGCAUGUGUGGAAUGAGCAGGAAGAGGGUUCGUGGUUACACUUGGCUGCCCCAAGUUGACCAAACCCUGGUCUAUCAGGUCCUGUAUAGCAUGCCUCAAAGCAGUGCAAUGGUCCGUGUCAUGUCCUGGUCCUUGAUGGUAGGAACAAUGUAAGUCCAUCCUGAAGCGAGGUGGUAUAGGUUGGGGUAAAGGCCUGGAUGCUAAUGGAAUCAAUAAUCCACCCUCUGUGAGCUUCUGAAAAGCUUGACUCAAAGGCAUACCCAACUGGGCAAACUGACGUGGUGGCCUCUGCAUAUAAGUAGUGGUCUGCGGAGCUCGGGGUUGAGUAUAUGGGGCAGGAGGCCUCUCUGUGACAUGUGCAGCAUAAACGGGCUGUGAGUCUGGAUGUAGAUAGGUAGGAGUCAUAGGUCUAGAAGGAGCAGGCGGACUGUAAUGCGCAUGAGGUGAUGGUGGAUAGUAGAACUCAAGAGUUUGCCCAACUGUCUGAUAGCGUCUAGGAGGCCUCAUCCCUGCUGAACUGAUAGCACCAACAUCUCCUGAUCUCUGUCCUCCUGAAGGCUUCUUCCCCUUAGAAUCAGUAGGGGAGGACUCAGACCAUAACCCUCUAGUAAUGCCCUCCUCUAUGCCGUACAGGGCUUGUACCAAGGAUCCAAAAUCCGUAUGAGGAAAUCCCAUCAAAUGUCUAGCAAAUCUAGGCUGUAAACUCCUCAAAAUCAUACUAAUCUGGUCCUUCUCGGAAAGAUGAUCUAUAAUCUGUGAAAUCUUCUCCCUCUAGUGGGAGAUGAAUGAAGUGACUGACUCCUCCGGCCUUUGUCUCAAAGCCUCCAACUCUCUCCUCGAAACAUCAAUGACAGUGUUAAAUGCAAACUGUCUCAAAAACUCCUGGGCUAAGUCAUCCCAAGUCCUACGGUGUGAUACCUCUAAUGAAGCGAACCAACGAUGUGCAGCACCACUCAAUGACAUAGGGAAAAGCAUAACCAUCUGGGCCUCAUCCAGUCCGUGGGCUCUUAUAACAGUACUAUAGAGUCUCAAAUGGAUGCGAGGGCAUCCUAUGCUAGUGUAUCUCUCAAUCUCAGGCAUCUUGAACUUGGCCGGUAGACUGGCCACUGGUGCUCCAUCAAAAUCCUCCCAAGUAAUAGCUCCCUCUGAAGUCCUCAUCUGUCUCAGCUUCUGCUCAAGUUUGUCCAUACGAGUAUGUGGGUCCUCUGAGAUCGGGGUAGGCACUUGAUUACUACUCAAAAAGUGCUAUUUCAUAGCUUGUAAUUAACUCUUUUAAACACUUUUGAGUAGUAGUUAUUGCCUUUUAACCCAAUUAACAUAUUAAGGACCUUUGCAAGCACUUCUAAUCAAUUUGUGUUAAGUUUUGGUGUUUUGAUAGCUUUUUGAUCACCAAAGCAGUAUGAGAUUGAGGAGAGUUAUUUGAAAUCCAUGGCAAAGCAAUGGAAAGCUCAGAAACAUGAAGAACCAAAGCUUUGAAGUCCUUUUCCAUAAGCAAAUCCGGAAUGCAAGGAGGGGAAGUAAAAAGAAAUCUGUCAUGAAGUAUUUUUUAUGACAGUCAUGUCAGCCACUUUUGGAGCACUUCCUGAAGUCCAAUUUAUGCAUGCUAUAUGUCGUUUCAAAGCUUAGGAAGUCAGAAAUCUAAUGCUUCAAAUGGUGCGUAAGUCGGAGCUGAAAUGAAGGAGUUACAGCCGUUGGAAGCCAAACACCGCAAGUUGAAAGCCAACUUCGCAGCGCUGCGAAAUCAGCCUUUUGCUGCGAAGUGAUUUCGUAGCCCUUUUUGUGCGUCUGCGAAAUCUCGCAGACCUCGUUUUCACCUGCGAAAUGGCCCUUAGUGCUUCAUGAUAUUUGUGACCGACACUUUGAGAUAUUUUUCUUCAGAUUUUUGUUGUCUAAAUCCCAGAACUCUCCUUGUAAGCCACCAAUUAUAGAAUUCCUUAGCUAUUAAGUUAGGAAAAAGGGUAAAUAUCCAUGUAAUAAUUAUUAUUGCAAUUUUCAUAUAAAUAGCUCUCGGGAGCAGGAAAAGAGAACGAUGGACCUUUUAUAAAAGUUUGAAAGAAAGUAAAAUAUAGAGCUUUUGCUUUGCUUUACCUACUCAAUUUGAUUGUAUUUUUCAUUUACUAGUUAUGCACUCUCUGAGGAAGUUUCCCCAGAGAAUGAGUAACUAAACCUUUAGUUCCUUGGAGCUAAGGUUGCUGGGAAAGGCUCCAAGUGCAAGAAUUAGUAGCUUUGUGGUUUCAACCAUGAAUGAAGAGAAAGUGUGAUCCUUUAGUGUUUUCUAUAUUUUUAGUUAACUUAAAACGCCUUGGAGUCACCUGGGCCAACACUUGGUAAGGCAAGUGAUCUCUGUCCAUGGAGAUGCACUAGUUUACCCCUUGUGAGCCUCUGGAAGGUGACUUGAAGGUAGGAUUUUCUAGAAUUGCCAACACUUGGUAAGCUUUUGGACUCCAAGGAGACAUCCAUUAGUUAUCUCUUGCGAGCUUGAGAAGGGAAGUCCAAGGUUAAAGAUCACCUUGAAUGGUAAGUGCUAGUGAUAGACACAAACCAUUGCAAGUUGCAUCAUUGAGAGGGAAUUAGAGAUGAAAUCCAAUUAAGGGAUGCAUCUGUACAACACCGGUUAGAGAAUUGACUAUAUGUUAAUUCUCUAAUGCGAGGAAAUGAACCAACUGACCGGAGCUAUGUUUUUGCAUGAGGAACCUCCCCUGUGAACCUAAAUCUCCAAGGAAUGUUUUUCUUCAUAAGUAAUUUCCAUUACUUGCUGUGCCAUUAGUUUGAAUCUAAACCUUUUUUCAACCAAAGUUUGUAUUUUAUUUCUUAAGCUAACCUUGAAAUGAAAAAGCACCAAUUCACUUUGAAUUGGUAUCAUUUGUAAUUUGAAAACCCUUCCCAGUGAACGAUCCUAGAGCCACUAUGCUAUAGUAGCUUUUUCUUUGCUACCCUAGUAUAUAGUGUAAUAGGUUAUAAAUUUUGUUGAUUACUCCCUCAAUCAAGUAGCACCAGCUGGACACGAAUCAGCUGAGACACCAAUUGGGCAUGAAUCAAAUGGCGCCACUGCCAGGGAAGGUGUCAAGUUUAUAGUGAUACUAUUUCAAAGUACUUAUGAUUUUCAUCACAAGUUUGGUAACGUUUCUUUCGCUUUAUUUAUUCUCAUUUUUUUUCUAUUUAUUCAUAAUCUAAAUUUAUCUUUUAAAUUCAGCUUAGUUUUAUUUUGUUUUUGUAGCCCUGUUUUCUUUUGUUGUCCUUUAUUUUCAUUUUAGUUACAGAUAGAUACUAGUUGUGUAUGCCAAAUUGGAUACGAGACAGUGGAGGAAGGCUUGUUAAACGCGAUACACCUCAUAACAAGGAAUUGGAAUUGAGCUUGAAUAUCAUGGAAGCUACACCUGAAGAUCAGCAUAGUCACCAAGGUUGUCAAGACAAUCUCAAUGAAUUUAGAUCAAUGAGGGACCGCAUGCAUCCACCUCGUAUGAGUGCACCAUCAUGUAUAGUGCCCCCUACAGAGCAGCUAGUGAUUAGACCGUAUAUUGUUCCACAUCUACCAACUUUCCAUGGGAUGGAAAGUGAGAAUCCCUACGCACAUAUCAAGGAAUUUGAAGAUGUUUGUAAUACAUUCCAAGAGGGAGGAGCUUCAAUUAACAUGAUGAGGCUUAAGUUAUUUCCUUUUACUUUAAAGGAUAAGGCCAAAAUUUGGCUUAAUUCUUUAAGGCCAAGGAGUAUCCGCACUUGGACUGACUUACAAGCUAAAUUCCUCAAGAAAUUUUUUCCCACUCAUAGAACAAAUGGCUUGAAAAGGCAAAUUUCAAACUUCUCAGCUAAAGAGAAUGAGAAAUUCUAUGAGUGUUGGGAAAGAUAUAAGGAAGCUAUAAAUGCUUGCCCUCACCAUGGUUUUGAUACUUGGCUAUUGGUGAGCUAUUUUUAUGAUGGGAUGUCUUCCUCAAUGAAGCAACUCCUCGAGACAAUGUGUGGAGGAGAUUUCAUGAGCAAAAAUCCAGAGGAAGCUAUGGAUUUCUUGAGUUAUGUAGCUGAAGUUUCAAGAGGAUGGGAUGAACCAAACAAAGGAGAAGUGGGAAAGAUGAAGUCUCAACUGAGUGCUUUCAAUGCUAAGGCUGGGAUGUAUACCUUGAAAGAAGAUGAUGAUAUGAAAGCAAAGUUUGCAGCUAUGACAAGAAGAUUGGAGGAGCUGGAACUGAAAAAGAUGCAUGAAGUGCAAGCUGUUGCUGAAGCACCAGUGCAAGUGAAGCUUUGUCCUAAUUGUCAAUCAUAUGAACACUUGGUGGAGGAAUGCCCUACAAUUUCAGCUGAAAGGGAAAUGUUUGGAGAUCAAGCAAAUGUUGUUGGACAAUUCAAGCCCAAUAACAAUGCACCCUAUGGAAAUACUUACAACUCAAGUUGGAGGAAUCAUCCGAAUUUCUCAUGGAAGGCCGGAGCACCUCAGUACCAACAGCCGGAUCGACCAUCUUAACAAUCUUCAAGUCUUGAACAAGCAAUAGUGAAUCUCAGCAAGGUAGUGGGAGAUUUUGUUGGAGACCAAAAAGCCAUCAAUGCUCAACUCAGUCAAAGAAUUGACAGAGUAGAGAGUACUCUGAACAAAAGGAUGGAUGGAAUGCAAAAUGAUAUAUCCCAAAAGAUAGAUAAUCUCCAAUACUCAAUCUCAAGGCUCACAAAUUUGAACACAGUGCAAGAAAAGGGAAGAUUUCCUUCUCAACCCCACCAAAACCCCAAGGGUGUCCAUGAAGUGGAAAGCCAUGAGGGAGAAUCAUCACAGAUGAAAGAUGUUAAAGCCUUGAUCACUCUAAGGAGUGGUAAAAAAAUUGAGAAGCCAACACCCAAGCCACAUGUUGAGGAAGAAGAAGAGACAAAGAAAGGGGAGGGAAUGGAAGGCAAAAAGAGAGAGAUCACUGAAAAGAAAGAGGACUAUGAUUCAACAAUGAAUGCAAAUCCAGAGAAAGAACUUUUGAAGGAAGAAAUGCUGAAGAAAUCAACUUCCCCACCUUUUCCUCAAGCAUUGCAUGGGAAAAAGGGGAUUAGAAAUGCAUCUGAAAUUCUUGAAGUAUUGAGACAAGUGAAAGUCAAUAUCCCACUGCUGGAUAUGAUUAAACAAGUUCCAAUAUAUGCAAAAUUCCUAAAGGACUUAUGUACUAUCACAAGAGGGUUGACUGUAAAUAAGAAAGCCUUCUUGAUUGAGCAAGUAAGUGCAAUCUUACAAAGUAAGUCUCCUUUGAAGUACAAAGAUCCCGGAAGUCCUACCAUUUCAGUUAUGAUUGGAGGAAAGGUAGUGGAGAAAGCUUUGUUAGACUUGGGAGCAAGUGUGAAUUUGCUUCCAUACUCUGUCUACAAGCAAUUGGAACUUGGUGAGUUGAAGCCAACAACAAUCACUCUAUCUCUAGUAGAUAUAUCAGUAAAAAUUCCAAGGGGGGUAAUUGAGGAUGUUUUGGUUCAAGUUGAUAAUUUCUACUAUUCAGUAGAUUUUAUUGUUCUUGAUACGGAUCCUGCUGUAAAGGAAGCUAAUUUAGUUCCUAUCAUCCUUGGAAGGCCAUUCCUUGCUACCUCAAAUGCAAUCAUCAACUGUAGGAAUGGGCUCAUGCAACUCACUUUUGGCAACAUGACACUUGAGCUCAACAUUUUUUAUAUGUCUAAAAAGCAAACCACUCCGGAAGAAGAAGAUGGUCUAGAAGAGGUGUGCAUUAUUGACACUCUAGUGGAGGAGCACUAUAAUCAGAAUAUGCAAGACAAGCUGAAUGAAAGUCUUGCGGAUUUUGAGGAAGGUUUGUCUGAACCCCCUAAUGUGCUUGCUACUCUACAAAGUUGGAGGAGGAUAGAAGAGAUUCUACCUUUGUUCAAUAAAGAAGAAGGAGCAGCUGCUGAAAAAGAGACCCCAAAACUCAAUUUGAAGCCUCUACCCGUGAAGCUGAAAUAUACAUACCUUGAAGAAAAUAAUCAAUGUCCUGUCGUAAUAUCUUCAUCUCUGACCAGUCAUCAAGAGAAGUGUUUACUGGAAGUUCUCAAGAGGUGUAAGAAAGUAAUAGGAUGACAAAUAUCUGACUUGAAAGGCAUUAGUCCUUUAGUUUGCACGCAUCAUAUAUAUAUGGAGGAGAAAGCUAAGCCAAUUCGUCAACUUCAAAGAAGAUUGAAUCCUCAUUUACAAGAGGUGGUGCGAGAUGAGGUACUGAAGCUACUUCGAGCAGACAUUAUUUACUCUAUCUCUGACAGCCCUUGGGUGAGUCCUACUCAAGUGGUACCAAAGAAGUCAGGGAUUAUUGUGGUUCAGAAUGAAAAAGGAGAAGAAAUUACUACACGCCUCACUUCAGGUUGGAGGGUGUGUAUUGAUUAUAGAAAGUUGAAUGAUGUAACCAGGAAAGAUCAUUUUCCAUUGCCAUUUAUCUAUCAAGUGUUGGAGAGAGUCUCUGGCCAUCCGUUCUAUUGUUUCUUGGAUGGGUAUUCAGGGUAUUUUCAAAUUGAAAUUGAUGUGGAAGAUCAGGAAAAGACCACUUUUACAUGUCCAUUUGGAACAUAUGCUUACAGAAGAAUGCCUUUUGGUUUAUCCAAUGCACCUGCAACAUUCCAAAGAUGUAUGUUGAGUAUCUUCAGUGAUAUGGUGGAGCGAAUUAUGGAGGUUUUCAUGGAUGACAUCACCGUAUAUGGAGGUACAUUUGAGGAAUGCUUAGUCAAUUUGGAAGCGAUUUUUCACAGAUGCAUUGAAAAAGACUUGGUGCUCAACUGGGAGAAAUGCCAUUUUAUGGUACGUCAAGGAAUUGUCCUUGGCCAUAUCAUCUCCGAAAAAGGCAUUGAAGUUGAUAAAGCAAAGGUGGAGCUUAUUGUCAAAUUGCCAUCCCCAACAACUGUAAAAGGAGUAAGGCAGUUCUUUGGCCAUGUAGGGUUCUAUAGGAGGUUUAUAAAAGAUUUUUCAAAACUUUCAAAACCUCUUUGUGAGCUGUUAGCUAAGGAUGCUAAUUUUAUAUGGGAUGAAAGAUGUCAAAAUAGCUUUGAUCAACUGAAGAAAUUUUUAACAACAACUCCAAUAGUGAGGGCCCCUAACUGGCAACUACCCUUUGAACUGAUGUGUGAUGCCAGUGACUUUGCUAUAGGAGCUGUGCUUGGCCAAAGAGAAGAUGGGAAGCCCUAUGUGAUCUACUAUGCAAGCAAAACAUUGAACGAAACUCAAAAGAACUACACAACUACAGAGAAAGAAUUGUUAGCUGUGGUAUUUGCUUUAGACAAAUUUCGUGCUUAUUUGGUAGGGUCUUUCAUCAUUGUUUUUACUGACCAUUCAGCCUUGAAGUAUUUAUUGACAAAGCAAGAUGCAAAAGCAAGGUUGAUUAGAUGGAUUCUUUUGUUACAAGAAUUCGAUCUCCAAAUCAGAGAUAAGAAAGGAGUGGAGAAUGUGGUAGCUGACCACCUUUCAAGGUUAGCUAUAGCACAUAAUUCCCAUGCCUUGCCUAUUAAUGAUGACUUUCCUGAGGAAUCGCUUAUGUUCUUAGUAAAAACUCCUUGGUAUGCUCAUAUUGCUAAUUAUCUAGUUAAUGGAGAAAUUCCAAGUGAGUGGAAUGCACAAGACAGGAAUCACUUCUUUGCAAAAAUUCAUGCUUAUUAUUGGGAAGAGUCCUUCCUUUUUAAGUAUUGUGCAGAUCAGAUCAUAAGGAAGUGUGUCCCUGAAGAAGAGCAACAAGGGAUUCUAAACCAUUGUCAUGAGAAUGCAUGUGGAGGCCACUUUGCCUUUCAGAAAACAGCCAUGAAGGUGUUGCAAUCAGGGUUUACUUGGCCAUCUCUUUUCAAAGAUGCCCACAUCAUAUGUAGAAGUUGUGAUAGGUGCCAAAGGCUUGGAAAGCUAACAAAAAGAAAUCAAAUGCCUAUGAACCCCAUUAUAAUAGUUGAGCUAUUCGAUGUAUGGGGCAUUGACUUCAUGGGACCUUUCCCAAUGUCUUUUGGUAAUUCUUAUAUCUUGGUGGGGGUGGAUUAUGUUUCUAAAUGGGUUGAGGCAAUCCCCUAUAAACAAAAUGAUCACAGAGUGGUUCUCAGGUUUCUUAAAGAGAACAUUUUUUCAAGAUUUGGGGUGCCCAAAGCCAUAAUCAGUGAUGGAGGUACUCAUUUUUGCAACAAACCUUUUGAAACUUUAUUAGCCAAGUAUGGAGUGAAGCAUAAGGUAGCUACACCUUAUCAUCCUCAGACUUCCGGGCAAGUUGAGCUAGCAAACAGGGAAAUAAAGAACAUAUUGAUGAAAGUGGUGAUUUCAAGCAGAAAAGAUUGGUCUAUUAAGCUUCAUGAUUCAUUAUGGGCAUAUAGAACAACUUAUAAGACUAUUCUUGGCAUGUCUCCCUAUCGUCUUGUCUAUGGCAAAGCGUGCCAUCUCCCUAUGGAAGUUGAAUACAAAGCUUGGUGGGCAAUCAAAAAGCUGAAUAUGGACUUGAUCAGAGCUGGAGCAAAGAGGUGCUUAGACCUUAAUGAGAUGGAGGAAUUAAGAAAUGAUGCUUACAUCAAUUCCAAAGUUGCAAAACAGAGGAUGAAGAAGUGGCAUGAUCAACUAAUCUCCAACAAAGAAUUUCGGAAAGGACAAAGAGUUCUACUUUAUGACACAAAACUCCAUAUCUUUCCUGGAAAGCUCAAGUCAAGGUGAAUAGGUCCUUUCAUUAUUCACCAAGUACAUAUCAAUGGAGUGGUGGAAUUAUUGAAUUCCAAUGGCAAGGACACCUUUAGAGUCAAUGGAUAUCGUCUCAAGCCAUUCAUGGAGCCAUUCAAACCUGAAAAGGAGGAAAUCAACCUCCUUGAGCCACAAAAAGCCUAAGCAAAUAAGGGUUUGAUGGACUUGGUUUCACCAAAGUCCAAAAUUUUUGUAAAUUUUGUAAAUUUCAAAGUUUUAUUCAUACUUUUGAUUUUAAUUUUUGAUCUUAAAUUGUGUAUUUAUAUGUAAUUUAGUCUUUUUGAAUGAUCUCAGGUUGGAGAAAAUGCAAAGAAAUUGAAAGGAAGUCUUUCGAAGCGAAAACAGUGCAAAAACAGGGCAAAAACAGGGCAAAAACAAGGGUCUGCGAGAUUUCGCAGCCUAAGGGAAUCCUCUGCGAAAUUAGCACUUCGCUGCGAAACCGUUUCGCAACCUAAAAGAUGCCGCUGCGGAAUCAACCAGUCUCUGCGAAAAUGGCCGUCCUUUGCGAAAUCAUUUUGCAGCUCAAUUGACUUCUCUACAAAAAUUUUCGCAGCUGCGAAAUCAAGUUUGGCACACGAGUGCCACUUCACAGCACAGGAGCCCCCAUUUCGCAGCUGCGAAACAGCUGCGAAGCUCCAAAGCAUAAAAAUUCCCAAUUUCACAGCUAAAGCUCCAUUUCGCAGGGUAUUUCGAAGCUGCGAAACCAAUUUUGGCACACGAGUGCCAUUUCUCAGCACAGUGACCCCCAUUUCGCAGCUGCGAAAUGGGCUGCGAAAAUCGUUUUUUUUUUUUGCGAAACCCCCUUUUUGCUGCGAAAUCGGCCUUCUUCUGCGAAAAUCAAAAUGACCUUUAAUAUUCCGUUAUUUUUUAUAAAAACCGGUCAUUUGAGUUGCGAAAGGGUUUCAGAAAGAGAAAACGCCAUAGCAACCGUUUGUUCAUUUCCUUACCCGAGCCCGACGACGAGCGAACCUUCUGUCAUCUCUUCUGGUCAUCACUUCCGGCCAAAUUUCGUCAGUCCGAUAUGGCGUGAACCAGAGGAGCCAAAUCAUUCUCUCCUUCCAGCCGCAAACGAGUCUCGCGAGAGGCGCCUGUUCAAGGCCCCACCUCUGAACCUCCGUGGCCAGAAGCUGCUUCACCUCCGGCGAAGCCCACACCUCAAAAUCCUCCGACGAGGCUUUAUCUCACCAGGUCAGGGGGCCGUCCCCUGCAAAAGAAAGCUAGGGUCCAAAGCUCAGAGCCCAUAGACUUAACAGAGCAGUCCCCGGUUCCUUUGAUUUGAAAACUUCAAUUUGCAUAAUGCAUUCCCUUGAUCAAUAAUGUUUAGCAAAGUUUUUGAUAACUCUUGUUGAAAUUUGAGUUUAUAUUUCUUCAAUGUUCCAUGUGAGAGUUAGAUCAUCAUGCCACUUAAAAUUUUUUUUGAAGUAAUCAACAUGAUGUUGUAAAUUAUAGUAAUGUUUAUUUUUAUUUUUCUCUCCUUCAUUGCUAAGGGACUAGUAAUAUGUCGGUUGGGGAGAGGCACUAUGGCAGGAGGUGGUGCAACCUCAGUUUGACUAUGCAGAGAAAAAGGUACAGUCUGUGUUGCUAGCUGACUGUGCGGAGGUGGUGGUACUAUGGUAUCAAACUGGGUAUCCUCCUGAACUGGGACUUGUUGGGCCUGCUGUCCAUCUAUCCUCUGACCAAGGUUAGCUAUAGCCUCCUGGAUAGAAGCCAUGGCUGCGGCAAACUGGUCAACGGUAACUACCUGUGAGUCCAUAUCCCUCUGAUCUGACUGAUCUGAUGCUCUGGUCAAUCUGCCUCCAACUCUAAUCCACGAAGGCGAAUCCAGACUGGUCACGAUAAACUCUCCUACAAAUAUGGGAAUACUGGAUAAGGUGCAGUACAAAGGCGACUCUGUAUGAAUCAGCUGAUAAGCGUGCAAGAAAAUAGCCCAAAUGUACUCAAUCUGAUACCCUCCUCUGAUUACACCAAAAAGGAGACUAAGGAAGGGAUAACCGAAUCCAAUCGUGACCAAGGCAGCUCUGAAGGUCCACAGAUGCACCCACGUGUAGGAAUGAAAUCUUAAUUAGGUCUAGGCUAACCUACAAGGUUGAGGUGGCUCUAUAGGAUAAAAUGGGUGGGUUAAAGGAUCCAUAGCAGAAGCGAUCGUACCCUCCGGCAGUACGCAACCCUCUGCACGCCUCCAAGGAGACGGGGUGCUUCCAUGCAAGGUGGUCAUUACCUCCACACAUGCACUUCCUCGCGUUCCCAGGGGGUUUCUUAAAGGUGAAGGCUCUCCCAUCUCUCAACACUCAGGGAUAAUCUAAAGUGCACAAUGAAGGAUGUGGGUGCAUCUGAAAAACCUAAGAUCUAAAGUGAGACAGUGGACGAAGACAAGCAAUCAUACGAACAUGCAAGAGAAAGGGUUGUCAUGCAACAAGCAGUCACGCCAUGCAGAUAAGUAUCAUACAAUCAAAGUCCUAUCUAGCAUAUGUGAGAGUGAAUCAUGCUGAAGUGAGAAAGCAAUCAAGUGAUCAUCCAAGGCAAUCAAUCAUGUUAGGAUAGCAAACCAAACAAGCAAGCAAAUCAAAUCACCUUGCCUAAAAAAAGAGGUACCCACUAAUCAACCAAUUAAACGCCACAUUUUCCUCAACUAGUGUUCAAGCUUGAUCCUCAAAAUCCCCAACGGAGUCGCCAAUUUGUGGACCCGCAUUUUUCACGUGCAUCCCCACUCAAUCGGCGAGAUUCGCUUUUUAUUUGUGAAAUUUUUUUUUUGGAAAAGUCGGAGUCACCACUUAUUUUAUUUUUAUUUUAAAGGGAAAUAAAACAAGAAAGAAAAACCCUAAAAUGUGACUCCAUAAUUUUUGGAAAAAGCAUGUCUUUGAAAAACCCGAGUUUAAGUCCGGGGAUUAGAUUACUUAUUGGGAAGGUACCUCUAGGAGGUGGCACCCCUCUAAGCCCUAUAAAGGUCUCUACUAACAAAGUUAAGGGAAGUCUGGCCAUUAAUCAGUUAAUUAUGGAUACUUCAGUAGGCUAGGUGAUUUUAAAGAGUGGCAUGCCAAACACAAUCAAAUUGCAAUAAAGGAGAGUUAGGGUGCGUACCUGAACCGCUCUUCAAGCGCUAUCAUACAACAUAAGAGUUAGUGUAGGAAUCUAUCACACAACAUGUCUCAUCCGGGCAAAUCUAAUAUAUAUUUAAACACCCAAGAAUCACAUCAUGCAUGGAUAUAGUCACCAAUAGCAUACGUGUCUAUAGAAUUCUCAAAAAAAAGAUGAGAAGGAGCGUACCUGGAUAGCAAGCUAAGGCGCCUUUAUGGGAAGCAAGGUUAGCCCAAUAACAAAUAUAAAACAAAUUCAAGCAUAUCUCCAAGAGGAAUCAAAAUCAAUUAAAUGCCAAACAAUCAUAUUUAAAAUCAAUAUUAGUGAAGACAUCAAGAAUGUAGGAUCCCCACCAAAGUCCAUAUUACUUUUGCACGAAUUGAUUCAAUGAAUUCCAUUGUUUGGAAUCAUGAAGUUUGUUCAUGCUUGUUAAAAAUCGAGAAAAAUCAAGAAAAUCGGUUGAAAAUCAAAUAAAAUAGUGAAAAUGCAUGUCGGAAGGAAAAAUGGCAGUAAGAGUGUGUUAGAAUAUGGAUUUUAUACCUAGAAAGGACCUAAGAUGAAUUUUUCAAAGCCAGGAAUGUUUAGUUGAACAAAGGUUCAAAAAUUCAAUUUAAAACAAUAAGUUCCCAAUCAAAGAAGCAAACAGAGGAGAAGGUGUGUAUAGCAAGGUUGCCAUGAAGUGAAGCCGGGAAAUUUUGGAUAGAGGGGACCAAUUCACUACAAGAGUCUUCAACUAUCGUAUGCUUCAACGAGCCAAGCUAUCCGGGUGGAGCGUGAAUCGUUGGUCACAGAUACUUUCCUCUCCCAUCUGGUGGAAGGCGCCGAGUGUGAAAUAUCCGGAGAAGGUGGAACGUCGGACGGAUAGAAUGGCGGCUGUGAGAUCGGCCAGGUAAAAUGGUAGCUGUGAGAUCGACCGGGUAGAAUGGCGGCUGUGAGAUCGGCCGGGUAUAAUGGCGGCUGUGAGACAUCUGGGGAAGGUGGACCAUCGACCGCGUAGAAUGGCGGCUGUGAGAUCGGCCGGGUAGAGUGGCGGCUGCGAGAUCGACCAGGUAUAAUGGCGAUUGUGAGACAUCUGAAGAAGGUGGAACGUCGGCCGGAUAGAAUGGCGGCUGUGAGACAUCCGGGUGGAAUGGCGGCUGUGAGAUCGGCCGGGUAUAAUGGCGGCUGUGAGACAUCCGGAGAAUGGCGGCUAUGAGACAUCCAUAGAAAAUGGGAUGUCGGCCGGAUAGAAUGACAGCUAUGAGAUCGGCCGGGUAGAAUGACGGCUGUGAGGUCGGCUAGAUAGAAUGGCGGCUAUGAGAUCGGCUGGGUAGAAUGGCGGCUGUGAGAUCGGCCGGGUAGAGUGGCGGCUGCCAGAUCGACCGGGUAUAAUGGCGGCUAUGAGACAUCCGGAGAAGGUGGAACGUCGGCCGGAUAGAAUGGCGGCUGUGAGACGUCCGGGUGGAAUGACGGCUGUGAGACAUCCAUAGAAAAUGGGAUGUCGGCCGGAUAGAAUGGCGGCUGUGAGAUCGGCCGGGUAGAAUGGCGGCUGUGAGGUCGGCCGGAUAGAAUGGCGGCUGUGAGAUCGGCCUGGUAGAAUGGCGGCUGUGAGAUCGGCCGGGUAGAGUGGCGGCUACGGUAUUUGGGUGGAAUGGGCGAUUGAUGCGACUCAUGGUAGCUUAGCUUUAAAGGCGUAUCAACAAAAUUUAUACCUUAAAUACUAUUACUAAAGUAGCCAAGCUACUAUAGCAUAGUGGUUCUAGGAUCGUUCACUGGGAAGGGUUUUCGCAAACACAAGUGAUAUUCAAAUUAGGAAAAUAGGUGAUUUUCUUAUGGAUGUUAGCUUUAAAAGAAGAUGUAAAUAUUUCAGAAAGAUUUAAACUAAUCUAAGCUAACAUUAAAGACUAAAAUGAAAGGGUGUAAAAACAAGUUUCUCAAAGAUAGGAUAGCUAUGCUCUGGCUCUUAUGCAAAUUGGAAAUCUCAGGAUAGGCUCCUCGCGUUGGGGUUGCAACUAUGGUGAUGCUUGCUUCCCGAACCGGUAUGGAUUUAGCACAUCAAGUUUUAAUCCUUUAAAAUGGCAAAACAGAUGGUAGUGAAUUUCAUCAAUGGUUAUUCACCUUAGACUUCUUUUGAAUGGCUCGUAAGAGAUAACUAAUGGUCUAAAGCCAAAAGCUUACCAAAUAUUGGCAACUCAAAGUCAUUCCAAGUGAUAAACUCACCUUUCAAUGGCCAUUGAAAUUGGUUCUAAUGGAUUAAUGCAAAACUUGGAAUUGAAAACCUCACCUUCCAAUAGCUCGUAGGAGAUAACUAAUGGAUAGAAAUCCAAAAGCUUAUCAAGUAUUGGCCAUUGGAAGUUGUCCAAAGGAAAUAAAAACCAAACUUUGCCUUAAUGAACCUUUAAUGAAAAACGUCUACUUUACCUUCCGGGUGCAAGAAAUUUCCAUGGGAUUGCAUCCAAGCCAUCACAUAACAUCCAUACUUUGAGAAACUAAAAGUUUUAGCCAAUCAUCCUCUAAGGAAAAGCCCUUAGAGGCUAUUUGGCUACUAAGAAAAUAGAAACGGGAGAGCUGGAGAAGAGAGAAAAACAGAGCAAGGCUCCGUCUGUAUAUAUCCGUCUAUAUCUUCAAGAGGUGAUUUCCACCCCUUAUAUAGUCUUUACAAAAGCCAAAACUUAUGAUUGGUUAGUUACAAGGAUAAUAAAGGAAAUUACAUCACAAAAUACAAAGGAAAAUAUCUAAAGUGGAGUCGGCAAAGGGCAGAGCAAAAUUCGCAACACGCAUGGGUUAUGCGAACCAAAUGCGAACCAAAUGCGAAUUUCGCAUAUGCUUUUGUGGAAUGCGAAAUUUUCGCAUAUGCUGGAGCAGUUGGCUUCCGAAGGCCAUAUCUUCCUCAUUUCAGCUCCAAAUCGUGCACGGUUUGAAGCGUUGGAUUCUUGACUUCAAGAGCUUUAAAAUGGUAUAUAGCAUGUAAAUAUUGGACUUCGGGAAGUGCUCCAAAAGUGCGAAAGAAGACUGCAGCUGCUGUCCUCUGUUUUCCUCUUCUCCAUUGUUUGCUUUUCCACUUUGCUUCUCUUUGCUUGUGCUCGUGUUUCCACUUGAAAUUCAAGCCUGUAAAUGUUCAAAAUCCUUGCUUUAACUUGUCCAAGUAGCUCCUCCAUCAUUUGGCAUGCUUGAAUCGAUUCAUAAGCUGAUAAAAACAUGUAAACUUGCCACAAAAUGGUUAAAACCAAUUACUAAGGACCUUAAUGAAUUAAUUGGGUUAAAUGAAUAUGAUUACUACUUAAAGGUGCUUAAAACCAUUAUACUUAGGUCUAAAAAAUAGCACUUUUUGGUAGUAAUCAGCGAUGCCAUAAGCUAAGAACCCUCAAGAACUAUGGUAACCUCUGCAUCUGUUUAACUCCAAGAAAACCCGUUUUACAUAGCCUUUAUCAAGCUCCCACCUUUCUCGGAAUGCUCAUGGUCCCCAUAUCUGAGAAUACCAAGGUAAAGAAAGGGAAGAAACGUAGACACAGAUGCACACAAAAAGACCAAGGAAGAAAAGAAAAGAAAACAGGGGAAGAAAAAGACAAUCGGUGGGUAUUUUAAAGUGAAUCUGGAACGCAAAUAGGGGCAAAAACCCCUAGCCUCAAAUUUUAAGGUAAACCUAUAUUCAGAUUGUUUUCAGAUAGAACCAGAGACAUAAAAAAAAGGAAGAUUAAAAUAGCACAAAUAUGCGAGCAAAUUAGUCUCAACAAAUCAAACUGUGGCCUCCUUUGCGUCCACACCAAAAUCAACAAUACAAUGAAUAUUCAAAAACAGACACGCUGAAAAAUCGAACAUGGGUAAAAAUUCCAAGAGUAAUGAAAAGCAUACCUGGAUACCCUUGGUUACAAUUGCUCUUUUUCGUUUCCUCUGUUCUUCAUUCCCAAAAAUCCUCAAUAUCCCUCUUUUGUGUGUCACCUUCUCUUCCAGACGAUCCUCUUAUGCGCACUGUCCCUCUCAAAUGCCUGUUCCUUUUCUCAUUAUAUUCGUAUCAGCCUCUCAAACUCAAUCUGCUCAAGAGAAUCCACUUUCCUUUCUUCUAUUUCCCUUCCUUUUUUCCAAAAUCAGAAUGCUCCUCUCUUCUCAUGUAGGAUCUUCUCUUUCCAUAUGUAUGCAGCCACAUUAAUUCCUUUUUCCUCGCAAAAUAUUUCUCUUACCUUUUUGAGUGCACAUACCUUUGUGAGAGUUGAAUAGCAACCCCUAUUCUCUUAUCAAACCAUAAAAAACGAAAAAUAGAGAGAAUAAAAACAAAAAGAGGUAGCAAUCUUGCAACCUAUCAAAGAUUAAAAUAAAAUAAAAAUAAAUAACGUAAAACAAAAUAAUUGAAUAAAAUAGUCAAUCCUAUGCGGGCCAUGCAAGUCAUACAAAAAGUGAGUUUAAAAGUUCUUACUGGGCCAAGUGUGUCUAAAAGCCUAGAGCGGUGCCUAAUGGGCCAAGUGUACCUAAAAGCUAUCCUAAAAAUGAACGGAAAAGCCUAAGUCUAAAUUAGGGCUACCAAGAGUCACAAUAAGGGGUUAGAUAAUCCCUCAACCAAAAUCUCCGAGGUGGCUCAGGAAAAGGUAAGUUGAACGAGUAGUAAUGGGCCACCAAGGAAUUACUAUGGAGCAUUAAAAACGAACUUAAAGUCAUGUGCUAAAGGGACAAAAUUGAGGGUCUACAUGCAUGUCGAGUAAUAUGAUAUUUAAACUAAUUUUGAUGUUUUAUGAUAGCACUUGAGUUGUAGUCUAGGUAUGCACCUUAUCUCUCCUUUAUGAUUAUGACUUGAAAUGAUUGUUUGACAUACUUAAUAUGUUGUUAGAAUUUAGGUAAUCACCUUUGGCCUUCCUUGAUAUCCUCGAUCCAUCAGUUAAUUAUCAUGCUUCCCUCAAUUUAGUCAAUAGAAAUAUUUAUUUAGGGCUUAGACGGGUGCUACCAUUAUGGUACCUUUCCGAUAGGUAACUUGACAUAUGGACCUAAACAUGAGUUUUCAAAGACAUGCUUUCCAAAAAUAAGGAGUCAAUUUUUUUAAGGUUUUAUUUUUCUUCUAAAAAAAAUAAAAAUAAAUGGCGAUUCCAUCUUUUUAUAAAAUACGGUUUUUCACCUAAAAAUACAAGUCUCGCUAUCAAUUAGGGAUGCACGUGAAAAAUGUAGGUCCACAUAAAGUUACACUUGAGUUUCCACUAUUUUAUCCAUUAAUUGCAUUAACGUUUAUCUAAUCAUUCAAGCCUAAAUCACUAGCAUUUUACAUGACUUAGGUGCAUUAGGAGUUGCAAGAAAGAUACAGGUCAUGGGUUCUAUGUAAAUUGAUGAGUUAUUCAUAACUGAUUCAUAGACUUUGGUAAUCUAUAUGAGGUUAUGGAGUACAACAUCCUAAUUAAAGGAAUUACUUGCUUUGGUUAUCAAGAUGAGUUUCUCAUGGUGAGUGCACUAGUGUAUGUGAUGUACACUGAACAUGACCCAAUUAGUUAAGAAUAAACACUUUAUAUUGUAAAUAAUCUAUGCCAAUUUUUUACAAUAAAAUUCAGCCAAGUCAACUUCUUAAAAUACUCUCUUAAUAUUUUGUUGAUAGAUUUUUACGAAAUUUGUCUUGUUUAUAUUUUCUGAAAAACAUUAUCCCUCUAAAACAUCAUUAUUGUUUUAAAAAAUGUUUGCGUUGAACUUCUUAUUUCUUUUUGAAGAACUAAUAUAACCUUGUAAGAAUAAUUGAGUUUGAAUCCCAUACAAAAAUUAUAUCAUAUUUUAUAAUUGUAAAAAAAUAAAAAUAAAUAAAACACCUUAUGCUAUAUAAUCCUAAGUGUGUACAAUGAAUUAUCACGUGCUCUCCACACUCAACCCUUUCGGUACACCCCCGUGACUAAGGUGGGGCACACGACCGUGCGAUUUACUAUAUUUUUCAAUUUAUUUAUUUCCUCUAUUUUUAGACAAAUAAAGAAAAAUUAACAAACCUUACUAAUUUGGUCAUUUGUAUUAAAAAAAUUUAUAAGUAUUCUGGUAAAGAUUAUUCAUUCUUGUCUUAUUUCUAUUUUCAUAUUUAAAAGGGUAUGGAUAUAACAUUUUUUUUUUGUUAGAUCUUAGAGUUUAUUUUAAAUAAUAUUACAUUAAUCUCGCAUGAAUUAAUUAUUACUGUUUUUAUAAUAAAAAGGCAAUUCUAUCAAUUUCUAAACCAAGAACAAUAUUUUUUUCAUCAAUCUUCUUAAUAAUGUUUAAGGGAACUUGGACUGAAUAUUUUAUAUAACAAUCUUAUUAAAGAGUUCACAUUUAUUUAGUACUUAUAUCAUAUGUGUGGACCCCGCAUUUCAGCUCAAUGCGUUUCCCACUCGAUGGCGAGCUCGAUUUUUAUUUUUGAAUAAUGAUUUUUAUUGAUUAAAAAAAAAAAAAUGACUUGGAGUCGCCACUUAUUUUUGUUUUUAUUUUUAAAGGGUAAACAAAAUAAGAAAGAAAAACCCUAAGUGUGACUCCUUAGUUUGGAAAAGAUGGUCUGCAAAAAAACCGGAUCGGGUUCGGGGGUCAGGUUACUUAUCGGGAAGGUACGGUAAAUACCGUAGCACCCCUCUAAGUCCCUAGAAACGGGUCUCUACUAAUAAGAUGAAGCUGACAUGGCAAUCAAUGAGAAAAUCAAUGAAUACUCGAAUCAAUCAUGCACAUAUGAGUAUCAGAAUAUGCAAUAGAGGAUAACCGAAGUGAAAGUGGAUGCGUACCUGAUCAGCAAACGGCAACGCGCUAUCACAAAAUGAGAUUAGUGCAUAGUAAUGAACAUAAAGUAUGUCACUCAUGUCACCAAAAUAGAUAAAGAAGCACCAAUAGCACGCAUGAUAUUUCAUUCAAAAUUCAUUUUUAUUUCAAAGCAAAUUUAUUUGAUGUAGGGCCCCCACCAAAGCCCGUUUUAUUUUGCAUGAAUUAAUCCCAUAAAUUCCAUUAUUCGGAAUUACAGAAUUAAAUCCAUGCUUAUUUUAAAACAUUUUUAAAAACAAAGAAAAUUUGAAAAUGGCUUGCCAGAGAGAAAAAAAAAGGCAGCCAAGUUUUAUUAGAAAAUAGGAGUUGGGAUUAUUUGAAAAGCUGAAUUUGAGAGAAUAUUUACAAAACAGGAUUUGGGGCAAUUAUCUUAAAAAUUAAAAGAGGGGAAUAGGAGAUAGCACAUUCCUCAAAGGUAGCCAUGCAUUGACAUACAAGUGAAAAGGUGAUGAGGGAAAACCGAGUAAGAAUGCAAUCUGGAGUGCCACUACAUCUGCUCUGUCAACAACUCAUCUUCAAAUGAAUCACAUGAUCUUGCUAUAUGGGCUGGCCAUCCAUGUACUGCACCAUCAACUGAUCGAAAUAAUUCCCAAACAUCUCUUGAACACUUCUCUACAGGCUGCAUACAUCCUCUAAAAGAUAUCCCUGUGGAGUCAUUCAAAUCUUUAUUACCCGAAUGCUGAGGAGAGCAGAAAAUCCUCAUUGAAGCAAAGCUAGCAAUCCCCGCAUUCUUUACAAUCUGUGCAUCCUCAUCAAAAAGAGUCUCAAGCCUAAAGAGACAUAUUGAUAUCCCCAGCAAUGAUGAUGGAACUCUGACCAUUUGACUGAAGCAUCUCUUCAGCAGGACAUGUGGUGCAGCAAGUACAUUACCAAGAUGCUUGAGAUGACCCCUCCAUCAGAAGUCAAUUUCUUAUACGUGUCCUUGCCUGCUGGCUAGAAUCUGAUCAUGCUCAGAUGCUAAAUCAAUCCCCCAUUCCACUUUAUUCUCAAAUUUCUUAUCUUUCUUGACUGCUUCCUCCAGAAGUUUGAUUGCCUCUGCGUAUGAAAUUCGCUCAAAGGGCAUUGAUGCAACCAUUCUUAGAUGAUCAAUGGAGCCUUUAUCAAAAAUUUUAGCCAUGAAUUCCAUAUCAUCAAUGCAAUUGUCAGGUAACCACUGGCAAAGAAAUUUCACAUAGGCCUCCGCACAAUUCAUAUCAUCCUUAAGAUCUGCAAAUGCUAUUUCAGGCUCCACCAUCCAGAAUUCUGCCAAAUGCCUUGAUGUGUGAGAGUGUUCAGCUCGGAAAGUUGGCCCAAAUGUAUAAACACUGCCAAUAGCACAUGCAUAAGUCUCAACUUGCAGUUGGCCAGAAACAGUAAAAAAUGCUUGACGGGCAAAGAAAUCCUGGGAAUAAUCAAUCUUCCCAUCUUUUUGAAGGAUACCAGGCUUAAGCUUAGAUCGCUCUUCCAGCCUUGAGAGAUUCUCCUUAGCCUUGUUAAGUUCAGCCACAGAAGCGGUGAUUUCCCCCUUACUUGCUUUAGCAGAUUUUAGUUGGGCAACAACCUCUCCUUUCUCCUUAACAAGUGCCUUGGCAGCUUCGAUGUCAGCUUCUGAUGGAGAAGGAUUCUUAAUAAGCUCCUUUUUCACCUUUUCCGCAUCACUAAUCAAGGUUGUAACUUGAAACAUUUCACCAGCACCCUCACAAUCACUGGUGGUGAUAAUUGGAGUGUGCGCAUGGAGAAAGCCAUGAUUUUGGAAGAAUGUGUGGGUAGCAUAAGCCAAUGCAUUACAGAUUCUGGCAACUGCAGGAAUCAUGUUGGUUCUUCACCGAAAGUGAACAAAAACUCUUAGAAACUCGAGGGUUAGCCUGGUCUUAGGCAACGGAUACUUGGCUGGAUCCACAGGACCAACGUGAUGGACCUUCUCAACCCUAAACUCCACCCUCUGCUUCGUCCCCUCAGGAGGAACCUUGAGCGAGCUCUCCGCGUGCACGCACGUGCUGAUCUGCACGAGCUGGCCCAGAGGCGCUAAGGCGGCGUCAACGAUGACCUGAAGGUUCGCCGGAUAGGACCCGUCAUUGAGUUCAAGGGAAGCAAGCAAACCCUUGCCUUGCUACAAGAUUUAAGUGGAUGGGACUGCACCAGAUUUCCUGCAACUCCAAAUUUUCUCACUGGCUUGGGUUUAGCUGUUCUUGCAGGCAACUCCUCAGGCUUCUCAGAAGUGAUAAACAAAGCAGCCAAAACUUCCUUCUGCAGAUUUCACCUCUCUUUCUUUGAUGAUGAGGAUAAAAAAAGAAAAAAAAGAAAAUGGGUAUAGUCAUGAAGAACAGGCGAUGUAGAGAGAGAAAGAAUGAGAGAGAUGGAUAAGUCGAUACACAUAGGCACAGAAUGGGUAUAGCGAAGUAUAGGGAUGAGGGAGUGGGUUGUGGGCAUGUAAAGCAUAGUGAUAUGGGGGGAGUGAAGAUGGAAAAAAAUGAUGGAAAGGUUUGCAUGGGUCCAUACACACGGGUAGAUGAAUUUGGGACGUUGUCAAUGGUGAUUGGAAGGAUUUUGGGGCAGUUAUGCAUGCGCAGGGAUAGACUACGGGUUGGUGGGAUGGAAAUCGGAGAUAUGAGCAUGGAGAUGGGUAACAGUGGGUAUUAAAGGUACGGGUCUUGCUCAUGGGUGUGGAGUUAGUGAACUGGAUGGUGGGAGUUAAUGAGAAAUGGGUGUAAGGAAUAUGGUAAAUGGGCUUAAGAAGUGCAACUGACACCACAAUGUGAAGUGAGUGAUGGCAUAAAAAGAACGGGGAGGCAUGCUCUUAUCCACCUGCUGGAAACCUUGCAAUAUCUAUUCCAGCUGCAUGUUGACUUCCAGUAACGGUGCUGGUGACUGAAUCAAAACCAAUGCAUGAAAAGAGAACAAUCGCUGACCUGCCAAACAAGCUAUUUGUUCUAAAUGGGAAAUAUCCGUCUUGAAGUUCACAUCCAACCCAUCCAGUCUUAAAACUCAAGUACCCACCAGACAUAUAUAUUAAGCACUCCUCCUUGAUCCCAACACACGAUAGCCCAGUGACAAUGAAAACCAGAAUUGUUGUGCAUGGAUUGACCACAAUACCAAGCCAGGAGAUGGUGUAGCAGACUAAAAGAGCAGGCAACUUAUCCUCGCCUCCGAAAAUAAAGCCAGAUUCAGAAAUAUGUCACGAGCAACAACUGAGCUAUCAAUUGUGUAUUCCAAUAUUAAUGCCCAACCAAUCAACCAGACGAUGCCUUCUCCCACACCUAGGUACAAAUAAUGAUGGGCUCUACCAACAGAUGAACAAUGUCAUGCAAGCCCUGCACAACAAAAAUGUGGAGAGCACAGCAGCCGAGAAUACUUCCUUUGUACCCUUCAGCUCAUUUUCUGCUUGAACAAUUCCUCCUCCUCUCAUCCUCAGAUGAUCUCUCUUCUUUCAAAGGUAUCUCUUCUCUCAAAACCCAUAUAAUGAACAAGAUCCAGGAACAGGGGUGGCCUCAACCAUUAAAAAAAAUGCAUGAAAACAGAGCACAAAGGGAAACAAAUAAAAAGGUCCUCAAAGAAGGCUUCACAUCAUGAGUUUUCCGGGAACCUUCUCGGGUUAGGGUGAGGAAUACAGUAUCGAAUGCAAAUAAAUGAUAGGACUCUUGGAUAUUUCACAUCAGAGACAAAGCAUACCAAGGCUAACAAUAUGAAUCCAAGACUAUAUCUCAACAAGGAAUAGGUGGCCUUCAUUAUCCACCUCAAGCAAGACAACUAACACUCAAAUAUCAAUAAAAAACGGGUAGGAAUAAUAAGAAUCUGAAUCAAACCAUAUAUCAGUUGCAUCCAUACCUGAAAUGCCCUUCUGCAGUAAGGUCUUGUUAGCCUCCCCAGCUCCAGAAAAGGCUCCUCCUCCCUCCCAAGCUCUCUGUUCUCUCUGGAAAACUCUCACUCUCUGGUUCUUUCUCUCUCAAGUUCCCAUUCUCUCAAGUUCACCGUCCAAAAUUACUUCUCUCAUGGAAAAACUCCCUGGAAUCCCCUCAGCAGCCCCGGUACCUCAAGCUAAAAGAAAAUCACCCCCCCUAGGCUCUCAUGUCUCUCUCACUUUUCUCUCUCUAGCCAAAACCAGCUUUUUCUCCUCCCUCUGUAACCAGCCUCCCGGAACCUCUCCAAAAAAACCAAACAAAACCUCUCCCCCUCUUCUAAAGAUUUCUGCCACCUUCCUCUUCUAGGCGAUAUCUCUUUUCUCUCCCGGAUUUGCCCCUCCAACAAUCUCUGCAGCCACCUCUAGAACCACUACACUCUGCAGCCCAGACCACCUUCCUCUUUUCAUGCAGCUAGCUCUCCCUCCAUAACAGAAAGCAUGCUCCUUCUUCUAGAAUCUUCCUCAUCUUUAUAGGUGUUGCUCUCCUAUUCGUCCUCCAAAUCCACUAUCUGAUUCUCUAGCAGCUAGUCAAAAUGUGACACGUGGCUUCCCCUAGAUGGUGACACCUGGCUAAAAGCAAGCUGCAGAAAAUGAGCCCCAAAUGGGGGUCUACAAUAUGUUUUUCCACUUCCAUCUAUUUUCUCAAUGUAAGCUUUAAUUCCAUUAAAUAUCUCUUAUUUUUCCUCGUAUCUAUUAAAAUGAGUUUUAAAUAUCUAUCUUAAUCUAAUAAAUUUUUUGUUCUCCAUAACAUAAAUCUUUGUAGAGAUAUUUUAAAUAUUUUUUUUAUUCAAUGAGGAAACCUAAUUCUAUGACAAAAUACAAAAAUAUAUAAAAACACUUUAUAUAAUAUUAUUUGCUAAAAGAAAUAUAUAUAUAUAUCAAUAUGAACUUAAAAGACUUUUUAAGAACAGAAAAUUAUUUAUAUAUCAAUGAUCGGGCCAAUGGCUCAUAUGUUUGGACCAUGAACUCUCAUCGAUGAGAGCACGUGGACUAAGGGCACUUAACUAUUGAUCAAUCUCAAAGCCAAUAUGCACGAGGAGCAUAGAGAUUAUCAGAGCAAAAGGAAGGCUCCUAGGGUCAUAUGCUUAUGAUAAGUAGCCAUGAUGUUGAGGAUGACUUGGGUAAGGUCAAUCCACUACCCAAUCAGAAUGGCAUGAAUAAACUGAGCAGUUGAAUGCCUAAUAUGGGUCCAAUGUAAGGAAUGAUAUAAUGAAUAAGGAAAAUUCAUGGCCAAGACUCAAACUAGCUUAGUAAACCUAGCCAAAGGAAUAUAAAUGGGGAGAUUAUGAGCCACACCAUAUAAAGUGAGUGGAAUGGCAAUGACCUUAGAUAAGGUGAGGCCCUAAGACUAGGUAGAAAAAUGCAAAACAAACUCCCUAAGCUAGGAUAACCCAAGAGCAAAGCAAAUAAGCUAAAGGGUAAUAAAGAGAAUCUAACCAUACAAGGAAACUUGAAACACUACACUAAAGAGACAACAUAAUGGAUGUUUGCAUAGAAUAUCCGAACAAGAUAGGAAUAAGCACCCCAUGAAAAGAGGUUAGGAGCUCCCAAUCCCUAUUUUGGAAAAAAAAAAAAAAACCUAGCAAAACAUUGUCAUGGAAGGAGAUCAAGGAAGUAUUGCACUCAAUCUCGACAUGAUAGUAAAGGAAAUGAGCAUAGCAAUGCUCAUAAGUGUGCUCAGAGUGGAAACACUCGAUAAGAAGGCUAGCCAAAUUAAAUGGAUCCUGGAUAGAGAACCUUAUGAUCGACUAAGAAAAUAGAGGUGUCAAAGAGGACUUCUAAGACACCUAUGACAAGAUAUAUUGACCUAGAAUGAAAAAUAAAAAGACAUAGAAAGUGAGGAGCUACUUGAAAAAACUGAAUUGUUGGAAAGUCUGAAAAGGUAGUUGAUAACACUCCUACGAGGUCGAAAUAAGUGAAAACUAACCUAAAAAGCCACUAAAAGACAAGUAAGCAUGAAGAGGGAGCAUAGGUGAUGACUUGGGAUCAAGGAAUAUGAACAAAUGAGGUGUUGAAAGGCUAUUUAUAACCAUUGGUACGGGUAGGUUUGUUGGAAGAGUGUUAGAACCUAGAUUAGCAGUUGAGCGUUUUAAGCGUUAGAAGAGCAUUAGAAGUGGCUUUGAGCACUCAAGCGUGCGAUGGGCACUGGAAGCCCCUACAAGCGCUUAAGUGCAAGAUAUGCUAUUCCUGUGACCAUCAAAGAUUCUCUUUGUUAAUGUCUUAGUAAAGGAAUUUGUCAGGUUAUCCAUAAAAGGUAUCUUUUCAACCAUUAUAUCACCCUUUUUUACUAUCUCAUGAAUUAAUUAGUAGUUCCUCUCAAUGCACUUACCUUUCUAGUGGUUCCCUUAUUCUUUGGACUGUGUCACAACCCCACUAUUGUCACAAAAUAGUAUCAUGCAUUGUACAAUUAAGGGCACAACCCUAAGUCCCAUGAGGAACUUCUUAAGCCAAACAAUUUCCUUUGUUGCUUUAGAAGUUACAAUAUACUCGACUUACAUAGUUGAGUUAACAAUUUAAGAUUGUUUCACACUUCUCUAACUAACAACCAUACCAUCAAAAGUAAAGACAAAAUCAAAGAUAGACCAAUAAGAAUCCUUAUUAGAUUGAAAGUUUGAAUCUAUGUACCCUUUUGGGUACCAAUUUGUCACUUUGGAACACAAACACAUAAUCCCCCAUUCUUUGAGUAUAUGCUUGAUAGUUGUCUAAUUCUUAGCCUUGGAUUUAACUAAUAUUUACUUACCAUGCCUAUUGCAAAACAAAUAUCUUGUCUAGUAUAUAGCAUCACAUACAAAAGACUACCCACUACUAAUGCAUAAGGUACUGUUUGCAUGUGCUCUUUCUCCUCAAUUGUCUUAGUACAUUGAUUUUAAGAAAAAGGAACUCCAUGUCCAAAGGGUAGCAAACCCUUCUUAGAAUCCUACAUCACAUACUAGACCAAUAGUUUGUCAAUGUAGGUGGCUUAAGACAACGCCAAUUUCCUAUUCUUGCAAUCUCUUAGGACCUUAAUCCCAAGAACAUAUUGCAUUUCUCUAAGAUCUUUCAUCUAGAAGUGAGUAGAUAACUAUAUCUUGACUGAUGACAAUAACCCUACAUCAUCACCAAUGACUAGAAACUAAUAAACAUACAAGAUCAUGAAAACUACCAUGCUUCCAUGUACCUUCUUAUACACAAAAUGUUCAUCUUCGUUUUGAUCAAAAUCAAAGGUCUUAAUUGUCUGAUCAAAAGGUUUGUUCCAUGAAUGAGAUACCUUAUUUAAUCUAAAAAUGGAUUUAUGUAACUUGCAUACCAUAUGCUUUUGGACUUUUAUUAUGAAAUCAUCUGGUUGUAUUAUAUAUACUUGUCAAGAUUGUCAUUUAAGAAUGCAAUCUUGACAUCCAUUUGUCAUAACUUAUAAUUGAGAUAUGUCGUAAUGGAUAGGAGUAUCCUGAUAGACUUGUGCAUGGCAAUUGAUGAGAAGGUCUCCUCAUAGUUGAACUAGAUUUCUUAUUAUAACCCUUCACUACAAGCCUAGCCUUAAGUCUCAACCUUUCCAUCUACACCCCUUUUCCUCUUGUAGACCUACUUGCAACCUAUGGGUUUUAUCCCUUUAAGUGCUUCUACAAGCUCUAAGACUUGGUUAAAAUACAUGGAUUCUAUCUUUGCCUCCAUAACCUUUUGUCAAUGAUGUGCAUCAACAUCGCUUAAUGCUUCAUCGUAAUUUAUAACAUCAAUAUCAUUUUCCUCUAUAAUGGCCUCAAAGGACUCUUCCUAAUACAUAAAUCGGUCUGGUUAGAUAACAACUCUCCCACUACAACAAGGCACUAGUGUACUAGAAAUAAGAAUGGUCGGUACUAGAUCCAUAGUAUUAGGUGUUGUUUUGGGAGCCACAUCUAGUGCUCUCACUAUAUCCAGAUUGACUACUUUUUUAUAUCGAAGUGGUAUUGAAAUCCACUUUCUUUUAUCAAAAUUCCUUUUUUCGUUGCAUUCUUUACUAGAUACAAAUAUUAGUCCUCUAUUUAAGGCUUAACAUAUACUUAAAUAAAAAGAUAAUGAUUUGCACUAAAAAAUUAUUCAAAAACAUAUUUUUAUAUAUAGGAAAACACCAGUUUUGAGUGCUAAUCAAUACCUCAUCUAUUGUCAAUGGAUAUCACCUCAAUGCUUGAGGGAAUGUAGAUCUCCUUCACAACUUGGGUAAAAGCAAAUACAAACACUUCUUCGAGAGUUUUGGGAAUGGAAUGACAUUAUGUUUUUCAACUUAGAAGCAUUAAACCAAAAACCUUUUUAUGCAAAGUACAUAUAGACCUAAGAACCUAGAGGACUAAAUUUCAAAAAUUUCUAAAAAUAAUUCUUUUAAAAAUAGAAAAGACGAAUCUCUAAAAUUCUAGAGAAUUUUGUCAUGACCACUUACGCACCCUUUGAGUACUUGAGAGCACGCUAUUGACAACACUUGAGUGCUCAAGGGAUUUUUAAAACACUUUUAAAAAACAUUUCACUCGAUUUUAAAAACUUUGAUCCACACCAUGCCAUACCAAACACUAAUUUGCUUUUCCUAGACCAUUUUAUACUUACUUGUCUUAUCCUCCUUGAUUAAGCAACAACCUCAAGUCUUCAAUGGAGAGUAAGAUACAAAUUAAAAGAGUCCUAACGUCAUAAUGAAUGGAACAAAAUUAUCAAUCUUAAACUACAUAACCUAACAUACCAACACUAAGUAAUUUUAAUUAUAUUUUAUUUUCUUUGGAUUUUUUUAUGUCACAACCAAACAUAAAAAAAUGAUUUGUCUUAACAUUUUUUUUCCCUUUCAUUAAUACUUUCCAAGAAUCAAGCAUAACCUUCUAACUUAGGAGAGUAUCAAUUCAUGACAUAAUGUUUGUGAUACAACUUAGAUGAAAAUUAAUAUACUGUAUGAGAAAUAUACUCAAAAUAAUAUUAGGUAUCCUAAUCCUACCUUGGCCAAUUAGAUAGGCCAAGAGGACUCCAAGUUGAUUUUUGAUUGUAUUAUGAUUUGUAUUAACAAAUAGGCUACUACAAAUUUUCAAAUAAAUAUAAAAACUUUAAAAUAGAUAUAAAUACUUUUAAUUUGUAAGAUAAUAAAUAUAUGACAAUCAUGCAAGCAAAAAGGCAUAAUAUAUAAAAUAAUUAAGAAAAUUCAUUUCAUUUUUUAUAUAUCUCCUUAACAAUAAAAUAUUAUCUUUCUACUAUUUAAUAAAAUUAUAGAUAUUAAUAAAUUUAUAUUUUAUUUCUAUCAUAAUUUAAUUUACUAAUAGCCAAAGAUUAAAAAAAAAAAAAAGCCUCUCUAAUUUGAUGUUAUUUAAUGUAUAAAUGUCCUUAUUUUAUAAAAUGAUAUUUAAUUUAAAAGUUUAUAUAUUAAUUAAAGUAUGCAUUUGGCCCAUGAAUCUACUAUUUAAUCUAUAAAAACCCUUACUUAAAAAAUAAUAAAAAUAAUCAAGUACCAUCCUGGCCAUGUUUCCUCCAAAUAAAGUCCUUAAGGUACCUGCCACCAUCCUUGGCAUGUUCCCUCCAAAGAAACAUUUGGUUCUUGAAAGUAUUAAGGAAAUAAAAAAAAAAAAUUAAGGAAAAUAGUUUUCUCAUAUUUGGUUUCACGAUGGACAAACGAAAGAAAAUCAAAUAUAAUUAAAAUUAGUUAAAAUUUUAUACGUUUUAAAAUCGUUUAAUAUUUAUAUAUUUAUAAAUCGUUUUAAAAUGAAUUUGAAGAAGAAUAUAGAAAUUAUUUAUUGGUUUUGAAUCUAUUUUUUAUUUUUCUCCAUUCUUCAUUUUUUUUUCCAUUUUUCCUCUUGUGAAGCCGCAUUUUUCACAUGUGUUCACGUUCCCUGGCAAGACUCGCUUUUUAUUGUAAAAAUUGAUUUUUUGAAAAUUGGUUUAGAGUCGCCACUUAUUUUUAUUUUAUUUUUUAAGGGAAAAUAAAAUAAGAAAGAAAACCUUAAGUGUGACUCUUAGAAAAGAAUAACAACUCUGUGAAAAUUGAAUCGGGUCAGGGGCUAGGUUACUUACUGGGAAGAUACGAUGAUGAGUUGUAGUACUCUUCUAAGCCCUAAAAUUAGGUUUCUACUAAUCAAGUUAAGGCAAGUAUAACAAUUGGUUGGUCGAUCGAUGAAUACCAAAUUUCAAGAGUCAUAGGAAGAAAAUGGAAAUUUUAAGUCAUAGGAAGAAAACGGAUCAUGCAAGAUAAAUUGGGGAUAUAUGAGUAAGCAAGAUGGGAGUGAGAGUGAACUAAAAUAUGUCACAUGCAUCAUAAAAGAAAAUCGAGGUCAAUUAAUAUCAAACAGACAUUCACUUGCAUUAUUAUCAUAGAAGAUAUCAUGGAUAUUGGGCACCCACCAAAGGCCAAUUUAUUUCAGCAUGAAUUUAUUAUUGAUGAUCACAGAAAAAGAUCAUAGGAAUUUGAAUUGAAUUUCAUUAUUUAUGGAAUUAUAGAUUUUAUUCAUCAAGGAAAGUAGUAAAAAGUGCUUGCAUAAGGAAAAAUGGCAGUGAACCUUUAUUUAAAUUGAAUUUUAUUUUCUAAGGACGAAGUUUGAAAAAACUGAGAUUAUUUUGAUGGAAAAAGAUUUGAAAACCCAACUCAAAACAUGUAAAUUCACACAAAGAUAAAAAAAAAUACAUCAGGAGGAGGAUAGUGUGUGCCAAGGUGGCCGUGCAAGAGGAAGUCAUAUGCACAUGGGAGGCAACUGUGUAAGAGAAAAUACUUUCUCUUACAUUGAUUCUUGAAGAAGAAUCCCAUUUUCUGUUUCAUCCCCUACUUCAACAUUCUUCUGCUUCUUCAAUUUAUUAACAACAUUUCUCAAUUGAUCUCUUUCUUCAAUAACCAAGCUAAGCAUCAAUUCAAUCCGCUUAACCUCCAAUUUGGAUAUUUUCGAACUCUCUUUGGCCAAUGCAGCCUCAGUUUUAGCAUUCCUUUUAGCAUGUUCUGCAACAUCCAGAGAUACCUUCAUUUGUUUCAAGCAUGCAUUUGCCUCACCCAACUUCAUCAUGCCUUUAAUUAUUGUUAUCAUCUGGCCAGCAACAUUAAAAAUUGGCAAGGUCCUUCUCCUUUAUGCUCUCAAGAUUGCACAGCCAGCCUCUGGAGAUGGUCAAAGAACGCUUGAAGGCUCACAUCAUCCAUGAAGAUCACACCUGACCUAAUCGCCAUUUCAUGGGCAUUGUUGUACGUAGCUGAUGGGUUCAACUUUGCCAAUAAGAAUCUUGCUUAGGAGCCAUGCUGAUCACAUACCACCAAUCUUGGGGCAGGGAACCUAUUGUGGAUGAUAAGUUUAGCAACAUCCUGAGAUGCUUGCAAUAGCUGAGCAAAUGCCCUGUGUUCUGGUAUGCCAUGCACGAGUCUUGCUCCAAUGCUGAGACCUAUUGAGAGUGCAUUCUUCGGUUCAUGAUUAUCAAUGCCCAACAAGAGUUUCCACUAUUUAGUAUGCUUAUCUCAUUACAUUUAUUUGAAAGCCCAACUAUGGAUCUUAAUACAUGCCCCAAACUCUUGAUGGUCUCAACAGAAUUGUGACCUCCAGAAACAAAAUCAAGUUCUUGUUUCACUUCUAUUGAAUUCAUUGGAACCUCUCCAUCCACUAAUUUGUGGGAAGCCAAUCGAACAGAAUCUUCAUAAAUAGUAUCUGGUAGGCCCGAGGUGGAGGUGUUAAUGACCACGACUUAUGCACAACAAGCAGGAUUGAUGCUUUAGAUGACACUUUUUUUUUUUAACUUAAGAUUUUGGAGCUUCUUUCUUUGAAGCCAAGUUUAUCCAAAGGUGACCCACAAUCUUGACCAUGGUGGAAUCAGAGCCUAAGUUUUCAACAAGUUUCUUGAAAGCAUCAUUACUAGUAGAAGUUCCCUGGAAUUCUUUUAUGGCCUCUUCAUGAAGAUAUCCACAAUUUCCUAAAAUACUAUGUCUCAUGUAAACUUAACCAGGCUGCUUUCCUCCCAAUUAAGUUGUUUUUCCUUCCUUCCUUCUUGGGAUUCCGUCUAGCCUAUGGUCCACCUUGAAUUCCUUUCCAAAGGGUCGACGCUGUUGACCUCUACCAAGUCCCAACAGCCAUCCCCUUUCUUAACGUGCUUAUCUGCAACUGGUCUUCGUAACCCACUUCCUUCCUGAAUGCCCUCCCUUAGCGCCUCAGAAUAGUCGUAAUACCCCCUCUUUGGAGUCCGACCAAAAUAAAAGAAAUUAGAAAAGGAAGACCCUAGUGCCUUUAGACCCCCCAAAUUUAUAACUAACCCAUACCUCGCGGCUUCUUCCUCUAGCACACUAUCUGCCAUUGUGCGGUGUAAGUCCAGCUGCUGCCUCCUCCCAACUUCUUUCUCACGGAAUCUGGCGAACUCCAACUCCAAGUUACAUCCCUUGCUAUAGCCAAAGAUAUUUGGGGGACAGGCUUUUAAAAGGAGCCCACUUUCAUAAGGUUGGGCCUAAGACGGGCCAGGUCUUUCCCUAUAAGAACUGGCCGGCCCAAAAGCUGCGGCCCACCCUGUGCCCAUGGGAUGCGACGACCCAAUCUCCGCCCCCCUUGAGGUUUCACCCAUUGAGGGGAAUGACAACCCAGCAACCCAUUUCGAAACCAGGCCUGACGACGACGGCCUAGCAUCUGAGAAAGGCCGAGACAGCAGACCCACUUGAGCUUGGGGGCCCGUCACGUUGAAGCUCACUCCCUACGCCUACCGUCCAGUCCCAUCCACUGACUGGAACUGCUCCUCAACCCUUGCACACGCCAUCUCUUCCACUCACGACCCGGCGCGUGCAUCCGCAUCACCCCUGACCCCCCCGCUUGGUCGACUCCACAGACCAUGCUUUAUCCCCGAUUUCUGCCUUAGCAAUGACAAUACCUCCCACCAUAAAGUUAGAAAAUAGGUCACCUCCUCGACCCCUAUCUCUAGCGAACAAGGAAGAUCAUCGCCAUUAGAUUCUACUAAUAUCCUAGCCCACUGUAGAUCCUCCAUGCUCUCCGUCUGUGGGUCAAUGGCUAGGAAACCACCGCACACAUCCCCCACUCUCCUCAAUACUGACGGGACCCAUAGCGAGAUUGGAAGACCCAGGAUCCUCACCCAGACUUCAUUUCUUACCUCACCUUCUUCCAAGCACCCCGACCUUAGGCUUCAUCGCUCCAAGCCCAACUGAACCCCUUCCACCGCCCUUUUUCCAGAGAUAAGGACCUGCCUGGCUUCUUCCACGAACUCAAACUCCAAUAAUGCCCGUCCUUUUCCCAAGCUUGCCAAACCUAGCUUGCCUUUCAACCCCCAAGUGUUUGCCAUUACCCAUCCCAACCUUUCCAAAUCCUCCCCUUCUGCACCGCUAGCGUUCCAGCUUCCAAUCAAACAAUGCUCCAAACUACUUAAAUUUCUGUUUAUUUCCUUCCCUUUCACCUCCACUCUAAGAGUAUUAGAACCCUUAUUCCACGAUCCCUUCACCAUAUCAGCAAAUGAUCUACCCAAUGCCCUCUCUUCCUAUUUUUGCUCAUUUUUAUCGAGACUAUCAUCCAGCUUGCGAAGGGCCUCCACCAUAGCCAGCCAACCCUCCUUUUCUCCUCUGUUUUUCGGGAUACAUAUGUUGUAUCUCUUCUUCUUCGAAUUGACUACCCCUAGUUGAAGAAAACUACCCGCCCUGUUAGUGUCGCGCACCAAGGAGAAGCUUCUUCCCUUCUCCUUCCAACCCUUUUCCCAUUUUCCUUCAUUUACGUCCUCAAGGCACUGAUACAGACCUUCCAGGAAAAACCCUACACUGGCCGACCCUAGACGAACCCAUGACGACACCCCUCUCUUGAUUUCCACUAUGAUUACUUGGGGUUUUCCUCUCCUCUCCACCAUUUCGACCUCAAAGACCUUCGACUCCGCCCCAAAGCUACUCGUCUUCCGUUUUCUUCGGUUCUCCGCUCGGCUGACAUUCUCGCCGCUGACGCUCUCUCGCACUCUCAUCUUUGAUGGUCAUUCAUAUUUAUGUUAAUAGGCAAUGAUUACUACCAAAAAGUGCUAUUUUGUAGACCUAAUAAUAAUGGUUUUAAGCACCUUUGAGUAGUAAUCAUAUUCAUUUAACCCAAUUAAUUCAUUAAGGUCCUUAGUAAUUGGUUUUAACCAUUUUGUGGCAAGUUUACAUGUUUUUAUCAGCUUAUGAACCAAUUCAAGCAUGCCAAUUAAUGGAGGAGCUAUUUGGGUGAGUUAAGCAAGGAUUUUGGAUGAUUACAGGCUUGAAUUUCAAGUGGAAACACGAGCACAAGCAAUGGAGAAGAGGAAAACAGAGUGAAGAAAACAGCUGCAGUCUUAUUUCGCACUUUUGAAGCACUUCCCGAAGUCUAUUUUCUACAUGCUAUAUACCAUUUCAAAUCUCAGUAAGUCAAGAAUCCAACGCUUCAAACCAUGUAUGAUUUGGAGCUAAAAUGAGGAAGAUAUGGCCUUCGGAAGACAACUGCAUCAUGCCAAAUGACCAAUUUCGCAAGGUGAAUUUUACCUUGCGAAAUUUUCGCAAGGAGAUUUUCCUCAUGGUGCGAAAUUUGGCCAUUUCGAACCAUGAAGAAAUACCUUGCGAAAAUUUCGCAAAGAGGAUUUAGGCACCUUGCAAAAUUCCUUUGAAUCCUCUGUUUCUCCAUGCAUGCACCACCGACUUCCCAAAUAUUUUUAGCUUGAUAUUUUCUCAUGUAAAUUCCUUUUGUAACCUUGUAUUCAGCCGACAUAAAGCUUUAUCUUGUAAUUUUGUUAUAUAUAGAGGUGCACAACACCUCCAAAGGGGGAUAUUGGGGGAUCGAUCCUCUGUACAUUAACUUAGAAAUAUAUAAAGCUCUGUUUUUCUCUCUUCUCCUGUUCUUCCCCAUUUCUAUUUUCUUAGUAGCCAAACAGCCUCUGAGGGCUUUUCCUCAGAGGAUGAUUGGCUAAAAAUUUUAGUUUCUCAAAGUAUGGAUGUUAUGUGAUGGCUUGGAUGCAAUCCCAUGGAAAUUUCUCACACCUGGAAGGUAAGGUAGUCGUUUUUCAUUAACGGUUCAUUAAUGCAAAGUUUGGUUUUUAUUUCCUUUGGACAACUUCCAACGGCCAAUACUUGAUAAGCUUUUGGAUUUCUAUCCAUUAGUUAUCUCCUACGAGCUAUUGGAAGGUGAGGUUUUCAAUUCCAAGUUUUGCAUUAAUCCGUUAGAACCAAUUUCAAUGGCCAUUGAAAGGUGAGUUUAUCACCUGGAAUGACUUUGAGUUGCCAAUAUUUGGUAAGCUUUUGGCUUUAGACCAUUAGUUAUCUCUUACGAGCCAUUCAAAGGAAGUCUAAGGUGAAUAACCAUUGAUGAAAUUCACUACCAUCUGUUUUGCCAUUUUAAAGGAUUAAAACUUGAUUUGCUAAAUCCAUACCGGUUCGGGAAGCAAGCAUCACCAUAGUUGCAACCCCAACGCGAGGAGCCUAUCCUGAGAUUUCCAAUUUGCAUAAGAGCUAGAGCAUAGCUAUCCUAUCUUUGAGAAACUUGUUUUUACACCCUUUCAUUUUAGUCUUUAAUGUUAGCUUAGAUUAGUUUAAAUCUUUCUAAAACAUUUACAUCUUCUUUUAAAGCUAAUAUCCAUAAGAAAAUCACCUAUUUUCCUAAUUGGAAUAUCACUUGUGUUUGCGAAAACCCUUCCCAGUGAACGAUCCUAGAACCACUAUGCUAUAGUAGCUUGGCUACUUUAGUAAUAGUAUUUAAGGUAUAAAUUUUGUUGAUAUGCCUUUAAAGCUAAGCUACCAUGAGUCGCAUCAGGCAACUUGGAUUUGCACUUUCCAAUGCUCCAAAUGCGGGCCAUACUAGGCCCUUUCAAACCGAUGAGUGGAGGAACCUGGAAUUGGAACUAGUUGCUCAUCACUUUGCAAGGAGAUAAAUUUUGGUGUCAUAUUGACAAAAUGCAUGACUUGAUAGGAUCAACCAACACUGAAUUCUCACACCAAGUUGACGAAACACCCUUGAGGUGGUGUAAAUUUUCAGAUUUUGAUUUUUCCAAGUCAACUGUGUUUCUUGUCUUUUCCUUUGAUGAUUCACCGACAAGUUUCAUAAGAAAUUCAACAUGUAGUAACUUCUUCUGCAACAAUGACAUGACUCCAGGCUUCUGGUUACCCAACUCCAUAGAAACUUGAUGUUGGUAUUCAGAAUUAAAGAUGAAUCUUGGACAAAAAGUUGAAUUGCUAACCUAAAGCAAUGCAUUUUCCUUUGCUUCUGAAUCUCACAGUACAUUUUAAGGACAUUUAGCCACUUGUACCUGCAUCAUUAUUUUCUUCUCUUCUCACAUUCAAAUUAGUUUCAGGUAACAGAAUUUCUCCGCCAUUAGUAUCUGGGGUUUGAGCCAUUUCAGUAGCUACUCGUAUAGGCACCAUAUCAAUCACUGCUUGCACAAUUUGGAGAUGGAAAUCCAGAAACUAGUCAAAACAGGCAGCUGGAGCAUCUGUCUUAGUUGACUCAUUCAAGUUUGACAACAUCUUGUGGGAUCGAACUAGAGUUUCUGUAGCUGAAGCAUCUCUGAGUGCUUAAAGAGUAAUUUUUUGUGUUUUUCCUUGUUAUUGUGCUGCUUCCUUGCCCAUCUUUUGAUACACUGAAAAUCAGGUCUCUAGAGACGACCACAUUUCAAGCUUAUACCAGCAAGCUUCUAUGUGGCAAUAAAGAACAGGGUGGAAGGAAUUAGCUUGAGGCUUUCACCAUAUGCUGAGCAAACUUCAGGAAACCUUUCAGAUUUGAAGAGAUCAUUGCCAUGGGCACAAGCUCUUGCAACCAUCCUCAAAUAUCUCAACCCAUUCUUUGGGAGUGAGAUCUUUCCACUUAUUUUCUAUCUUCCACGACACUCUGUUAAAAUCAUGAUACAUAGCAAGCCUCUAAACUUGUAAGAACUUCCACAAUUUAUUUAAGGCACCAUUGGUGUUGAAGUUUUCAUUCCUUGCUCAUCCAUGGUAGCAGCAACAAGCUUACCAGAUAUCACACCUGAAGAAAAUGGAUGUCCUGGAUUAAUGAUGGAAUCCUCAUAUUUGAUAUGGACAUUGCUAAUGGAAAUCUUAAGGAUUCCAAUUAUGAUGGCAAAUAAAGAACCCAGCCAUGAAUUUGCAGCAGGUGGACUUCCUAGUUUUGAUCUCGAUAUUGAUGAAGUUCCAAUUUCAGUUACUGUGAAUGGUGUCCCCAACUCCGGACUACUAUCAUUUCUUGAUGGGAUUCGAAUCACUGAGCUUACACAAUCAUCGUAGCCUUUGUCUUCAUGCAGAAAAAAACUCUCUCUCAAACUCGUCAACGAGACUUUUUCAACAGUGGUAAGCAUCGGGAUAUCUGGCCCACUUUCUGACCCUAUAUGAGAUGCACCCAGAAAACCCUUCAAAAUUGCAUAGUGAGUUGCACUGUUAGGACCACCAGAAGCAUUUGGAAGCUCAUACUUUUUGGUGGUCAAAGCAGCAGGGUGGCCUUUGGUCUUGUCAAACAGCACAACUAGCUCAUCCCCUAGUUUCUGACAAUAUGAAAUGACUAAAACACUUCAACGAGUUCCUUGACAUCACUUCUUGUAAGAAGUCAGCCACUCCUUUCCUUUCCGACCAUUUGAAACCCAUGAAUUCAAAGAACUCAAGCAUAUUUUCAUAGGGACCUUGAUACACAAUUUUCCCAUAUCACCAAAUGCAACAGAACAGUUCAUUCAUUUCCCAUGGACGGCUAAUGGCAAACUUGAUCACUACAGACCAAACCCUAUCCACUUUCACCACACUUUAUACACUUGCUCUGCUGUGUCCGUUCUAUUUCCAUACAAUCUUGAGUAGACAUGUUCCAAGAGCUUGAAACACCUGACUGUUGUGGACUCUCACCCGAUCCACCGGACUAACGCCACUCGCUUUUAAAAGAAAAGAAAGAAAUGAAAAAGUUGGUGUUUUCCAGUUUUGAAAAACCCGCCCUUGGUGAGGAACGGUGUUGUUUGGAGUCGCCACUUACUUUUUAUUUUUGUUUUUAAAAUGGGGAAAAUUAAGUAAGAACAAAAAAAACCCCUAAUGACCCCAGUAUGGAAAAAGCGGUCUACGAAAACUAGAUUCUGGGUUCGAGGAUCAGGUUACCCGUUGGGAAGGUACCUCAUGCGAGGUAGCACCCCUCUAGGUCCGAAACUCGGUCUUUACUAAUGAAUUGGGUAUGUGGGAGCAUAUGGGUCAAAGGUCAAAUGAAACCCUAGGCUAAAUAGAUGUCAUGAAUCACACAAUCCUAAUUGGUAUUUGGCAUGCAUAUGAAUUCAACCAAACAAAACGAUGGGUGCAUACCUGUGGUCCCUAGCCAAGCGCUGCAUAAAAGGUCAGCCAAACACAGAUAAACACAUAACAAACAUUCAAGAUUAAGCACCAUACAUGCAUAUGAAUUCAACAACCAAAGCCAACGAUGCGUACCUGUGGUCCCUAGCCAAGCGCUGCAGCAGAGGGUGAGUCAGUCAUGCAACAAUGUAUUCAAAAUCAAGCAUCAAAGCUUGUGCCAAAAAGGAGGAUAACUGGUUGAAAUGAGGUAGGGGACUCCCCAAAUGUCAUACAAAUCGAACUAGACUCAUCUAGACCACACCACCCAUAACUUCAGAAUUGCCCAUACUAACUGAAAUCAAAUACUGACUUAAACCUUCAAGAUGGCUCUCAAGUGCCCUAUAGCAAAUGGGUUUGAGCCCCCAUGGAUAAGGGCUCGAAAAAUGCCAAAAUCGAGGGCUACCUAAAGUCCUCCAGCAGAACAGGUUUAACUAGUUCUCAACUGGUACAACCCAUUGAGAUGAAUUCCUAAAUUUUUCUAGAAAACUCCUAAAUGAGUGAGGAUUCAAACAAAAGAAACAACACUCAAUCCCGAGCCCGGAUGAGUGAGAACCAGACAAAGAAAGGCAGGUGUUCCUUAUGGCUGAAAGAGGCAGCCAGCUAUGGUGCUGAACCGAUUGAACCGGUUCCCAACCAGUACAUCCGGUUGAUAAAAAAUCCCAAAUUCAGUCAGUAAGUUCCUAAGUGAUUAAGGAAGCAAAAAAAAUAAACGGUUCUCAAUUCCGACCCCGGAUGAGUGAGAACCAGACAAGGAAAGGAAAGUGUUCCUCAUGGCUAACAGAGGCUGCCAGCUAUGGUGCUGAACCGGUUGAACCGGUUCCAAACUAGUUCAGCCGGUUGGUAAAAAAAUCCCAAAUUCGGUCAGAAAGUUCCUAAGUGAUUAAGGAAGCAAACAAAAGAAACGGUUCUCAAUUCCGACCCCGGAUGAGUGAGAACCAGACAAAGAAAGGCAAGUGUUCCUCAUGGCUGACAGAGGCUGCCAGCCAUGGUGCUGAACCGGUUGAACCGGUUCCAAACCGGUUCAUCCGGUUGGUAAAAAAUCCCAAAUUCGGUCAGAAAGUUCCUAAGUGAUUAAGGAAGCAAACAAAAGAAACGGUUCUGAAUUCCAACCCCGGAGGAGUGAGAACCAGACAAAGAAAGGCAAGUGUUCCUCAUGGCUGACAGAGGCUGCCAGCCAUGGUACUGAACCGAUUGAACCGGUUCCAAACCGGUUCAGCCGGUUGGUAAAAAAUCCCAAAUUCGGUCAGGAAAUUCCUAAGUGAUUAAGGAAGCAAACAACAACAAUCAUGUGUGGCCUUUAUUUUCCACACCCAAGCAAUACAAUCUUCAUAUCAAAGGGAAGAAAAGAUGAUGAGGAAGGAGAAAAAGCAUAUGAAGACGAGGAAGAUAAGUUGUAAGUAAAGAAAAUUCAGCAUGCUUACCUUAGAAUCUCCACCAAAUAUGAUCCGUGCAUGCCAAUGAUGACUUCCAAAACUGAGAGGCUGUCACUCUCCUCUUCAAAAAAACCACAGUGCUGAAGCUUCCCCCACACUCUCAACUCAGAAGAUGCUACUGACCUUUUGUUUUUCUCACCAGCAGAAUUUCCCCUCUCCAAAAUGUCCAAGGUCCUUUGCUCUCCUAUCCUCUCACCUUUUAUACUCAUACCCCUCUUAGCAUUUGAGCCUCCUGGGUUCCUUCCCAUUCAGCACCGAAAUUCCCUUCAUCAGCAUGGGAACCACACCCCUCAUUACUUCUCUUACACUUACAAGGCCAGCUCACUCCCUUCAGUUUUUUCAGCUUGCUUCACCACCAAGAAUCCAUAUGGAUUCGUGGUGGGCUGCAAGGAACCCAAACCAAGGCCUAAAAUGGACCCACAACAUUGCCCAAAACCAAUCUGGAGCUUAUGGGCCUGAGCCAUGUAGGAUUUGGGCCUCAAAAUUACUAGAAUUAGUGUUUUACCUCAGCUGACUCAAUGAACCGGCUGAACCGGCCGAACCGGAUGCCAACUGGUCGACCCGAUGGAGAAAAAUUCUGAAAAUUUUACAGAAUGUUCCUAGUAGAGUAAGGAAUCCAUUAAAAAAAACGGUGCAUGAUUCCAAGUUCGGAAGAGGGAGAUAUGAUCAAAACAAUUACCAAAAAUCAGUGUUCUACACCGGCUGACCUAAUGAACCGGCUGAACCAGCUGCCAACCAGCCGACCGGUUGCAAAAAAUUUUGAAAAUUUUACAGAAUGUUCCUGGAAGAAUAAGGAAUCCAUAAAAAGAAAUGGUUCUUGAUUCCGAGUUUGGAUGAGGGAGAUACGAUCAAAACAAGCCCGAGUGCUCCGAACCUCAACAUGCCCCUAUAAACCCCAACUAAGCUAAAACAUCGGGAUGACCCCACUUCCUUCCUAUAGCGUGAUGUGAACGACUAGGAAAAUGGCCAUGGUGACCCUCCUAAAUGAACCACAUAUGCACCACAAUGGACCACACACAAACCCACACGAGGCUCGGACACCGACUAAGCCCAAAAGGCGCCCUAGUGGUGUCAUAUGCGAACGAUGGGUGGAUGUGACACCAGAAGGAUAAAUGCCAGUGUCGAGGGACAAAAUUGAGGGUCUACACUGUUUUGUGCCCAUGACAGUCUCACCACUCAAAUUAGGAGCUAAAUGAAGAGUUUUGUUAGUUGAUGCUGCCCAAAUCAAAUAAUGUAUCUACUGUUUCAUCAUCUUCCAUGGAUAUGAUGGGGGCAAGAGGUGGCCAAAAUGUAACAGUUGUCAAUGGAUACUUGUGGAAUGAUGCGCUUGUUUCCAAGGCUACAGGAUCAACCUCGUAAGCAGCAUCAUGUGCGCAAUCUUGGAUUCUCUGUUGACAUGAUCUCCUCUUAGAGUUUUCCACAUUUUCCUCACUUGGUCCACGUUUAAACCCUUUUCAUUCUCAAAUGUAGAACGUAACCUCUGGUGUCCCUACCCCAUACUAUCAAGUUCAGCAUGCAAUUCUGGAAGCCUUUAAACAUCAACUUUCUGCAAUUCCUGGGUGCCUUUUGAACUUGAGUGGUUGUUUCUUGUCUGGCAAUGACCAAGCUCUGUGCCUCCCUAUAUCCCUGUUGUAGUUCCUUCUCAAAAUGUUCACCAGCUCUAAUAUCUCCUUCCAUGUUAGUAGAGAUGAGAGAGAACGGAUGGAGCAAGCAGAGCUAGAAGCAGAGUGAACACCACGGCUGCCUAUUGUAGUUGUAAUUAUCUGACCUGUUUCAGAUCCUGGAGCAUACAUCUGCCACAAGUCAACCUUCAAUACUGAACUUUCUGAACCACAGGCAUACCACUACUCACUAUCAGAUAGACACAUCCUCAAUUGACUUGUUCUCUACAGUUGUUAUAACAAACUUUAUCUUUUUGUAUAUUCUCUUUUCCAGCUUAAUAUUUCCAUGUAUAUAGGCUUAAGACUAGGCAACUCUGUUAUGAUUUUAGCUGUAUAUAUUGCAUCAAUUCCUUCAAUAAAAUAUGAGAAUUUCCAAUCUUUUAUUCUGUUAUGGUAUCAGAGCAAUUAGCUUAAUUUUUUUUUUCCCUUCCUUUCUAAUGACUACCAGGGCCAACACCACCAUUCAUAACAUAAACGACCCUCAUAGCACAUUGAUUAGCAUCAAUGUUGCAGCUCAAACUCCAUUAAAGCUUACCUCCACCAACUAUGUAUCUUGGAAACUACAAUUUCAGACUCUCUUUAUUGGGUAUGAUCUUCUAGGAUUCAUCGACGGAUCACAUCCUUGUCCAACAACAAUUCUUCCAGGAACCACUACACUAAAUCCAUCACAUACACUCUGGAUCAGGCAGGAUCAACUCCUUCUCAAUGCCAUUCUUAGUUCUCUGUCCUCCACCAUAAUGCCAUUUAUUGCUCGAGCAAAAACAUCAAGAGAAGCCUGGACAAUAUUGGCCAAUACAUAUGCCAAACCAUCUCAUGGAAGAAUUAAGCAGGUGAAAAAUCAAUUAAAACAAAUCACAAAGGGAUCCAUGGGUGUCUCUGAAUUCCUUCAGACCAUCAAGGCUCGGAUUGAUGAACUUGCCAUCCUAGGCACAGCUGUUGAUGAUGAAGAUCUCUUAGAAAAGAUUCUUGAGGGACUUGGUGAAGACUACAAAGAAUUGGUGCGGGCAGUUCAAGCUAGAGAUACUCCAAUCUCCUUUGAUGAACUCCAUGAAAAGCUUCUCAACUUUGAAGCUUCUCUUCAAAGAACCACAAAGACUGAACAAUCCUACUUCCCUGCCUCUGCUAAUCCUGCCAAUCGUGCCUACUCUAGGUCACGAAACCUGCCAUACUCUAAUUCUUCCUCCGGAAACAACAUAGGCUGGCGUCCACCCUCCAAUCCUGGCAACAGCACUACGGGCUGGCGCCCGUCGCCCACCUCUGGUAAUCGAUUCCCUACACCCACUGGCACUAACAAUUUAUGUUCAGAUCGCAGCUCUCCAAAGCCUUAUCUUGGCUACUGCCAAAUCUGCAGAAUUCAAGGACAUACAGCUAAGCGCUGUCCCUCUUUCAAAUUAAUACCAAUUGAGACAUCCACCAACACCAGUACAACAAUGCCAAACUCCUCCUAGCAACCAAAAGCUCACUUUGCUGCUAAUACCUCCAACACCCCAACAUGGCUAUUGGAUAGUGGUGUUUCUCAUCACGUCACCUCCGACUUGAGCAAUCUCUCUAUUCAUGCACCAUACAAUGGCUCUAACGACAUUAUGAUUGGUGAUGGCACAGGACUUCCCAUAACACAUACUGGUUCCCUCUCUCUCCACACUUCCAAUGCUCAAUUUUCCUUAACCAAUGUUCUCUGUGUUCCUAGCAUGAAAAAAAAUUUGAUUUCAAUUUCCAAACUCUGUAUCUCCAACAAUGUUUCAAUUACAUUCUUACCAUAUUCUUUUCUUAUAAAGGAUCUUCGCACAGGAGCAACGUUUUUGAAGGGCAAAACUAAGGAUGGUGUGUAUGAGUGGCCGGUAUCAUCACCUCUACUUGCCUUUUCCAAUGUCAAAACCAGCUCAUCAUAAUGGCAUCACCGAUUGGGACACCCUGCCUUUCCUAUUUUAAAGCAUGUCAUUUCUACAAAUAAUCUUGCUUUAUCAUCUUCCAGCCUUUUACAUUUUUCUUGUAACGCAUGUCAUUGCAAUAAGAGUCAUAAACUCUCAUUUUCCAAUUCUACCAUUAAUUCUAGUCGUCCUCUUCAAAUACUCUAUUCAGAUGUAUGGACAUCACCUAUUAUUUCUUAUGAUGGCUUUAAGUAUUAUGUAAUUUUUGUUGAUCAUUUUACUAAAUAUAUCUAGUUUUAUCUUCUAAAACAAAAAUCCCAAGUCAAAGACAUAUUCAUAAGAUUUAAAGCCAUUGUAGAAAAACACUUCAAUCAAAACAUCCAUACCUUGUACUCUGAUAAUGGUGGUGAAUACAUUGCUCUCUCUAACUUUCUUGCUCUUCAUGGUAUCUCUCAUCUCACUACGCCACCUCACACCCCCGAACACAAUGGCUUCUCUGAGCGGUGCCAUCUCCACAUUGUUGAAACAGGUCUCACCCUUCUCUCUCAUGCGUCUAUUCCUUUGCCUUAUUGGUCUAAUGCCUUUUCCACAGCCGUUUACUUGAUCAAUCGGAUGCCAAUUCCAACAUUAAAUCUCUUAUCCCCUUAUGAAAAAAUCUUUGGUACUCCUCCCAAUUACUCAAAACUCAAAAUAUUUGGUUGUCUAUGCUAUCCUUGGCUUUGCCCCUAUUCUAGCCAUAAACUUGACUCUAGUUCUAAGCCAUGUAUUUUUCUUGAGUACUCUCUAACUCAAAGUGCCUAUUUUUGCUAUGAUCCAUCCACAUAAAAAUUUUUUGUUUCUAGGCAUGUUAGAUUUGUUGAAUCAAUUUUUCCUUUUAAAUAUUCUCUUCCACAAGCUCCACGACCUGAAUCAACCUCUGUUUCUACUUGGAUACCACCACUAAUUCAUAUCAACACCACAACAUCAGCACUCGUACCACCAUCUACAGUUCAUCCUCAACAGCAACUCCAAUGUGAAGCUUCUACACCUGUUACUUCUCAUCUCAACCCAACCAACAACCAAAACCAACCACAUCAGCUACCCUCCAUAAACUCCUUGCCAACCACUACUCAACCAGACCACCACACCACAAACUCAAACCAUUCUAUGCAAACUAGAGCCAAAAACAACAUUUGCAAACCUAUUCACAAACUCAAUCUUCACAUCCAAUUAUCCAAACCUCUUGAUCUUGAACCCACCACACCAACCCAAGCUUUUAAAGAUCCAAAAUGGCGCAAGGCCAUGUCUGAAGAAUAUGAUGCUCUUGUUCGGAAUGGGACAUGGGAACUAAUGCCUUCCAAUCCUAGUCAAAAUGUUGUGGGUUGUAAAUGGAUUUUCCGUACUAAACGUAAUUCUGAUGGCUCUAUUGACAGGUUCAAGGCUCGUUUGGUUGCAAAAGGUUUUCAUCAACGCCCAGGCAUUGAUUAUUAUGAUACCUUCAGUCCGGUAGUCAAGCCUACCACCAUCAGAUUUGUUCUCAGUGUUGCUGUCAGUAAUGGCUGGAUACUUCGUCAACUAGAUGUUAAUAACGCCUUCCUACAAGGUACUCUCACUGAGAAUGUGUAUAUGACUCAGCCACCAGGUUUCAUUGAUCAAGACUCCCCAUCACAUGUUUGUAAGCUAAAGAAAGCUAUUUAUGGCCUAAAGCAGGCUCCCCGAGCGUGGUAUCAAGAACUCAGAUCUUUUCUCCUUCAAUCUGGGUUCACAAACUCCCAUGCUGAUACAUCACUCUUUGUUCUUAAAUUCCGGGGACACCUUGUUUACUUCUUGGUCUAUGUUGAUGAUCUUAUUAUUACUGGGGAUGAUGAACACUUGGUAAAUCAGUAUAUUCAUCUGUUAGCCAACAGGUUCUCUCUUAAGGAUCUUGGCAAACUUUCUUAUUUUCUUGGAGUUGAAAUUGUUCCCAAUUCACAAGGCUUCCUGCUUUCUCAACGUCGAUACUUAAUUGAUCUUCUUGCUCGAACUCACAUGUCUGAGGCUAAACCAGUUCAAACUCCUCUUCCAUCAGGUACAAAAAUAUCAUUGCAUUCAGGGGAUAAACUAUCUGAUCCUACGGAAUUUCAAGCGGUUGUUGGAAGUCUUCAAUAUCUGAUUCUCACAAGACUUGACAUAGCAUUUGCUGUAAACAAGCUAUCUCAGUUUAUGCACACACCCACAACUGAGCACUGGACACUUGCUAAGCGUCUACUUCGUUAUCUUUGUGGUACUCCUGAUCAUAGCCUUCAGCUUUAUUGUGAUUCUCCUCUAUCCUUCCAUGCAUUUUCUGAUGCCUUACAUGCCUACUCUAAUGCUGAUUGGGCGGGCGACCCAGAUGACUUCUCUUCCACAAGUGCUUAUAUUGUUUAUCUUGGUCGCAAUCCUAUCUCUUGGAGCUCCAAAAAGCAGAAAACCAUUGCCCGUUCAUCUACCGAAGCUGAAUAUCGAUCUGUUGCAAAUACAGCUGCUAAGCUAAAUUGGGUGUCCUCCUUGCUGUGUGAUCUUGGUAUUCAGCUACCUACUUGCCCAAUCAUUUACUGUGAUAAUGUCGGGGCAACUCAGGUGUGUUCUAAUCCUGUUUUUCACUCCAGAAUGAAACAUGUUGCUAUCGACUUCCACUUCAUUCGUGAUCAAGUUCAGAAAGGCAUUCUUAGAGUUGCUCAUGUAUCCUCCACAGAUCAACUUGCUGAUCUUCUCACCAAGUCACUUCCCAGAGCUCGUUUUCUGUUUCUUCGAGACAAGAUUGGCCUCUCAUGUCGAGCUCCAUCUUAAGGGGGCAUAUCAGAUAAACACAUCCUCGAUUGACUUGUUCUCUACAGCUGUUAUAACAAACUUUAUCUUUUUGUAUAUUCUCUUUUCCAGCUUAAUAUUUCCAUGUAUAUAAGCUUAAGACUAGGCAACUCUAUUAUGAUUUUAGCUAUAUAUAUUGCAUCGAUUCCUUCAAUAAAAUAUGAGAAUUUCCAAUCUCUUAUUCUGUUACUCACCACCCUAUUAGACCCAAUCAUCCAUCUUCUUCAAACCUCUCCCCCCAAGCAUCCUUGAAAUCUGCUGGUAUCACUCACCCAACUCAAAGGCAGCUUCACAACAACAUUCAGCAACCUCAUAUACUUUUCCCUCUCAAACCUCACAAAAGUUACAAAACCCAAUAGAAGACUCACAAGAAAGCGUACAGAGGAACAAAGAGCAGAGAUAAAAGCAGAGUAAAAAAACCAGAGAAAAGCCAACAGAAAAUCAAGCAAAAGUUAAGUAUAUGAAUGCUCAUUUCAUAAAUCCUCCAUGGGCUUGAAACAGGUGUGGGAAUCCUAAAUUAGAUUCAAAGCAUUAAUGAAAAUGAUAUUUCCAGAUUGCUACACAGUGUAUAUGAAACAGAGUCACACAAACCCCAAGCCAACCCACAAGAAUAGUAGAGGAAUCAACAACAACAAAGUAUAAAAAUAAUCUAGAAAUCAACAAAGUUCAGCAUGUGACCCAUACUAUCCACACCCAAAUCAACAAGCAAAGUGUGGCCAUCUGGUAUCCACACACGCAAACAGCUAAAUAAUACCCAGCAAUACGCAGAGGAGAAUGGACAGCAAGAGGAUAACGAAGAUAGACAAGAAACAUACCUGGAAAUGCCCCUCUCCAGAAAAAAUCUGUUGGGCUUCUAGUUCCUCUCCUUCUCCCAAAAAUCUUGAAAAUCCACGAGCUAUCUCCGGUCUCCUCUUUUUCCUCAAGCUUUCCCCUCGGUUUCUCCUUUCUCCCGACUCCUCACCCUCUUUCUCUAAAACCUCCUCAAAACCACUCUACAGCUCUCCUCUCCAAACCCAGAAGAAAAAAAAAAAAAGGCCCUGAUACCUUUCAUAUUAUUUUACUUUAGCAAAUCGAGUACUCAAUUCUCCUAAUAUAUUACUAUUAAAACAUAUUAAAGUGUUUAUAUGAAAGGUAUUUUCCAUAUAAAUUGGGGACUCAAUUCUCCAUGUAAAUCCAUCUAAAAGGCAAUUUUUUACUUUACUAGUUUUAGCUUCCAAUCUCCCACCCUCGCACGCCACCAUUGCUGUCAAAGACCCAAUUUUUAAAAAACAAAUUUAAGCUUUUAAAUUAACUUCUGGUCCGACCUUUCAAGGUUGGACUCUCCCGCAUCAUUCUUUUCUUCAGACUUUAUUUUUUCCCGCUUUUUCAUAUGUUUCUCAUAUCUAAUUACGUCUAAAUUCAUUCUAAAUAUUUUCUCAUUAUUUGAAAAACAAAUUAUAAAAAAAUAUAUAAAAGUAAUAAAAUCUAAAUUUUUUCAUGUAGAAAAACUUAAUAUUAUUGUAUGGAUUUUAUAAAAAAAAUAAUAUUGAAAUUAACUUUCAACUUAUAUCAAACAACUUUUUAUGAUGAAGAACCUUACGUUUGGAGAGGAUAAAAAAAAUGGAAAAGGAUGAUUCAAAAAUAAUUAAAUGGAUUAAUAGGAUUUAUAUUUUGAGGUGGAUAUGUAGAGAGUUUUAUUAUAUGCAUGGUGCCCUUAUUUUUAAGUAUUCUGGCCUACCACAUUAAAACCCAAAAUAAUUCUCACCAAGUUCCCAAAAAACAAUGACCCCUAAAAGUUGCCUUACACCUCUCAUUAUUAUUAAUUUUUUCUUUUUAAAUCUUUUCAACUCUACAAACUCUCAUUUUUAACAUGCACUUUUUUAUUUAUUUAUUUUUUCUACUUUAGAACUCACUCAUCUUCCUAAAUACAAAAAUUCUUUAUAUUUACACAACAAUUUAACUUCAACAUCUUUUUUUUUAAGAAUGCUUUUUCAUAUAAUAUUCCUUACUAACAAAAACUAAUUCUAAUUAAAUGACUUUAAUUUGAUAUAUAUAUAUAUAUAUAUAUAUAUAUAUAUAUAUAUAUAUAUAUAUAUAAAUAUUAAGAUAUAUACUCCUAUAAACUUACACUUUAACCACUUGAGUCCAACAAGUAUUUGAUUUAAAAAAUUUAUAGUUCUUAAAGAUAUUUAAAAAGCAUCAAAUGGUAAUAAAUAAGAACUAGAGAAAAAAACUAUUCAAAUAAAGAGAUUUUAUCUAUAAUACAAAGAAAAAUCCAAAAUAGAAACGUGAGAAAAAAAUUAUCAUUGACUCUUGACUCUUGCCAAACCAAUCUCACUAUUAUCCAAUGUUAAAUUGUCAGAUAAAUGGGAAUUGAAAGUAUAUAAAAGAAUCAUUGACUCUACUUAACCCAUUAUCUUAAAAGUAUUGUCGCUCCCUCUUUUUAUGAAGUUUCUUAAAAUUUUCAAACUUCUUUAUCAUAUCAAGUAUAAAAGAUAAUCAUUGACUCUACGUAGCUCAUUAUCUUAAAAGUGUUGUCAUUCCCCUCCUUUCAUAAAGCUUCCUAAAAAUUUCAAGUUUCUUUUUUAUAUAAAGUAUAGAACAAAAUUAUUGACUCGGCAUAGCCCAUUAUCUUAAAAAUAUUGUCUCUCCUUUUUUAAAGGUUAUUGUCUUUGUAGUCAUUUACAUGUUUUUCAAGAAAAAUAAAGUUAUUUUGUCCCUAAAGAACUAUAGAAAUAAAAUUCUAUUAAGAAUUUUAAAAUAUAAAAAUAAAUUUUUUUAAAUAAGAGUAUUUUAAAUAAUUUUUUUUUCAUAUUUUCUAAAAUUAAAUACCCAAUUUUUAAUUAUUUGAAAAAGAUGAAGACGCUCCAAAAAAGAAAAACAAUGUUUUGCAUCAAUUAGAUAACUUUUAAUUAAAAAUAAUCUAAAUCCUUCUUAAUCCACUUGUGGUUAACAUUCCAUUAAAAUUAUACCAAAUUUAUUUAAAUCUAAUUGCAUUUAUUUAUUUAAAAUUAUUCAAAGCAUCUCAAUACAUUAUUCAUUUUUUUUUGAAAAAUUUUUGUAUCACUUUUCUAGAAAAUAAUUAUUAACAUAUAUUGAUUUUCUUAUAAAUAAUUUUCAUUAAAUUUUAAAACUUGUAUUUACUUAAACUUUAAAUGUGUUUGUAUGCUUGUGUUGUUGUUGUUGCCUUUGUUUUUUUUUUAAUCAAAUAAGUUCAUUUAUAAUAUGGGAAUGCAUACUUGAACUCAAUAUUUUAUUUAGUUCCUUUUUUUAACUUUAUUUUAGUAAAUGCAUCCUUGAUCAACAAUUUGAUGAUUUUUUUAAAAAUCAAAUAGUGGAGAUAAAAUUUUGAUGAUUAAAAAACAAUCCACUUGCUACAUCACUUAUGUGAAAUAUUGAUUUAUUAUUUGAAGUAUUUUGGCAUUACAUUCAAUUCAUCACAAUAAGAUUAUUUUUCACUCAAUAAUUUAUGUAGAACAAUAAAUAAAUUAAGGAGCACUUUAUCAAAAACUGGUUUAAAUAGAAAAAUAUAAGUUGGAUAUUCAUUUUAAUUAAAAAUAAAAUUGUAGUUUGAUUUAACUAGAAAAUUAUUUUUUUGCUAAUUAAUUUAAUUUUAAUUUGUAAUUCAUGUUAACAGGGAAAAGAAGAUAGUUUUUGUAUCUUUUUAAUAAUAAAAAAAUGAUGAUUUUGGUUGUAGUUUGUCAAUUUAUUUUAAUUUGUAAAAAGGAAAUAUUAUUCUAUUAGUUAAAUCAAGUUUGAUAUGAAAAUUUAAUUUUAUGAAUAUAAUUAUAAUUGUUAAAGUAAGCUUGUAGGUACAAAUUUUAAAAAUCUUGUAAAAAAUAAACAAAAAGAUACGAAACUAUGCAAACAAAUAUGUAUUAGAACUUUUGUAGGGUACAAUUCUUUGGAGAAAUACUCAUUAUAAAAAAAAAUAUUUUUCUUUUAUUCUAUCACUUUGAUCACAAUCCAAUGGAUAACAUAUUUUUACUUGCAUUUGCUUUUAUACUAGGUUUUAUGUCAUGUGCUCAUGUGAACAACUCUUCAAAAGUGUAGAGUCGCUUGCCUUGGAGGAUAUAUAGAAGCUCUUAAUGCAUACCCUAUAUGCUCAUCUUUCUAUUGCUUGAUAUUUGUGAACUCCAUUAUGCUUAUCGUUGGUUAGAAAAAGUAAUUGUCUUUGUACUUCAUUUUAUCCCAACUAUUAAUAGACUCAUACUUAAGAUUCAUGUACCAAUCAAAAGCACACAUUUGGAGGGAAUGCAUAAAUUGUUUAACUAAGAGGUCACCCUCGUGAUAGCAUUGUUGCAAGUUUGGAUGAAUUAGGCAUUGCAUUGCUUUGGAAUUCCUUUUCCAUCAAAUUAUUAAAAAUUUAGAGGUUAAUAACUCAUAAGUAUUUGUAAGUUAUUAAUCCUGAUAGUCUUCCAUACUAUGUUCUCUAUGACAUUAGGUAUCAUGUUUUAAAUCAUUUAUUUUUAUUAGAAAACUAUUAAUUUUUUACUGAUAAUAAUUUUAAUUUGGUUUUAAGUUAUUUCUCGAUUAUAUAUAGAUAUAUGCACAUGCACAAGGUUUUUUUUUUUUUAAUAUUUAUUAUUUGAAUUUUAUUUUAUUCAUGAUAUUUUUAGAAUAUUAUUUGUUGAAAUUAAUUGCUAUGUUGUUAUUCUUCCAAAAAUAAUUAUUUUUUUGCUUAAAAACUAAGUUUCUUCCUACACUAAAUUCGCUACUUUAAAUUAAUAAAAUCAUUUCCUAUUUUCUGGUUUCUUUUAUUUAUUUAUUUUAGAUUAUAAUAUUUAUCAAUAAUAAGAUUUGUCUAUAAAAUAUUAAAAAAAUAAAUAUAUCAUUAAUUCUAAGUAUAUCAAUUCAUCCUCUCAUUGUUUAACUUAUUAUUUUUUUUUUGUAUUUAUAUUUUAAUUUAAGCUUUAUGUUUAUUUUUAAUAGAUAUAUUUUUAUUUUAAAAAAAUAUAAAUAUUAUUUUUAUUAAGGAGAAUAUUUUUUUUUUAUCCAAAAUGGAUAUUUUGUUGGUUGAAAAAAAGUGAAUGAUUAGUUUUAAAAAAUGGGAUGCUUUCAUUUUUUUUUAUUGAGAACUGUGCCAACAGAUUUCGAGUCUUUUUAAAAAGGAAGAAACAACUAUGAGGAAAGGGUUGAUGGGUCCCUAGGAUUAUAAAAAGCUUCCGACCCACAAGUUGCGUACAAAUUUAAUAAGAAAUCACUUUUGCUUUUGGGAAAGUUAUGUUUUCAUGGACCAAUAUGGUAAUAAUAUUGUUUUUGGAACCCAGGUUUGUGAAAGUUAAAAAACAUCUGUUAAUGUGGAAACUUAUAUCAGAUUCAUGCACUCUGAGUCGGCUGUGUUUUUUCUACCGAGCUUGCCCCUCUAGGUAUCCACGUCAGCAACCCAUCUCAGCACGGGCUGAAACUAAACCAGUUUUCUUUUGCAAAAUCAAAUACAAAAAACACCGUAGGCGACUGACCGUUGUUCCUCCCUCUGUCUCAUUUGGUACCCAUUCCUCUCAUCUUUCUACACUCUGUCACAGAGGCAAAGCAGAGGUUCCCACAAGAAAACCCUAGCGUUCAGCCGUUCUUUCUUCCCUCUCUCUCAUUUUGGCAGCCAUUCCUCUCAUCUGUCUUCACUUCGUCACCAAGGCGAAGCAGAGAAUCUUGUAUAUUUUUCAACAAUUUCUCUCAUUUAAUUUCUGAAGCCUUUAAUCCCAAACUCCAAUCUAGUUUUCUAUCUUCAGCCCCUUCUCCUCUCAAAGUCCUAACCAUUUGGACCCGAUCAUCCCAAUUUCGUCACCCCUCUGGAACGAAGAAGGUGUGAAAAUUUGCAAAAUUUCACACAUUUGAAAGUAUAAACCUUUACUUGAAAACCUGAAUCGAAAUUUUUGUUGCUUGUGGUAAUUGUGAAGAACCAAAUGGAGCACUUCAUUGAAACAAGGUCGAGUUAAGAAGACGGCUUGAGGAGGGUACGUGUUGACUCAAAAUCUGGUUUAGGAUAGCGAACCGGAAUGGAAACGACAACUCUGAUAUAUUGGGUUCAUGAAGAAGAAAUCUCGUGUUCUUCUCAUUGGAUCACAUUUUUCUGUAACCUUCACAUCAAAUGUGAAGGUAAUUAAUUUGUAUUUAGGGUUGUUUUUUUAAUAUUUUUUUUGUUUAAAAUGGAGCAGAAGAGUGAUUUUGGAGUGGUUGUUGUAUUUGCAAUUUUUCCUCCAUUGGUGAGGGCAUAGGUUGAGGCGAAUGUCGAUUUUGGAUCGCAUGAGCGGCUGUUCGAUCUCAAUAUUUUUGUGUAUUGGAGACUCAUGAAAUGGAAAAAUGUUGUGGACAUAUUUAGAAAUUGGGUGGAAAACUUGUGUAUUUAUUCAGAUUUUUAUACUGAUGGUAAUAAUUGAUGAAUAUAAUUAGGCAAUAUCAUAUAUUGGCGAAAAACUUGAUAAUUCAAUCAAAUAUGUUGAGAAUAAUAAUAAUAAUAAUAAUAAUAAUUAAAACUAAAAUGCAUAAAUUAUGUGUUGGUUAGUAGAAAUUGUUGGUAGUGUUUGUGAAUUUGUAAUGUUUGUUGGAAUUUGUAGUGUACAUCUUUUGUCAACGAAGCCAGAAUUGUUUCAUCGCAUCAGGUACUACCUUAAUGCAAAACAUGUACUACCUUAAUGGUCUUGAGGUACUACAUUAAUGUACAUUAGGUACUAUCUUAGUGCAUAUUUGAGAAAUGUUGUUGUUGUGUGACUUAAGACACAAUUAGUUCAUUUCAUUACACAUUGCAGCAUGACAUUGUUAUGUUCUCAUAGGUUACUCCAUCGGUGGCGUAUGUAAUCAUAACAAAUUUCAUGUACUACCUUAAUGCAUCUCAGGUACUACCUUAAUAGUCCUGAGGUACUACAUUAAUGUACAUCCGGUACUACCUUAAUGCACCUGCGAGAAAUGUAGCUCUUCUAUGACUUCAGACACAAUUAGUUCAUUUUAUUACCUAUUGUAGCAUGACGUUGUUAUGUUGUCAUAGGCGACUCCAUCGGUAGCUUAUGUAAUCAUAAGAAAUUUCAAGUACCACCUUAAUGCACAUAAGGUACUACCUUAAUGGUCUUCAGGUACUACCUUAAUGUACCUCAGGUACUACCUUAACGUACUUGCGAGAAAUGUAGCUAUUCUGUGACUUCAGAUUUUUAUUAGUUCAUUUCAUUACCUAUUGUAGCAUGACGUUGUUAUGUUGUCAUAGGCGACUCCAUCGGUAGCUUAUGUAAUCAUAAGAAAUUUCAGGUACUACCUUAAUGCAAUUAAGGUACUACCGUAAUGGUCUUCAAGUACUACCUUAAUGUACCACAGGUACUACCUUAACGCACCUGCGAGAAAUGUAGCUAUUCUGUGACUUCAGAUUUUUAUUAGUUCAUUUCAUUACCUAUUGUAGCAUGACGUUGUUAUGUUGUCAUAGGUGACUCCAUCGACCUGAUGUAAUCAUAAGAAAUUUCAGGUACUACCUUAAUGCACAUAAGGUACUACCUUAAUGGUCUUCAGGUACUACCUUAAUGUACCUCAGGUACUACCUUAACGCACCUGCGAGAAAUGUAGCCAUUCUGUGGCUUUAGAUUUUUAUUAGUUAAUUUCAUUACCUAUUGCAGCAUGACAGUACCUUAAACCAUAUUCGAUAAAUUUUGCUCUCCCGACAAUUUUUCACUCUCAGUAUUUAUUUAAUCAUACUGUUGUUUUCUCAUUUUUCUGGUUAUGUCAAGUUACGAUGGUUUUGGUUGGAUACGGAAGGUGAUCAUGCGAAGCAAAUAUUUAUUGGUUUUCUACCACAUUUAUUUUUUCUAUAACAACCUGUACAUGGUUUGAAGCACAAAAUUAGCAAAAUGCACAAUCAUUUAGGAACCUUGAGUAGCCUUUGCCAAUGAGGAUGCGCAAUAGUCCUGAACCCUGGUAGAUCAGGAUUUGAAGGGCGCCAUUGCAAACUAUUGGUAUACCAGCAAACUGUUUCUAAUGUAGUAAAUCAAACCAAACAAACCUCCCAACUUACCAAUAACAUUAACAGAAGAUGCUAUGUAAAAGCUUACACAAUAACUAAAUAUGAAAGAAAAGCCGUCAAACAAUUUACUAAUGUGAGUAUAGAAGGAUAAACUGAAACUGCAUCAGUGUACAAACAAAUAGGUUCCAGUCUAUGUUUGUUGUUCUCUUAUGAAAUUAGUACCAUACCCCAUAAUAAACCUAUCACUUUGGAUCACAUCUUACAAUCACAGUUGUUGUCCAAUCAGUCGCCAAUACAACACUGACCAACACCCUUAACUAUAAUAAAAGAACAAAUACUGAGUGUUGUCUAUGUUCCUACUCCUUUCCUUUACAAUAUUGAAGGAAAAAUGAACAGCCCUAUUACAUUGCUGUUACUGCAUCCCAUAUGCUCCAGCAGCAGCAUUACCAGGUACUCUUCCUUUCCCUUACACGUUGGCCAUUCUUGUACAUAAAGUCCUCAUAUUCAGCAUAACCCAACUGCCACUGUUACAAUGGGAUGUGGAAUACUUCAUCAGAUACAUCACAUAUAGAACAUAAAUAAUGGUUUUACAAUUGGAACAAAUCACAUCAGCACACAACAUGAUAUGAAUUAAUAAAUUUUGGACAAACUACAAUCAACCCUUGGUCAUUUCGGUACGUAGCAGCAGAUAGGAAGAAACUUAUCAUGAACUAUGAAGUCACAAAUGACAUGCGGCCAUAAUUGUAUCUCUGACACUAUUGCGUUCAUUGAGCACUAGUUGCAACACUAGCUGGAGUCUGUACAUGUUCGUCUUGUCCUACGGAAAUGGGAAAAAAUUAUUCCAUGCGGUUGGGAAAAAAACAAAGAAAAAUAGUCUAAGUUUGACAGUGUAAACCAACUCUAACCUCUGCCACUGAAGUAGUUAAGGUCGCCCCAUUCCAAAAUUCCAUGAACUUUAGAACGAGGACACCACAAUCGGACCUAUAACACAUCAGAAAUGUGUUAGAUGAUAGAAAUCUGAUAAAUCAAAUUAUUUAGAAAUGUUUGUUUUUGUUGGAAUAUCUGAAUACUUUACCCAUUCAGCUGUUGGAGAAGGUGUGGUUGGACAUGCACAAAACUUGAGACAUCCGCAUCCAUAUGGAUUCUAUAUGCAUGCAGUGCUUUGUGGAGUGCCAUUGAUAAUCGUCGUGUUGCAGCACUGAUGUUGUUGCCCCGCCAUAGGGGCAAUGACGAAAGUAUCUCAACUCUUCCAGCUGCAAAAUUAACAACAUGCACGUGCCAGUGAUUAUUCUCGCAAACCGAGAUGAACAUCUGCAUAACAAUUCAAGAGUUAUUAGCUUUUAUGUCAUUACUUUAUAGUCAUUCCCAAUACCCUUGCAUUUAUUACUAUGGAAUUGAACUUUAGCUAUGUUCAUUUACCAUGUCACAUGAACUAAGAUCAUGGCCCAAUGUGUCAGGAUCCAGAUACAUAGCGCAUCUUUCCAGGAUGACUUGCGUGGUUGCAUUAGAUUUGAGGUUGCUCAAAACAACCUGUUCAAGGGUGAGGUGAAUCAAUACAAACAUCAACAUCUACUCUUCUAGUUUCAGACCAAGUGAAUUUAGGAUAUUAGAGGGCUCACCGAGAACGAAGGCUUAAAAAAGUGUGUGUGAGCUGGUGGUGCUUGCUGUCCAUUCAUCAUGCGAGAGACAAUCGCAACAAUCUGCCAAAGUUGUGUAAAAUAACAUAUUUUACAACCUCCAUCAACACUUUAUCGAUUCAUAUGAUUUAUUAAUUGUGAAUUUAGUAAGGCUUAAGGAUAAGUAACCUACCAUUGAAUUAACCCACCGCCCUGCAUUUAGACAAGAAAGUUCCUCCCGUCUAAUGUACAUCUCAUACAUGUCGCACAAAAUCUCACUACAAUGACAUGAAAGUAAAUUUGUCAUUAUGAUGUAGAGUUAUUGACCUAUAAAAUGAUUAUAAGAAUGAGUUUUAGAAAUCUUAAGUGUACCUAGGAUCACCCAUUUCAGCCAAAGCAUAAUCUGCUACUACCCGAUCUACAUGAGGUAUUUUUGGGAAUUGUUUAACACAUUGGGUGACAAACGGACUUUUGAAAGCGGGAGGACGCUUGACAAUCCUCUUAGCGGUCCGCUUAUAUCUCUUCAUCGAUGAAGGUUUAGGGGCUUGGCUGCCACUCCCACCUGCGCCUACACCUUCUUCCGCAUCCUCUACUAUCACUUCAGUUGGAAGAGAUGCCUCUGCCUGAGACUGUGGGACCAGUGGCUCGGAAUAAGUGGGAGCUAGUGAUGGUCCCAUUCCAACUGACGAAUGGGGGGUUGGUACGAGGUUGUCUUCUAGUUCAAUUUCCUCAGCUGAUGGCUACCUCACUGGUGUUGGCCGCAUUGGUUGAUCUUUAGUGUGGUGCUCUGUUGAUGGGCAAGGGAUGGAAGAAUUCCCCUCUGAUCCACCGGGCCGGCAACAUAAUGCACCCACAUCCCGCACCAAAGACAAAGCUAAUCUAAGCAUAGUCUCUGAUGUCUCACUGAUGCGGGCUUUAAUAACCUGUUAUAAAGUGGAACAACAAAUAUUAUAAGCAUAGUAUUGUAUGGAGUCUGUAUGGAACAACAUGUAUGAGUGGUUAGUGGCUAUGCAAUACCUCUGUAGCAUCAUCACCGGCUGUGGAGGUCGAGGCUACUGAUGGUAGCAAUAUGUGAGGUGUGCUUUGUGGCUGCUCCUGUGCCUGCACAAUGCACCAUCAGUUGAAUUAGAGAAGCAACAAAUUGGGACUGACUUGAAUAAGCUACUAUGGUCAUUUAACUAAUACGAAAAGCUAUGUUCAUUUAUAGCAUACAUCCACAUGCCCAUAUCCACCGAAAGUUGAUAUUUCAGCCACUAAGCGGCGCUUUAUGACAUCGUCACUCCAUGCGGCAGCAAGCGGCCGGGUCACCUCAACAAUAACUGAUGGCAUAUAGAAGAAUGCCAUAUAAAAGAGCUGUACAAGGGUAGUAUACGAAACAAUAAGCAUUAAAUUAUGGAAUUGCAAUAACGAUGAGUUUUAAAAUAAAAUGUAAACAAAGUUGGUAUUCAGGAGUAGAUCGAAUGACAUCAUCAAUGACCAACGAUGCACAAGUGGAUCUCACUAAAGGCUGAGACAAGACAACAUCUUCCAAGCAAUGGUUAUGCACAUUUCGGAAUGUGUGUACUUGAACAAUGUUUGAAUCCCCUAUUGCACGCGCAGUGAUUUUCCAAGGACAAUCUUCAAUUGUGCAUACUACGGUCGUGUGUUUUGGACUAUUCCUUUUGUAAGAAUAUCAAAAUUUUCUAGCCAAAGACAUCAAAUAGAUUGCAUCUCGAAACUCCGACGCAUUUGGGAAGGUAUGUCCACUACCUACAAUUGAAUGUUCGAACUGGCUUGGUUGAAGUUGAACAGUAUUUGUCAUAGCACAUCUUUGGGAAAACCCAAAUGACUUAAUUGUGGGCGACUCAUUAGAGAUGUGUAAUGGGGGCUCGCCAAUAGAGGAAACAUGAGCUGAGUUUGAAGUAACAAUGGGGGUUGGGCCACUACAAAAAACGUAAGGAAAGAAUUUGAUCCUCCAUCAAUCUAAGUGUGAAAAGCGAUUAUACAAAAGGGAACAUUAUUGUGGAAGGACAUUAGGUACCUAGUAGGGCAAAUGAGGUCAUCACCACAUUCAGUACACUAGGAGAUGUAGACAUGACAAAACAUGUCGUUGAAUUUGAACAUAUUGACUAUGUCGCCAUCAUUAUGCAGUGGCAAUAGACAUGAUGGGUCAAACUUGACUAUGAAUUCCAAUUUAAUGGAAUUGGAAUCCAAGUUCAGUUCAAUUGGACAUACAAAUUGUGAGAUAUUCUUGCUAACAACACUGCAAUUGGUCCGACCUCCCUUGUAUUCAACGGACCCAACAGCAGUCUUAACAAGCUCACCACUUUCAUGAAUGUAACAAAACAUCUCCUCUUCCAUUUCCUUAUUGACAUAAAGAUUUGUUAAAAACAAUACAACAACGAAAGAUUAAGGAAUUAUGCAUGUUGAUUCCAUAGACUUUAAGGUUCAAACAUUCUAAUUGGCUGAUGCACACAAUUAAGGUUCAAACAUGCUAAUUGGCCGAUGCACACAAGUAGUGUGCAAGUCCAACUACGGUAGUACCUAAGGAUAUCUAACCUAGUACUUAAAGAUUACUAAGGUUAGACCUAAGGUUAAUUAAGAUAGUACCUAUGGUACAGUCUCAAGUAAAGGUAAGGGGAACCAAAUGAGCAGAGUAGUCAAACACAUAAUGUCAUGAUAGCUUGUAUGUGGAAGUGAAUACAAUUUAAUUUAUGCAUGACUUGAAAACAGCCUGUAGGUCCUAUGUUUGACAAACUGAACCCCAUUGGGUUAACAAUAAAGACAACUUUUAUUCACAUAUGAAUUAUUUAAAUAUUAAAAAAUGAAGUUUCCAGUCAUCACACAGCUUGUACCCAAGGUUGGCUCAGGUAGUACUUGAUGUUGACUAAUGCAGUACAUACAGUCGAUUAAGGUCGUACAUUCAGGAAUAAUGAGGUAGUACAUAUGCUUAACUUACCAGUACAAUAAGGUUAACCAAUUGAUCACCAAAACAAACAAUAUAUAGAUAAAAAUGCAUUUCAUCCAUUCUGACCAGCAUUCCCUAUUUUCUAUUUAUGUUAUGAAGGGAAUUAAACCAAUGCAUGGAUACCAAUAGUUCCUAUAUAGCCUUUCCUAUUACCAUCUUCUAAAACGGAUCUCUGAAUCAAUAUCAAUUACUAAUCAACAAGAACAUUAACAUAUAGUAACCAUACAUAUGUUACUAUAUGUUUGAAGAAAUGAGACGUGAUUUGAAACUAUACAUAUAAAACAAAAACAAAAAAACACAACGAAAACUUUAGCACCCAUCAACCAUCAAUAUCACAAAAACCCAAAAAACUGAGUAAUUUGGAACAACUUUCCUAUCUAAAAAUCACCAUUUCUUAAGAACUUUUUUCGCUCUCAAAAUGAAAACUUCAUCCCGAAAAAAUGUUCCCUUUUGGUCAUCCACUGCAUAGCUCAAUCCAAAAACACAAUCCAAUAAAUGGGUUUCACUAAAAAUGCAUUGUUUCCCAAUACCCAAAAACACCACUGGGAAAAAAAAAUUCCUUUUUCACUAAUCAAUUCAAAAUAUGUUUUUCUCAGUUCUAAACCAAAACCAAAACAAAUGCCUUUUUCAACGAAACAAUUCCCAACCCAUAUUCUUGCCUUCACUUUAUAUCAAAACAACAGAGUUGCGAUAAUUUGUCAAUCCAAAUAAAACAGUAUAAAAUCAGAUUUGAAAAAGACGAUGAUGAUUCAUUACCAACAGAUUUAAAAUUUCAGUACCAACUCCUAAAUGCCAACAUUUGAGCCACGCCUGGUUCAGAAAAAACCCACACAAACAGCAGAUUUUCAUGAAUGAGAAUGCGAAUGCAAAACACGGAACGAAUGGCUUACCUCGACAGAGAAAAUCUAAGAUGUGACAAAUCGGAUUAAGGCCUUCUCAACUGAAAUCUGCUUCGCCUCGGUGACGAAGUGAAGAAAUAUGAGAGGAAUGGGUAUCAAAUGAGAGAGAGGGAAGAAAGAACCCUCGACUACACUAUUUUUAUGGGACUUUCUGCUUCGCCUUGGUGACUGAGUGAAGACAGAUGAGAGGAAUGGGUGCCAAAAUGAGAGAGAGUGAAGAAAGAACGGUCGAUCGACUAGGGUUUUCUUGUAGAAACCUCUGCUUCGCCUUGGUGACGGACUGUAGAAAGAUGAGAGGAAUGGGUACCAAAUGAGAGAAAGGGAGGAUGAACGGUCGGUCGCCCAGGGUGUUUUUGUGGGAAGCUCAAUAUUUGAUUUUGCACAAGACAACCGGUUCAGUUUCAGCCCGUGUUGAGAUGGGCUACUGACGUGGAUACCUGGAGGGGCAAUUUUGGUAGAAAAAACACAGCCGGCUCAGAGUGCAUGAAUCUGAUAUAAGUUUCCACAUUAACAGAUGUUUUUCAACUUUCACAAACCUGGGUUCCAAAAACAAUAUUAUUACCAUAUUGGCCCAUGAAAACACAACUUUCCCUCUGCUUUUUAGCGCCUUGAAAUAGGAUGAAAUCACUCGAUUGCGAUCAAUAUUCUAAUUUUGCAUUAAAUAAAAGGAUAAUAGUUUAGUAAAUAUAUAAAUAAAAUAAUAAUAAUAACAAAACUCAUUCCUAUAAAUAUUAGAAAAAAAUAUAUAAAAGAUAAUAGUAAAAUAAGAGAGUAUGAAUAAAGCCAAGGAAAAUAAAAAACAUAAAAAAAAAGAAAAGAAAAAAAUCAUUAUGUCAAUAGAGAGAGAGUUGUUCUUAACUUUCCACAUCACUUUUAGGAAGGUAACCCAUAACCACAUGUCUCAACUUUUUAUAUUGUAAUAUAUUUUUUAUAUUAUAAUUCUAAUAGGCUUAUAAAGUUUUUAUUCACGUUAUUUAUUUUAUUUAUUAGAUUGAUGAUUUGAAAAUGAACAAAAAAUAAAUAUUUCAGAUUGAAAAUCAAUAAAUCCUUUUGAAGAAAUCUCCCAGUUAAAUCUGGAGGAGUCACAGCAGUCUCACUUAAAAUCCAGAUAACUAUGACAGAGCUUCUAAAAAGUACUUAGACUUUCAAGAAGAAGAUGAAAGAGAAGAUGAAUAUGAUGCACACUCAAAACAAUUACAUAGUGAAUUUGAAAUUUGAAAUUUCAUUCAAACUAAGAACAUAUACAAGAAUUUUGAAAUUUAAAACUUACAAUCUUUGAAGCAAGCUUUAAAUAAAACUUUGAGCUUCUCAAUACAAGGCUUUCAGAGGAAAUCUCACAAGCUUCUCUCAUUAGAAUUCUCUCUUAAAAAUUGUUAAUGCCUUACAAAUGAGAAGUGGAGUCCUUAUAUAGACUCUUUGAAACAGAAUUGAAACCCUUUGAAAUUCGCGGAUUUGAAAUCUUUUCUAAUCCACCGAGAGUUUGUUGUCUCUUUGUACAGCUGUCUUGACUUUUGAAAGGCGGUUUCGGUGCCCACUGAAAUGAUCCAUAGUUUUGAAAAGCGAUUUGAACUGUGGAUUUGAGCUAUUUAGCAACAUGUCGUUGUAGGAGACUUCUGUCAUGCUGCUAUCAUCAUUGUCAUCUGUUUUGAAAGUGAGCAAUCCCAUUCCUUUGGAUUGGAGAUGCUUGAGCAGACGAUGAUCUUUUGAAAAACUGGGACAAGAGUAUCCCAAAAAUUGAUGGGCACAUAAGUCAUGCACAACAUCUCUUAAAGGAACUUUGACGGGCAAGCCAAUCUGGCGCUUUUGCAGAGUUUUGAAAAUGGAACCAUUUGAUGAAGUCUUGGAUGCAUCAACCCAAGGGUGUGUAUGGAUAUCCACGACACAUGUCUUCAUUGACAUCUCUUAAAAAGGUAGAAGAUGCAGUAUCAUCAUUAUCAGAACCAGAACUAGAGUACUGGGAUAAGGUUUCUGAAGCUUUCUUUUUGAGAAGUUUGAGAUGCUUAAUGAACUCCUUAUCAAAAGGAAAAGCAGUUCGAGAAAGAAGCAAAGCAUCCAUUGGGACUGGAGCAAGAAUUUUUGAACUAGAGGGAUUUGAAGAAACAUUUUUUCCUGAGAUCCACUGACGGGUAGCAGGAAUUUGCUAAGAAUUUGAGGCGGUAAAGCUUGACCACCAUUUGAUUUUAAAUUUCCUGGCCAAAUGCGCAGGAAAAGGAGCAGGAAUCAUAUGUAGGAGAACAAAGUCCCAGCAGAGAAUCCAAGGGAUUUGAAACUUUGAAAGGAAGAACAUUACUCUUGAACAUGAAGCCGGAAGAAGAUGACUACCAUGUUCAACAAAGUAAUUGAAACCUUCCUUAAUUUGAGGACAAAGGAUGUCCUGAGUGGCACCAAAGAAUAACCACCAUUCUUGGAACCAAUUUGGAAAAUCAUUUUGAUUUUUAAUUUCAUCCCCCCAAUGGAAAAACCAUGAGUGAUCAAAGGGACAAAAAUAAAAGGUAAAAUACCAAACGUCCAUAUAAUCAUAAUAAUCAUAUGACUUUGGUUUGGAGUUUUCUGAAAACAUUUUAUGAGUAUCAGGAGACUGACCCCACAUUUUGUGAGUAAGCACUUUGAAAAUUUUAUAUUUUGAAUAACAAAUAUCUGUAGAACUUUCAUUCUGAAAGUGGGAAAUUUCUAUAGAAUCUGUGUCAACUAGAAUAAAGUCAUAAAACUUUCAAGUUUUAUCUAGAUGGUUUUGCAGAAAAUAUUUGUUCUUUUAACAAGUUUUUAUUCACGUUAUUUAUUUUAUUUAUUAGAUUGAUUUUCAUGUAAAAAUUUAUUUUAUUUAAGAAAAACAAUAAUUUUGUUGGUUUAAAAAAAUAUAUAUGAUCUCUCUUAAAUCAUUCAUGAAAUGAAUUAAUUUUUUAAUGAUUAAAUUAUUUUUUAAUUAUAUAUGGAUAUAUGUAUAUAAAAAAAUUUAUUUUUUAAUAUUUAAUAUAUUUAAAUUUUAUUUUAGUAAUCAUCUCUUCAAAAUAUUAUCAAAAUUUUUGUUGGAAUUAAUUGCUAUUUUGUUAUUCUUCCUUUUUCCAAAAAUAAAACUAUUUUUUUUCUUAAAAAAAAAUAAAGCUCCCAAAAAAAAUCAUUUCCUUUUAUUAUAGUUUACUUUUAUUUAUUUAUUUAUAAUAAAUUAUAAUAUUCAUGGAUAGCAAGAUUUAUCUAUUGUUUACUUUAAUUUUUUAUUAAUAUUUUUUAUGUCCUUAAAGAAAAAAAAAGGGAGAAUUAUCUUUUGGGGGUAGAUGGACCCCCAAAUUAACAAAAGGUCCAUAUAACUCUUCAAAUUGAGUUGAAGGAUAUGAAAUAGUAACGGACAAAUAUACCCUUUAAGAACACAUAUAAAAUUGUAGACCCCUCUUUUAGGCUUGGUUUUCAUAUAUAUAUUCUCAUUUAAUUUAUUUUGGGGUCUUUUCCCGCCACUUUAAGGAUCACCUGGAGGAGGACAUUGGGAGUGGGAGGGGACCGGCUUCAAGAUAGCGAGCUGCUGAAGACGCGUGGUAGAGGACGUGACUAGAGCCAUGGCGGUAGUUGGGACGCCAGGGAGGCUGAGGUGGUGAACAACACAGUAGGUGCUGGUUUUCCGGGGUGAGAGAAGAAAAAUGGGGGAGGGGGGGGGGGGGGGGGGAAGCUGAAUGGGAGGAGAGGCAUAGGCAGAGUCGCGGGGAGCAGGGAAAGAGCUUGUUAGUUCGAUCCAAGUAUGAUUUCCGCACUAUUUUGUACAUUCUCAAGAGAUCUAUCCUGUUUCUUGAUAGUUUUUGGGUUUUAUUUGUUGGUUUGCUGUGGACAUCAAGAGCCACAAGAUGGUUUUGGGUUGAAUGUGAUUAUCUGCCCAUAUAUGCUCUGUUUUGGUCCUCUUUGCUGCUCUCGUUUUUUUUUCCCUUGUAAAUGGCCCAUGUGCAUGGAGAAAAGUUUAACUUAUCCAAGCACAGGCUUCAUGUUCUCAUGAUGAAUAACACGGUUACCACAUGCCUACGCUUUCUUCACUAUUCGCGUCAGCCAUACCCAUUUCCUCACUCAAGCUUGCAGGAAUCAAGCAUCCUCCACCACACCCAUUUUCCUCUCAUUCAUUCUCCAUCCCACUCCCUCACUUACAUGGAGUCUCACGGGUGCAUGCUAUCCUUCACUCCUUCACAUACCCAUUAAAACCACUCACCCAAGCCUCCAUAUCCAUACAACCCAUACCCAUCCUUCAUGCUACUCAUAACCAUGUUCUACCAUACCCAUGUGUACACCCAUUUAACCAUACCACCAAACCCGUUUCUCUCUCUAAACCUUCACCUACCUGUGGGAUCCUCCCUAAAAAAUGCCACGUGGCUCUCUCUCCCUUGCACACGCAGACGAUCCCCCUUGCGACGCGCGACAUAGCUCAUUCCACCCGAGGAAGAAUUCUGUCCGCCCGACGUUCAACCUUCUCCGGAUAUCUCACAUCCGGAAUUCUGUCCGGCCGACAUUCCAUCUUCUCCGGAUAUCUCACAUCCGGAAUUCUGUUCGGCCGACGUUCCACCUUCUCCGGAUAUCUCACAUCCGGAAUUCUGUCCGGCCGACGUUCCACAUUCUCUGGAUAUCUCACAUCCGGAAUUCUGUUCGCCCGACAUUCAACCUUCUCCGAAUAUCUCACAUCCGGAAUUCUGUCCGCCCCACGUUCAACUUUCUCCGGAUAUCUCACAUCCGGAAUUCUGUUCGGUCGACGUUCCACUUUCUCCGGAUAUCUCAUAUCCGGAAUUCUGUCCGGCCGAUGUUCCACCUUCUCCGGAUGGGAGAGAAAGACGAUUCAACUUCCCUGGUCAAACAUGUCCGAAUCCUCUUAUAGCGCUUACCCGGAAGGCAUUCGCAGCCGACAAUUCAGAUUCCCGGGACAGCUUGGCUCGUCAGACACUCGCGAUUUGCCGGAUCCAUUUUCGCCCACAAUCAAAAGGCAAACUCCGAUAAUACUGACGACCAAGUCUCCUGAACUGUCACUCAUCUUUAAUGCAAGAUAGAUUGGGCUUUGGUGGAGGCCCCACACGCGUGAUUUUAUGAUCGAUUGGUGGAUUGAUUGAUUUGAUUGCUAUAUGUGAUUGAUUUACACUAUUCUAUGAUACACAUACAAUUAUUUUGUGUUGAAUUGCUAACAUUUGUUUUCAUUGAAGUAAACCAGUUCAUCACUCAGGUACAUUAUUUACCUCUCCUAUUCAUUCAAUUAUUUUGUUUUGAGUGAUAUUCAUUCAGUAUCCAUGCUCGAUUAAUUAAUUGCCAUGAUUGCUUCAUUUUAUUAGUAGAGACCCGUCUUUAGGGACUUAAAGGGGUGCUACGGUCUUUACCGUACCUUCCCGAUAAGUAACCUAAUCCCCAAACCCGAUCCGGUUUUUCUUAGACCAAGCUUUUCCAAAACAAGGAGUCACACCUAGGGUUUUCUUUCUUAUUUUGUUUACCCCUUUAAAAAUAAAACAAAAAUAAGUGGCGACUCCAAGUCAUUCUUUUAAUAAAUAAAAUUAUUUUUCAAAAUAAAAAUCGAGCUCGCCAUUGAGUGGGAAGCGCAUGAGCCGAAAUACGGGGUCCACAAAAAUAUUUUAUAAAAUUAAGUUAAAUAACUUUUUUCAAUAAUUUUUUUUUCAAAAAUACUAAAUUAAAUAAAAGUAGUUUUCAAAAAUAUUAAAUUAAAUAAUUUUUUUUCAAAAAUAUUAAAUUAAAUAAAAGUAUUUUUCAAAAAUAUUAAUUUUUUUUCUCAAAAUCAACAAAGGGCAUUUUUGGAAAUACUGAAGGAUGAUAUCCUUCAACUCAAUUUCCAUACUUUCAUUGAGUUUUGGGCUCAAUUUGAAGAGUUACAUAUAACUUUUGUUAAUUUGGGGGUCAUCAACCCCCAAAACAUAAUUCUCCCAAAAAAUAAAAUAAAAAACAGGACCGUAAUGAUACGAUUGAAUGGCUCGAGAGAGAGAGUGUCAGCCAGCUACUUUAAUUCAAUAUUGAAUGACCCGAGAGACAGACAACUGUCCCUAACUUUCCUCUCCACUUCCCUCAAUUGCUCACCAUCUUGAAGAGAAACCAAGCCUAAAAACUGUCUUAUAGUUUUGAGAUAGAAACCCACAAUGGCUUCCACAAGCUCCUUUAGAGCCUCUUCUUCUUUUACUCCUUCCAUCCCUCAAACAAGUACUUAUGAUGUUUUCUUUAGUUUUAAAGGCGAAGACACCCACUAUAAUUUCACUGAUCACCUCUACAGUGCUUUGGGUAGGAGAGGGAUUCACACCUUCAGAGACGAUAAACUCAGGAGAGGAGAAGCGAUUGCUCCAGAACUCUUGAAAGCCAUCGAAGAAUCAAGGUCUUCCGUAAUUGUUUUCUCUGAAAACUAUGCUCGUUCGAGAUGGUGUUUGGAUGAGUUGGUAAAGAUCAUGGAGU
rnacentral:lncRNA from 1 species